rnacentral:lncRNA from 1 species
AAACAGGAUAGCCAUGUUGUCUAAGUAGUCUAAACUCAAGGGAGGUUGCAUACAGAUUUUCUUUUCUCCAAUUAUAAUCUUUAUUAUUGUUGUAGUUAUUGUGCAAUAUGUUCCGAAUCUCAGUCUCAAAAUGAUAAGCCAAUCCAAGUCUUUGCAAGUUGUCAAUCAGCUCCAACUGAUCCAGAGGCUCGGUUACAUCCUUAAUUGUUGUCAUUACUUUUCCCUUCAGCUCUUCUGCUCGUCUUUUGUAUGUUUCAUCCUGUGCACCGCACAGCAUUUAGUUUUUAGCUAUUCAUGGUGCCAAUGGAAANNNNNNNNNNNNNNNNNNNNNNNNNNNNNNNNNNNNNNNNNNNNNNNNNNNNNNNNNNNNNNNNNNNNNNNNNNNNNNNNNNNNNNNNNNNNNNNNNNNNGUAUAGUUGCUAUUCAGUGACUGCAAAAAAUCAUGGUCCCAAAUUGAAGGUUGGUAGUUUGCUGAUCUCCUAUCAACUGUCAAAUUAUCAUAUUUGGCGCUGACAAGGCAUUGGACUGGCUUAUUUUUUGCCAUGAUUCUGAUGGCUGCUCUAUUUGUUGGAAGAGGAAGACAUUUGAAACCAUUUACAGAGGUAGCCAAGGUUGAGGGAUUAAUGCAAGAAGACAUUGGAUAUACAGAUGUAGUGUAAGCUAGCUUACAGUUAUACUUGGCAAAGAUUCUCAUAAUCUAUGGUUUGUGGUGAUGUACGAGGUUAUAUAUAUAUAUAUAUAGAUAUAGGCAGAGAAGAAGCUCAUGUGAUUUAUUUUUCUUACUCGUUUUUUCUGAGUUUUGAAAUCGUUUAAUUUUUAAGUCUUAAUAGUACAAAGAUAUUUUAUUCUUUUUUUUGGGGGGGGGGGGGGGGGGCGUACAUCAUACUGUGCGAACGAGGUCAAUAUUGUACCAGAAGACACAUACAUCAUCCAUACAUUCGGAUGAAUGUUGUAUAAUCUUUAUUUAUUUAUCUUUUUUUUUCCUGCAUACAAAUUUUUUAAAGAGUCUUUCUAUAAACUACACAAUAAAUGCACGCAGAAAUAACAAAAAAUUCAUAAAUUCAAUUCUACUAAUAAAAGUUCUAUUUAUUACAUUAAAAUCUUGUUUUAUGCAGAAAUAAGAAUAUACAAACUAAGUUUAAGGAAAAAAAAAAGGCAAUAUCUUAAUAUUGAGGACUAACAUCGAAAUUCUAUUUGUUACAGUUAUAAAGUACUUUUGCGGAAAACAAAUUAAUAAAUUACAAAAUGAUUAUCAACAAAAAGUCGACUGGGUAGGUAGAUGUCAACUCAAAAGUUAGUGGGAGCAGAUUUCCGGGCUAUAUAGUACAAAUGUAUGUAUCUACCGUCUAAAUAGAUAAUGGAUUUUAAUGUAUCGGUAGAUUGUGAUAAUUUGUACAAAUUUCAGAAAACUUCCAUUUAACAACGGUUGGUGAAAGUGUGUUGUAAAAUAAUUUGAAUAUUUGACAACAAACGAAAGAAUGUUGUUAUAAACUCUUCAACGGGCUUUCAAUUCACAACGUCCUACAAAAGCACGUUGUGAAAAAAUUCUAAUAAAUGACAAUAGAUGUAAAAUCGUUAUAAAUUUUCAAUCUCAUCCAAUUCAUGAAUUAAUAAAAUUAAUCCAAAUUUAAUUCAUAACUCUAUGAAUUAGAUAUGGAUUUGACAUAAUUUAUAUUCCAUUCCACUUUUACAAAUUCAAUAUCAAUUAAAAAAAAUUUCUUUCUAUCCAUUCAUAAAAUAAUUAAAUAAAUAUUUUAAUAUAAAAAUAAUUUUAUUACGAAUUAAAUUUAAAUUUAAAAAAGAUCUAAAUAAAUCAAUAGUUUAAAUACUUGUUUAGGAACGCGAUAUAUCACCCAGCAUCUGUUAAAUCAAUCAACGUACGUUCCUAAAGAAGCAUAAUUUUGAAGCCAUAUACCAUUUCAUCUUUACUCCCUAUUCUUUCUUAAAAAAAACUAUGAAAACGCUGGAGUAAUUGGUUUCAACUUCCGUGUAGGAUAGAUGGGACGUCAUGACACGUAACGACGACUUCUGAAAAACCAUUUGUUUUUUAAGGAUGCCAUUCAAAGUUUCGAACUUUAGCCCACCAAAAGAAAAAAAUCUUGAUGUUUUAGAUCAAUGAAUGAAAACUAACUUAAAUUUUAGAAUUAAAUCAAUACAAAAGUUGAAAAUUGAAAGCUUACAUAAUUAAUUGUUGUCAAUGUCCACCCUAACUAAAUUUUAACCCAUUUAUUUAUUAAUAGUAUAACAUUUUUAAAUUAUAUAUAUAUUCGAAUUUGCUGAUUUUUACGAAUUUGUAGAAGCAAAUCUAUUUCUAAUUCAUCGACUGUGAAUUUUUAAAAUUUUUCAAUCUAAUCCAAUCCAUCAAUCCAUAGAUUAGAUUUUUAUGGAAAGGAUUUUUACAGAUUGAAUGAAUGAAAUGUUAGAAAAUCGAUGGUUGAAGCAGGACAACAACUAAAAUCAAUUAGAAUAAAAUAAAGAGUAAGCACACACAGAGGACACAAAAAAUUACAUGAUUCGGUUUUUAGCCUACAUUGAUGGGCGAAGACAGAAGAAAAAUAUUUUACUAGUGAAAAUAAGUUACAAGUAUUGUGGUAUUUUAACUCACUACCCAAAACCUCAAUACCCCCAAACUCUCAAAUCACUAAUAACGCAAGAGUUAUUAAAACUCUAGUCUCUCAAUUCUUAUUUAUUUUUCUUCUCAAAAUUUUCUGCAGCACUACCAUUUUUCUUACAUUUCAGCUUCUUCAAUGUCAAAGUCGUGUGCCGCCAAUUGUACUUCUUCAAAGAUGUUGCAGCCCUCUUUAAUUUUUCUUUGUUCAAAAUGAGCUGCUUCUAAAAUUUGGCAGCUAAUUUUCUUGACAUUCUCCCACUUUGAUUGUCAUAUUGCUUACGUCUCUGCUAGGUCACAAGAGAAUCUACUCCAUACAAACUUGUCAACAUUGAUUGGCUUGGUAAAACAUCUGCUAGGUUCUCUUUAGUAUGAAUUUUCUGCAAAUCCACACUUUCGUCUUUCACUACUUCUCAAACAAAGUGGUAUUGUACCCCUUGUGCUUUGUCCUGAAAUGAAAUGCUGGAUUCCUUGCAAUGUACAAGGCACUCUGACUGUCACAAAAUACAGAAAUUUUCUCUUGUUUGUGUCCGAGCUCCUCCAAUAAUCUUUGUAUCCAAAUAGUUUCCUUGCAAGCUCAUGUAACUGCCAUGUAUUGUACUUCUAUUGUAGAUAAAACCACAAUGGUCUGUAGUUUUGAAACCCAACUUAUAGCUCCUCUUGCAAGUGUAAACACAUAGCCAGUAGUGGAUUUCCUUUUAUCAAAGUCUUGUAAAAUCUGAAUUCAUUUAGCCCCUGACAAUAAAGUCUGAUCCUCCGUAACAUAAUGCAACAUCUGAGGUUCCUAUGAUGUAUCUUAAAAUCCUCUUUAUAAUUUUCCAAUGUUCUCCACUAGUAUUCGCCAUGUGUCGACUAACUACUUUUAUUGCUUGUGCAACGUUCAUUCUAGUACAUAUCAUAGCGAACAUUAAACUUUCCACUGCUGAUGCAUAUGGUACUCGAGACAUUUCCUUCCUCUCUGCUUCAUUACUUGGAUAUAUACUUGAGGAUAACUUGAAAGUAAUAGGAAGUGGGUUAUUAAUUGGCUUACUAUCUUGUAUGUUAAAAUGCCGCAAGAUUUUCUUAAGUAAUUCUUCUGAGAAAGCAAAAUCUUCAUAUUAUUUCUGUCUUGGUAAAUUUGCAUCCCUAAAAUCUUGUUUGCUGGUCCUUCAUUUCAAACUCCCUGGCCAACUGUGCUUUUAAUUCUUAGACUUGAUCUUUAUUGGGGUAUGUUACCAACAUGUCAUCUACGUACAAUAGCAAAAUGAUGAAAUCAUUAUCUUCAAACCUCUUGUAAUAUGCACAAUGGUUUGAACUAAGUCUACUGUAUCCAAGCUCAUGAUAAAGGAAUUAAAUCUCUUAUACCAAUACUUGGCGCUUGUUUGAGACCGUAUAGAGAUUUUUUCAACCUGCAAACCAAGUUCUCUCUGCCCUUUUCAGCAAAACCUUCGGGUUAGAGCAUAUAAAUGUCUUCUUCAAGUUCUCCAUAAAGAAAUGCAGUUUUCACAUACAACUAUUUUAGAUGUAGGUCAAAUGUAGCACAUGUCGCCAAGAUUAAUCUGACUGUUAUGAGUCGAACCACCAGAGAAAAUAUCUCGUUGAAGUCAAUUCCUUCUUUAUGAGCAUAUUCUUUUACCACCAAUCUUUUACAAUACCGCUCCAUUUGUUCAUUGCCAUCAUGCUUGACCUUGUAGACCCAUUUAUUCUUGCGUAGAGCCUUAAUUUCUUCCUCCAUUACUGUCAUCCACAAAGCAAAAUCUGAACUGCUUAAAGUUUCAUAGAAAGUUAAUGGCUCUCUAUCCUCUAUCAGAAGACGGUAUGCAACAUUGAUCUUUGUGACAUAAUCUGAGUGCCACAUUGGCGAUCGUCUCUCACGAGUUAACUAACGAACUUCUGGAGCCUCAGACUCAACUAGUUCUUGUUCCUCGUGCUUCGGUGCUGCUUCAGAAGAAUUUGAAUUUUUUUUCAGAUUAUUUUUAACAUAUAUCAGCACAGUCUUUGAUUUUUCUUUUACAGUGAUAUCAUCCUUAUCUCUCUUUGUAGUUGAUCAUUUACAAAGAUAUCAUCCCUGUUGAUGACUAUCUUGUGGGCAGUGGGGUCCUACAGACGAUACCCCUUUCUCCAUUAGCAUACCCCAAGAAGAUACACCCAUAAAUUUUAUAUCCAGCUUUAUUUUUUCUUGGGCAUUGUACAUCACGUACACAAGACAUUCAAAUGUAUGUAGGUGGGAGUAAUCAGUUGGCAAUUUUUGCUCAGAGAGAAUCUUCAAACCUUGUUCUGACAUUUGGCUAGGCUUGAAAUGCCACAUCAUCGUCACUCUUCUCCAUUUGAUGCGACACACGCAUCAACUUUCUGUAGUAUUUUCCCUUUAAGCAUGAAUAGAUUAGUACCGAUCAUUUCCUCCUUCAUUAAUACAAGUGCGCCUUUGACUAUGUUCAUGAUCCUAUUUUCCACAUGAGUUUUGCACCCAUGACUAUCUAUUUGUUCUAAAGAUAAUAGAUUUUUAUUCAGGCCAUUGACAUGUCGUACCUCCUCAAUUGCGCGAACCAUACCAUCAAACAUUUUUAUUUUAACAGUAGAACAACUCUCUCUGAGAGGUCAUGUGUUAAGUAGCUCCCGAUUCUAUAAGCCNNNNNNNNNNNNNNNNNNNNNNNNNNNNNNNNNNNNNNNNNNNNNNNNNNNNNNNNNNNNNNNNNNNNNNNNNNNNNNNNNNNNNNNNNNNNNNNNNNNNNNNNNNNNNNNNNNNNNNNNNNNNNNNNNNNNNNNNNNNNNNNNNNNNNNNNNNNNNNNNNNNNNNNNNNNNNNNNNNNNNNNNNNNNNNNNNNNNNNNNNNNNNNNNNNNNNNNNNNNNNNNNNNNNNNNNNNNNNNNNNNNNNNNNNNNNNNNNNNNNNNNNNNNNNNNNNNNNNNNNNNNNNNNNNNNNNNNNNNNNNNNNNNNNNNNNNNNNNNNNNNNNNNNNNNNNNNNNNNNNNNNNNNNNNNNNNNNNNNNNNNNNNNNNNNNNNNNNNNNNNNNNNNNNNNNNNNNNNNNNNNNNNNNNNNNNNNNNNNNNNNNNNNNNNNNNNNNNNNNNNNNNNNNNNNNNNNNNNNNNNNNNNNNNNNNNNNNNNNNNNNNNNNNNNNNNNNNNNNNNNNNNNNNNNNNNNNNNNNNNNNNNNNNNNNNNNNNNNNNNNNNNNNNNNNNNNNNNNNNNNNNNNNNNNNNNNNNNNNNNNNNNNNNNNNNNNNNNNNNNNNNNNNNNNNNNNNNNNNNNNNNNNNNNNNNNNNNNNNNNNNNNNNNNNNNNNNNNNNNNNNNNNNNNNNNNNNNNNNNNNNNNNNNNNNNNNNNNNNNNNNNNNNNNNNNNNNNNNNNNNNNNNNNNNNNNNNNNNNNNNNNNNNNNNNNNNNNNNNNNNNNNNNNNNNNNNNNNNNNNNNNNNNNNNNNNNNNNNNNNNNNNNNNNNNNNNNNNNNNNNNNNNNNNNNNNNNNNNNNNNNNNNNNNNNNNNNNNNNNNNNNNNNNNNNNNNNNNNNNNNNNNNNNNNNNNNNNNNNNNNNNNNNNNNNNNNNNNNNNNNNNNNNNNNNNNNNNNNNNNNNNNNNNNNNNNNNNNNNNNNNNNNNNNNNNNNNNNNNNNNNNNNNNNNNNNNNNNNNNNNGAGAGGUCAUGUGUUAGGUAGCUCCCGAUUCUAUAAGCCAGACAUUAUAUAGCUGUUUUCUGCCUUUUGAAAUAGUUGUUACCUUGUUGUAGAGAAUUUCGCCAUCAUUUAAAGUACUUACUACACAUGCCUGAGCAUUUGAUGAUAUGGGAACUAUACCCUCUCUUCUUUUCUGGUUGUUCCAAUAAUCUUUUUUGACACACUAUUUAUUGCCACAAUUGUAGCAUUUGACAUUAUUCUUACUUCUUGAUUUUGAUCUACCAUGAUUGUGACUCUCAUUGGGACCACGUUCUGUUGGUCUCCCUCUUGUCACCGAUAGUACUUCCACUUGUUGCGAACUUGCUUGCCUAUCUUCCUUAUUUUUCUGCCUGCUCUCAUUGAAUAUGGAGGCUGCAACAUCAUUGAAAGCUAGACUGUUUGCUUGGUUGUUGUUUGUCAGAUUAAUGAUGAGUUGAUAUGUGAAAAUAGAGUCUUCAAGGUGUUGAUAUGGUCGGUCACCGAUGUAGAUUCCGCUAUUCGAAGAGGAUAAAGUCUCUACUUUAAAAAGAUCCUGUUGUGUUGUGACUUGACCUCGUACAAUUUUGUAAGAGUAUCCCAUAUUUCCUUAGCUAUCUUUUUGUCUGCCAUAUUAGAUAACAUCCCAUCUGCAAGUGCCAGGUGUAGAUAAGCAAUUACAUUACCGUCCAUCUCAUUCCACUUGUCAUCAGUUAUAUCCGUGGGUCUUUCUCUAAUUGCUGCCAAGCAAUUAGUUUUCCUCAAUACAACCUUCAUCUUCAUUUUCCACAAUGAGAAAUUAUUUUUACUGAACUUCUCAAUUUCGUAUUUUGCCAUCAUCACUUUUUACAAUGAACUGCUUUAGUUAGGAUCGGCUCCCACCAUUUCACGAGAACAAUAGCUGUAUAUAUGAACAGUGCCGUAUAUAUGAACAAUACCUCGACUCUAAAAAUACAACUAGUAGCUCUGGUACUAGUGUUAGAAAAUCUAUGGUUGAAGCAGAGGCACAGCUAAAAUGAAAUUGGAAAAAAAUGAAGAACAAACACACACAAAGGACACAAAAAAUUAUGUGGUUCGACUUUUAGCCCACGUCCACGGGCAAAGAUAGAAGAAAAAUAUUUUACUAGUGAAAAGCAGUUACAAGUAUUGUGAUAUUUUAACUCACUACCCAAACACCAAUACACUCAAACUCUCAAAUCACUACUAACACAAGAGUUAUUAAAACUCUAUACUCUCAAUUCUUAGUUCUCUGUAAGGAAGAAGAAAAUGAGAUAAAGAAAUUAGAUGCCAAAACCAAAUGGGGAGCUCUCUUUUUAUAGCCAAAAUUGACUAUUAUUUUAUUUAUUUUUCUUGUCAAAAUUUGCUACAACAUCACCAUUUUUCUUACAUUUUGGCUUCUUCAAUGUCAAAGCUGUGUGUCCCCAAUUUUACUUCUUCAAAGAUGCUGCAGCCCUCUUUGAUUUUUCUUUGUCCAAAAUGGGCUGCUUCUAGAAUUUAGCAGCUACUUUUCUUGACAUUAAAUAGAUAGAACACUCUAGCACGUUGUUAUAAUCAUGUUGCAGAUAGAACACUCUAACACGUUGUUAUAAUUAUGUUGCCUUGACCUUAUUUUCUUGAAGCAUGUUGACAAAUACAAUAAUGUGCAUUUGGAGGAUUAUUAUGAAUAUAAAAACAAUAGAAAGUAUAAAUGACUAAUAAUAUACAUGACUUUAAGUGACAUGAGAUUUUUAAAACUAAACAAAGCUAACACAAGUAGAUGAUCCUUUCAUUAUAAUAUGUCGCAAAAUAAAAACUACAUAAUAUUUAUUUCUUUUAUUUUUUUAGUUUAAUUCGUUCAAUUUCUUGCAGUCACUAAAAACACUUCAAAAUCAUGUUAGGAUCAACCCAUACAAAGAAAAUAUCCUAAGUCCUCCGAAGUAAUAAGCAACAUAUAUAUGUGUGUGUGUGUGUGUGUGUGUAUAGUACAAUUUAAUAUUAUUUCAACUAGCGAAAUUUAUUGUGGAAGUCAUAAAAAUUAAGAAUGAAGAAAAGGAACCAUGAACCCAAACCAGAACGCAAAAAGUAGUCAUAUUUUUUCAUGAGGGAAUUCUUACCUGCCAAUCCAUGUGCUUAGAAUUAUCAACGAUGUUGAUAUUUCUUUAUAAUGGUCCUUCAGUGAACAGAAACAUGCAGAAUACGAGUUAGGGUGUAUUGAAAAGAAUACGUAAAAACUCUUUUAAUCCCUAUAUUUUGAGGUUAGUAACCUAUAUUUUUUUAGUUUAAUUCGUUCAAUUUCUUGCAGUAACUAAAAACACUUUAGAAUUAUGUUAAGAUCAACCCAUACAAGAAAUAUCCUAAGUACUCCGAAGUAUAAGCAACAUACAUAUGUGUGUGUGUGUGUGUGUGUGUUGUACAAUUUAAUAUUAUUUCAACUAGCGAAAUUUAUUGUGGAAGUCAUAAAAAUUAAGAAUGAAGAAAAGGAACCAUGAACCCAAACCAGAAAGCAAAAAGUAGUCAUAUUUUUUCAUGAGGGAAUUCUAACCUGCCAAUCCAUGUGCUUAGAAUUAUCAACGAUGUUGAUAUUUCUUUAUAAUGGUCCUUCAGUGAACAGAAACAUGCAGAAUACGAGUCAGGGUGUAUUGAAAAGAAUACGUAAAAACUCUUUUAAUCCCUAUAUUUUGAGGUUAGUAACCUAUAUUUUUUUAGUUUAAUUCGUUCAAUUUCUUGCAGUAACUAAAAACACUUUAGAAUUAUGUUAAGAUCAACCCAUACAAAGAAAAUAUCCUAAGUACUCCGAAGUAAUAAGCAACAUACAUAUGUGUGUGUGUGUGUGUGUUGUACAAUUUAAUAUUAUUUCAACUAGCGAAAUUUAUUGUGGAAGUCAUAAAAAUUAAGAAUGAAGAAAAGGAACCAUGAACCCAAACCAGAACGCAAAAAGUAGUCAUAUUUUUUCAUGAGGGAAUUCUUACCUGCCAAUCCAUGUGCUUAGAAUUAUCAACGAUGUUGAUAUUUCUUUAUAAUGGUCCUUCAGUGAACAGAAACAUGCAGAAUACGAGUCAGGGUGUAUUGAAAAGAAUACGUAAAAACUCUUUUAAUCCCUAUAUUUUGAGGUUAGUAACCUAUAUUUUUUUAGUUUAAUUCGUUCAAUUUCUUGCAGUAACUAAAAACACUUUAGAAUUAUGUUAAGAUCAACCCAUACAAAGAAAAUAUCCUAAGUACUCCGAAGUAAUAAGCAACAUACAUAUGUGUGUGUGUGUGUGUGUGUUGUACAAUUUAAUAUUAUUUCAACUAGCGAAAUUUAUUGUGGAAGUCAUAAAAAUUAAGAAUGAAGAAAAGGAACCAUGAACCCAAACCAGAAAGCAAAAAGUAGUCAUAUUUUUUCAUGAGGGAAUUCUAACCUGCCAAUCCAUGUGCUUAGAAUUAUCAACGAUGUUGAUAUUUCUUUAUAAUGGUCCUUCAGUGAACAGAAACGUGUAGAAGCAUGUGUUUAAUAAUCAACGAAUCAUACGAGUCAUAGUGUAUUGAAAAGAAUACGUAAAAACAUUUUUAAUCCCUAUAUUUUGAGGUUAGUAACCUAUAUUUUUAAGAAUACCUCAAAACUCUCUGCAGUUAAACUAUUGACACAUCUGCCUUUUUAUUUGUUCUUUUUAACUUACUUCUAUAAUAUUACACUCUUACAAUAAUUUUUUUGGACAUUAACAAAAAAAAAUUAAAUUAUCAAUUUAAACCUAAAAAUGACACACACACACACACACACACACAUAUAUAUAUACACUAAUUUUUCUAAAACCUCACAUAUGUAAAAAAAAGUAAUAUUGUAAAAAAAAUUAAAUUACGAACUUUUUUGGAUAUUAAUAAAAACAUAAAUAUAUUAACUCCUCAGUAGAAUGUUCUACAUUAAUUUUUUGGGAUUAAAUUGAUAAUUUAAUUUUUUUAUUAAUGUCCAAAAAAUAAACAUUAUGGUGAGAGAGUAAUAUGUAAAAGCAAGCUAAAAGGAACAAAAAGUAACGGUAGGGGUGUCAAUAAUUUAACAAUAGAGAUGUUUUGAGGUAUUUCUAAAUAUAUAGUGACUAAAAAGAUACUAACCUAAAAAUAUAGGAAUUAAACGAGUUUUUAUCCAAAGAGAAUCCAUGUAUAGCCGAUUUUACUAGAAUUUGCAAAUAAAAUGCAAAUACCAUUAGUCUUCUAAAACACAUGCAACUUUUCAUCAACAACCUGUAAAAUAUCAUUAGAAGAGAUACUUGUACCAUUUCCAUGGGAUCAUCAAUCUCGAAACAAAAGAGUUUCUGCGAGGCACCAUAUCAGCAUGUAAAAUGCCACUUUAUUGACUAGUAGUUGAAAAUGACAAGAAGGGCAUAAGAGAAAUUUUAGAAUACCUUUAAAGUACCAUAUCAUUUAUGCAAUAAGUAAAUAAUUAAGUGCAUUUAUUUUGAAGAACCGACAAGUAAUUAAUGGUUAUACAAAAUUCAAAUACACAUGUCAUAUAUGUAUUAAUUGAUUAUAUUAUCUCUUUGGUGCUACUUGUUGGGGAAAAAUCAAGUUUUUAAAUUUUUUAUAAAACCUUUUGAAGAUCGCCCUCAUAUAAUAUAUAAGAAUUUGUAUUCUAGAAAUCGUACCUUGAAAAUCCGAUUUGACUUUUUCCGCUGGAGUGAUUUAGGCUCCUAGAUCUCAAUCCGUCACCACCACUCCUGUUAGAUCACGAUCCGUCACCACCACUCCUAUUAGACCACGAUCCGUCACCACCACGCUUGUUAGAUCACGAACUAUCACCAAUGAUCUUCCAGGUUAUGACUCAGGUUUGAUCUGCACUUGACGUGUGGGCGCCUUUAUCACUACCAAAGCAACUAGCACGAGAAAAUUUUUCUCUUAACAAUAGAGAGAAAAAUCUUAUUCUCUGAUCUGUAUAAAGUGGCUUCUAUCUUUUCUUUUGAGAAAAGUAAGCCUUUUAUAUCACCAUUUAGUGAAAACCCUAGGCUCCAAAUAAUCAAAAAACAAAACCCACGUCAUUUGCUUUUUCAAUAGGAGACCCACCUUGUAAAAUAACAUAAGGCCCCUUACACAAAAGCUAAUUAAAUGGAGCCUCCCACUAAAUAAUAUAUUUAGGCUUUUGACCCAAAUAGCUAGUUUUCUUACUUAUUAGUCCAGUAGUGGUGCAGUCAAUUAAAUGAGCUAACCCGGGGAUCAUUUGGGAACAUACAAUAGUGGCUACAAUAAUUAGGCAUGUAAUUAAACUAUCCCAAUUAUUUAAUUCCAAAUCUACUCCACUAAAAUAUUGGAAUUGACUUCCAUAAUUGUAUGCUCGAAUAAUAAUUCGUCCCAAGCCACAUUGAUUUCUUUACUGCACAAUCCUUUGUACCACAUCGUUAAUUAAAUUGAUAUCUCAACUGUCCAAUCAAUUUAAUAACAUCUUAUUCCUUAAUCCUUACUGGUUUUCUCUAAUGAUCAUUUUCAACAUACUAAAUAUGUUGACACACUCUGGCCAGAGAAUUCUAUGAUCAAGUGCCGAAAACCCAUCAAGAGAUGUGUUGUACAAAUUCUAUAUUGUUAAUCCAUAACUCCAAUACUCAUAAUUGCUCCCACCAAGAUACCGGGUAAUCUUGACCAUAAGGAUGUGUCAUGCCCAUUGGUAACUCAAAUGAAAUAACAAUUACAAUCAUGAAAUCAUAAUUAACUCAAGAUUAAGAUUACAGUAAAAUCAACGCCUAUGAGAUUUAAUAAAUCUGACAGUUAUUACAAAGUUAAUUAAAUCUCAUAUGUGAUUCUGUUCAAUGUAGUCGUCCUACAUCAAUAAAUUCAUACAUGAUUAAGACAAAUCAUUCAAUGAAUUUAUUACGGUCUAUACCUAAAUAAAGUGCCCAACUUUAUUUAUCAACUAUGAACUAAAUUUAUUUAAUCAUAAGAUAACUUGUAUUUAUGUCUUCUGUGAAUCCACAUGGUGAUCACAUAAAUACAUAUAAUAUGAUUAAAUGGACUUUAAUACAAAUAUUAAUGCAAUUAAGAUAUUUGAAUAAAAUGCCUCAUUUAUUUUAUUAAUCAGAAAAAUUGUUUAUUACAAUUAAAUAAACACAUAUGCUUUUAAAGAGCAUAUUUUCCCAACACUACUAAGUUACAGGUACUGUAACUUACAACCCUUCAAAAUAAUGUAAACUGCUGUCAUAGGUGGUAGGACCCGUAUGAUUAUUAAAGGAAUUGUAAGUUACAGCAGCAGUAACUUAGCAAAAUCUUUAUCUCUUAUGCAUUUUAGAAUUUCUCAUGAAAGAGACACAACAUAUUUCACUUUUUUUCUUCUUGAUUUUACUGCAUUACACUAAAGUGCAGCACAUGAGCCACAUGCAUAUGAAAAUUUAGACUAGUUGGUAUAGGGCAUGUCGAGGAGUCAAAGCCUCUCCUUUCUGACACAAUGAUAACAUAGUAUAUCAGUGUGCAGUACAUAAGCACAUGGGCAUACAAACUUAGACUAGUGGUGCGAGGCUUGUUCAAGGAGCCUCUUUUUAUUUUUUUUGACACAAUAUGAAAAAAAAUUAUUAACCAUCAAAUUACAAUUUGAUAAGUCUGAUGAAAAAUAAAAAUAAUAGAAAUACAUGUGUCUAACAAUGUACAUUUUAGUGUCUUUAUCAUCACAAGUCUUGUAGGCAAGAACGACUCAACCAAUUUUAAAGGCUUAGGUGAAUUGUACUAAAAAUUUAUUUAUUUAAGAUCAAUUUUUUCUAGCUUUCUGAAAUGCAAAAUUAUUAAUCAAAUUUUUAUGUUCUAAUUUCAUGAACAAUUUUUUCUCAAUAAUCAAUAUAGCUAAUCCAUUUGUUCUCUCUUGCGAGAUUGUUAAUUUUAAAUAUGUUUUUUUUUUAAAUUUAAAUUUUAAAAACUUCUUUCUACAAUUGUUAGUAGUACUAUUAAUAAUAUUCUAUAUGCAAUAUAUGCAUUUGAGAAAGAAUCAAUUAGUUUUCAAAUAAUUAAUUAGUAUUUUUUCACCUUGAAAUACUUCAUUUAAAAUCUCAACUCUUAAAACAAAUCUGCACCAUGUAUAUCAAAAAGUGUAUCAUGUUUUAAAGCAUUUUCGAGAUUAACACAAUAAAUAUUUAAAACAUAGUCAUUUAACAAUUGUAAUUUUUUGAAAUUAAACAAAAAUCCAACCAUAUUAUCAUAUAUUUGAAAUUAUUCACAUAUCGUCAUAUUGUAGAAAUAGCUUGAUCUACUAUAUAUAUAAAAUAAUUAAUUCUAAAGGACUCUUCAACAGACAAAAUUCCCUCUUCACUAACAUUUUCAUUAAAUUUGUUUCUUUUUCUAGAAAUUAUACUUUUUUCAUGAAAUUUAGGUUCUAUUUCCAUUUCACUUGCAAGUUCUCUUGCUGAAAUCAGAGCAGACAUUAAUCCAUCUUUUCUAUGGCUUUCAAAGAAAAAAAUAAGACCUUUAAGCUGAUCUAUGGCAAUAUCAGUAUGCACAUAUUCUUUUUGCAAGAUCAUACUUUGUAAUACCCCACCCCGCUGCUUUGACUAAUUUUGACCUGCUUUUUGAUUAUAUAAAAAAAGGAAGUUGGAAAUUGUUUAAAGAAGAUGAAGCAUAUUCACACAUGAGAGUGAGAGAAAACGGCCAAAACCGACUCGAAAAACCUGACCAAUGAACCAACUCGGCCACCAUUUCUCGUUCCCGGCCACCCCACCAGCAACGAGACGUACCGAUUAGAAGCUUUAGAACCAAUAGUCACUUCCCCGCCAUCGUUACUGUUGAAUAACGACCAAAAAGUCGUCAUUUGAGCCCAUAAAACUUGCAGUAUUUGCCACCUCCGUUCACCGUGAUUUUGCUGGUUUUGGGUGACGCCACCGACUGGGUUUCGUUCCUCAGGUCACUACCUUCAUUUUUUGACCACCUACAUGACCAAAAAUAAUUGAUUUGCUGCCAAUUGACUGCCAAAGUGUUCACGGCUUUGGGAGCUCGAUCUGGUGCCUCUAUUGCCACCGUUGGAUUCAACGCGACAUGAAGCUUUUAUCCCGACCUUUUCCAUCAUUGCCAUAUGAAUUUAGAUCACUGUUGGUCAAUGAGAGCAUUUUGGUAAUUUUUUAGAAUUUGAGGGUAAUUUCUUAAAUUUUUUAUUUCGUGAAUAUUUCAGUGAUUUCUGAUUUGGAGGAUAAGAAUCAAAGGGUAGUUCGAUAAAUUAUGAUUUUGAGGAUAAUUUAGCAACUUGUGAUUUUGAGAUUUCAGGGGCAUUCUAGUAAUUUAAAAUUUUGGUAUUUUUGUAAUUAAUUAUUCAAAUUGAGAUUAAUUGAGGUUAAGUUUAUAGGGUGUUAUAUUGACGAAUUUGAGAACAUUAGAGCUUAUGAUUUGAUAUGAUUUUAUCUUAUAGGAGUAUUUUUUUAUUGAUUUUAGGUCGGUGAUAUCGAUAAAUAUUUGUUACUCGAGGAUGCUAGAAGGUAAGUAAACCAGAUUUCUAAAUGAGUCACAAUAAAUAAUAUGUACAUGUUUGAAAAGCUUAUUUUGAUAUUUACGGAUAUGGAUUUAUAUGCUCCGCCCAUGUGUUUAUAUGAUGUGUUAAUAGGAUGUACUGUUAUGUGUUAUGUGUGUUUAUGGACAUGGACAUAUGUAUGUGUGAAUGUUUCAAUGGCAUUAGCACGAAAUGUAUUAUGUUUUUUGUGAAAUGAGAAAGUGGAUUUCAGCCAAACGAAAUUGAAAGAAAGAAAGUAAGUUUUACACUAUAUAGUAGCAAUCCUUAUGAAUUUCCUCGAGGUGACGAAUGUUUUCGUUAUUCAAAUGUAGGCCAUACAUCAAACCAAUGUCCAGAACGAAGACAACAAAUAGUCAAUUUGGAAACUAAUGCAGAGGAAAAUGGAAAGCCUUAGGAUGAACUAUAUAAAGACAAUGACGACAUAGAAAAGGAGGAAGAGUGGACAUAUUGAGACAUAGGAGUAUCACUAGUAACACAACAUUUGUUAUACACACAAAAGAAAGACGAAGACACUUAGAGACAUAAUAUCUUUAAAACAAGGUGCACAAUCAAUGAGAGGGUAUGUGAUGAUUAUUGACAGUGAUAGUAGCAAGAAUAUAGUUUCGAAGAUUAUAGUUGACAAGUUACAGCUUAAAACUCACAAACAUCCUUCCCGUUAUUGCAUUGGAUGGAUAAAAAAUGUUGGAGAGAUCAAGGUUACUCAACAAUGUUGUAUUCCUUUUUUCCAUCAGAAGACAUAAAGAUGAACUAACUUGCGAUCUUGUUGACAUGAAUGCUUGCCAUUUGCUUCUUGGGAGACCCUGGCAAUUUGAUCUUAAUAUGGUACAUUAUGGGAAAGAUAACACAUACAGGUUCUAUAAAGACAACAUGAAGGUUAUCCUUGCUCCGAUAAAGUCAAAUGUCAAGGGAACUUAUCUUUUACUACAAGAGAGAUAGCUGAAGUAGAAUCGAUGCCUGAAUAAGUCCAAUCGCUACUCUCAUAAUUUCAGGAUAUCGUGCCUAAAGAGCUUCUUAACAAGUUACCUCCUAUGAGGAUUACCUGUGACUCAAAUUAAAAGAGAACUUCUAAUGGUUUAAAACAUAGUUACUUUUAGUACGAUUUCUAAAAGCUUAACACAACAAACAAAACUUUCUUCAUAAAGUCAUACAGAGAUUUCAUAGUUUAUUUCAAAACUUGAUUAUUACAUAAAGCUAAGAUGUUUAAUUUUUAUUUAAACAAAGCUGAACCCAUCUUAAAAUCCCAAGGUCUGUUAUGCCCAUAUGCACUUCGUCUUGGUUAGGACUUGGCGCCAGCUUGCCCUACUCAUCAUUAUCUACAAUGUAAGGACUUUAUGAGCUAAUGCCCAAUAAGAUAAUAUUUUUAUGAAUUUAUAAAUUAUAAUGCAUAUGGAUGACCAUCUUAAGCUUUUAAAAGAAACUUAAAAAAUACAAAACAACUUCAUUAGGGCCCUAGGUAUGUUGCACUACAAGGUUGACACUUUUACUCUUUUAAACAAUAUGCUUUUGGGCCUCAUUAAUUGAUCUUUUAGGCGUUAUGUAUUGCCGUCCCCAAAAGAUUUUUUUUUUUACUUAGCUUUAAGGGCUUGCCCUCCUUAGAAACUUUGCCACCUGGUAGUACAACCACCUAUUUUUCAUAAAUUCAUUUUCUGAAAUGUCUUCUUCAUAAUGUAAUCCAUGAUAUGCAUGCAUUCAAUGCAAAUUAUGUCAUAACAUUUGAAGUUCCUAAAUGCAUAAAAGAAUCAAUACACAACACUAUUUAAGAACAAGAUUCUUUAAUACAGGCGGUACAGCCGACCAUAGCAUAAUUAAUUAUAAGUAUCAUAGAUUAGGCGGCAAAGCCGACCAUAACAUAACCAAGCAUCGUAAAUAAGCGGCAGCAUCGACCAUAACAUAACUUAGCAUCGUAGAUUAGGCGGCAGAGCUGACCAUAACAUAACUAAGCAUCAUAGAUUAGGCGGCAAAGCUGACCAUAACUAAGCAUGUUAGAUUAGGCAGCAGAGCCGAGCAUAACAUAAUUAAGUAUCAUAGAUUAGGCGGCAUAGCUGUUGGUUAAUUUAACUCAAUUGUUAUUGAUGUCAAUGUGCAAGUGUACACAACAAGUAAUAAAGUGAUGAAUAUUUAAGAUCGUCUCCACAUGGAUUGUUGUUACUAGAAAUGCUACAACAAUCACGAUAGUGCAAACUUCCUUUUAUCUAAAAGGAAUACAAAUAAAGUUGAUUGACUAAUAAUAUUAACAACGUAAUAAAGUAACUGCAAUAAUGAAGUAAACUGAACGGCUUGCACAAAUAAAAUUCAAUAAAAAUAAAGUAGUUGAAUGAUCAAACUCUCUUCAUGGGCUGACUGUUUUGUUCAAACUAACACCAGUUGGUGCAGCAACUCCUAUAGCACUGGGCAGACUUAUUUUGCAUCCUCAAAUGUCGCUUACGCAACCUAACAAUGACUAGUUGUUAUAUUACAUAAGAUAUGGCAUUACGAACAUAUACUCUCUCUACUCUACAAGGUGAAUCUUUAUAUCUAGGUUAUCACAAAUCUUAAUUCAAGUGUGGCCUUCUUGAGACUCAAGUUAAACUCAAUCUAGAAAACUUAAAUUAAGAUCAAGUAUUACUCUAAUAAUUUCCAUUAAGACAGACCCUUUUGCGGCCCUCUCUUAACUUGAACCAUUAAAUGGGAGGUCAACCGAAAUAAUGAUUGUAAUAUAAGCUAUUAAAGAAAAAUGCUACAGUAAUGUUGAAGCAACUCAUAAGAACAGUCAAGAACCCAUUUAGAUCGUUUAUCACUCAUAACUUGUAAAAGAAAAACAAAUAGCAAAGUAUCAGCCAUGAAAUACAUCGUUUCAAUCAAGGAGUAAGUAAGGGGACAAGUAAAGAAUGAUGAAAAUUGAAUCCAAAUAGUUAUGCAGAUUUCUUCAAUGGUGCAGACUUGUCUCUCUUGAAUUUUGCUCUUUCCUUAUUUUCUCUUGAUUUCUUCGAUGUUAAUUCACCACCCCUCUUCCAUAUGACGCGUGCUCCUUUCAUAAUUGAAAAUUAGGAUAAACGAAAGCCUAGGGCGUGCAUGAGUAAGAUUAGGAAACUGCAGAUCACGAUUCCCCAAAUAUCCCGCGUGGAAUUUUCUCUAUCGUUGUUCCAAGAUUGCUACAGCAAUGGCUACAACAACUGCACUGUUCCAGAUUUGUUUCAAGUCUUUUGUGGCUAAGUUCUUUUCCAUCUUUUGCAAGCCGAUUGCAUCAACAUUCCUUUCUUGAAACUUGAGCUUCCGAACACCUACAAUUACACACACAAUCUAGGCACAAAUUAUUCUAAAUCAAACAAAAUUUAUUACGACUAAACUAAAAUAAAUGUUUAUGCGAAAUAUAACAAAAAUGUAAUAGAAACACAACAUUUACUCUCUAAAUAAUAUCGAUUUAAGUCUAAAAGUGCCUUGAUAACUCUCAUUUCCUAGAGUUAUCAAUAGCCGACCAUAUAAGAAUUUAGAUUAUAACUAAUAACAUCAUAAUAGCCAUCACAACAUAAGGAAAUCGUUAAAACUGAAGUUAAGUAUGAAAAAAAUUUUGUCCUUACAUUGUAGUUGAAGUGUUACUUACCUCUUGGCCUUGACUUCUCUAGAUCUUUCUAAAUUAAGGAUUUCUAUAUACUUGAUAUUAUGACUUAAAAUAGAAGAGAAUGAAAUUUCUAGGUUGGAUUGAAAAUGAAUGGGGCUAUGGGGUAUUUAUAGGUUGUUUUAAGGCUAAUGGAUGGCUAGGAUUUUGCCACCAUAACUCUUGAUCAAUGGUUGAGAUUAACCUUCAUAAAUACCUUAUUAAAUUCUAGAAUUCUUAACUUUCUCUACACACUUCUCUUACAUCAUCACUUAUGUCAUUGCUUAUGUCAUCAUAACUUAGAAUUAAAUAUUUUAUAUAAUAAUAAUAAUAAUAAUAAUAAUAAUAAUAUUAAGAAUAAUACUUAAGGGGGCUUUUUAGCUUAAAAUAAAUUCUAUUAUAUUUAAGUGAGAAAAUUGUACCUCACAAUUCCUCCCCCUUUUAAAAUAAUUUUAUCCUCGAAAUUUACUUACUGAAUAGCUCAGUAUACUUGUUCUUCAUCUCUUCCUCAUGUUCCCAUGUUGCCUCCUCCACUGAGCUAUUUCACCAUAGUACUUUAACUAAAGGAAUAUUCUUAUUCCUUAACUCCUUUAUCUUUCUAUCAAGAAUUUGAAUUGGACGUUUUUCAUAGGUUAGGUCUCCUUAUAGUUGUAGGGGCUUAUAAUCUAGCACAUGAGAGGAGUCUGGGACAUAUUUCUUUAACAUGGAGACAUGAAAGACAUUAUGUAUUCUUGAUAACGAUGGUGAGAGGGCAAGUCGGUAGGAAACAUUCCCGACACGAUUAAGUAUUUCGAAUGGCCCAAUAAACCUCGGACUUAAUUUUCCUUUGUUCCUAAAUCUCAUCAAUCCUUUUACUGGCGCAACGUUUAGAAAUAGUUUAUCACCAACUUGGAAUUCCAAAGGCCUUCGCCUCUUAUCCGCGUAACUUUUCUGUCGAUUUUGAGCUGCAUGCAUUCUUUGAUGUAUUUUCUCGAUUGCUUCAUAUGAGGUAGUAAUUAAGUCGGGUCCAAGAUGCCUUCGUUCACCCAUCUCAUCCCAAUGAAUAGGCGAUCUACAUUUUCUACCAUAUAGAGCUUUGUAUGGUGCCAUACCGAUUGUUGCUUGGUAACUGUUGUUGUCGGCAAAUUCAACCAGUGGUAAAUACUUGCUCCAUGAUCCUUGAAAGUUGAUAGCACAUCCUUACAACGUAUCUUCAAGUGUUUGAAUUGUUCUUUCUGAUUGGCCGUCUGUUUGAGGGUGAAAUGUUGUACUAAACUUCAAUCUUGUCCCCAUAGCCUUAUGUAACUUUUCCCAAAAUGUCGAAGUAAAUGUUGCAUCUCGGUCAGAGAUAAUAGAAAUGGAUACACAAUGCAGUCUUACUAUCUCCUUUACAUAUAUUUUUGCAAGCUGGUCCAUAGUGUACGUCAUUCAAAUAGGUAAGAAGUGAGCAGAUUUUGUGAGUUGAUCGACAAUCACCCAAAUAACAUCAUGCAUUUUGGUAGUCCUUGGAAGACCAAUGAUGAAAUCCAUUAUGAUUUCUUCCCACUUCCAUUGAGGAACUUAAUUGGAUUCCAAAAGUCUUGUUGGUCUCUGGUGCUCUGCUUUGAUUUGUUGACAAGUGAGACAUUUUGCCACGAACUCAACUAUAUCCUUCUUCAUUCCAGGCCACUAAUAAUGCUUCUUAAGUCUUUGUACAUCUUUGUUGUGCCAGGAUGAAGUGAAUAUGAGGUUGUGUGAGCUUCAAGUAUAAUAUUUUUCUUUAUAUCUGCAUUAUCUGGUACACUUAUCCAAUCCUUGAACAAGAUGAUUCCCCUCUUUGACUUCUUAAACGACGUCUCCUUUUAGUUGGCCUCUAUCUUUAGGUUCUUCAAGUAAGAAUCACUUUCUUACCCUUUCUUAAUCUUUUUUAAUAAGGUUGAGCGAAGCGUCAUGUUGGCUAAUUUUCCUAUUACUAGCUCAAUCUCUACCUUGCAUAUAUCAUUUUGUAAUGGCUUAAGUAGAAUCCGUAAAGUUGACAAGCUUGACUUUCUACUUAGUGCAUCUGCUACCACAUUUGAUUUUCCAGGAUAAUAGUUUAUUUCGCAGUUGUAGUUCUUAACAAGCUCUAGCCAAUGCUGUUGUCACAUAUUCAGCUCUUUUUAGGUAAAGAAAUAUUUGAGGCUCUUGUCAUCAGUGUAAAUCUUACAAUGCGCCCCUAUUAAAUAGUAACGCCAUAAUUUUAAUGCGUGCACCACCGCUGCCAACUCUAAAUCAUGCAUUGGAUAGUUUUUCUCGUACUCAUUUAAUUGUCUGAAAGCAUAUGCAAUGACUUUUCCAUUUUGCAUGAGGACACAUCCUAUACCAUUUUUGGAGGCAUCACUAUAGAUGACAAAAUCCUUAGAGCUGUUAGGAAUGGCUAGGAUUGGAGCAGUGACCAGCCGUCAUUUUAGUUCUUCAAAGCUUUUCUCGCAUUCUAGCGUCCAUGCAAACUUGGCAUUUUUCUUUGUCAACUGGGUCAAUGGUAUCGCGAUCUUAGAGAAACCUUCCACAAAUCUUCGGAAGUAUCCAGCCAAACCCAAGAAGCUUCUCACUUCUUUGGGAUUAGUCUAUCUAGACCAUUGACUUACAAAUUCCACCUUCGAGGGGUCUACUGAAAUUCCAUCUUUAGACAUGACGUGUCCAAGGAAUGUAACUUUUUCAAGCCAAAAUUCGCAUUUCUUGAGUUUGGCAUAAAGUUAUUUCUCCUUCAAGGUCUGAAGAGUGAUCCAUAGAUGCUUAUCAUGCUCUUCCUUUGUUUGUGAGUAGAUCAAAAUGUCGUCAAUGAGCACCACUAUGAAUCUGUCUAGGUAGUCUUUAAAUACUCUGUUCAUGAGGUCCAUGAACGCUGCUGGGGCUUUAGUUAGUCCAAAUGGCAUGACAACAAACUCAUAAUGUCCAUAACGUGUUCUGAAUGCUGUUUUAGGAAUAUCUUCUUCCCUAAUUCUCAACUGGUGAUAUUCUAAUCGUAGAUCAAUCUUUGAAAAUACUGAUGCACUUUGCAACUGAUCAAACAAGUCAUUGAUGCACAGAAGUGGGUAUUUGUUCUUGAUAGUUACCUUAUUUAGCUCUCGAUAGUCAAUGCACAUUUGCAUUGAUCAUUUCUUCUUUUUUACGAAUAGUACUGGUGUUCCCCAUGGUGAAUGACUUGGGCGUAUGUAGCCUUUGUCUAGUAACUCCUGCAAUUGACUCUUUAACUCCCUUAAUUCUGAUGGGGCCAUUCUGUAGGGCGCCUUUGAAAUUGGAACAGUUCCUGGUAACAAAUUGAUUUUAAAUUCAAUUUCUCAAUCCGGUGGCAAUCUUGGAAAUUCUUCAGGAAAGACCUCAUGAAAUUCGUUCACCACUAAAAUAUCUUCCAACUUUGGUCUUUGCUCUUCUAUUUUGAUGACCACACUUGCCAAGUACCCCUCACACCCUCCAUUUAAUGCCUAUCUAUUUCCAAUGAUAGGCAUUCUGUUCUUUUUGGAUUCUCAUUUAAAUGUAAAUGAUUCUUUUUGUGGUGGUCGAAAUGUUACCUCAUUUUUCUUGCAAUCUAUCAUGGCAUAGUGCAUUGAUAGCCAAUCCAUGCCAAGACUUAUGUCAUAGUCAUGCAUCUCGAGGAUUAUUAAGUCAACACAUAGUGUAUUAUCACAAAUGCUAACCUCACAUGCCUUAAUUAAUUGUCCCGAGUUUAAUGUUUCACCUGAUGGUACCAUGACACUAAAAGGCUUAUUUAUUAUAUCAGGGGCAUUUUACAUUUUGCUAAAAAAUGCUGGUGAGGCAAAUGAAUGUGUAGCUCCUGAGUCUAUUAGCACAUAUGCAAGAGUUUUGGAAAUAGAUAGUUCACCUGAUAUUACUGAGGGGUUUCCUUCUGCAUCCGUCUUGGUGAGUGUGAAUACUCGAGCAUUAGUCUUUUCUUGUUGCAUACCAUUUUCUGGGCAGACCCUGAUAAAUUGUCCUUCUUUUCCACAUUUGAAACAUGUUCUGGUAUUUGCUCGACAUUCCCCAGGAUGAGUUUUGCCACACUGGUUGCAUGUUGGUUUCUGUGGGACUUCCCUCUGAUGAUUCUUAAGGCGCUUUCUUUUACUAUGAUCUUGAAUCGCUGGCAUUCGCUUUCUCUUAUUAUUAUUUGAGCGUUGUCCUUUGUGGUUAGCUUGAAAAUUUCUCUGGUCCAUACUUUAUUCUUUCAUUUUUCUUCCUUUUUUUCUUCAUAUGCUUGCUCAAUUACCGAAGAUCAAUCGAUGAGUUCAUUGAAGGAAGCAUCACGAACUCCCGCCACCUUUAAAUCUUUUACGAGAUCUUUGCACAAUCCUUGCAUAAAAUGGUCAUUUUUUAAAUCUUCCAUUGCAAGCAUAUAUGGGGCAUAUAGAGAGAGCUCAUCAAAUUUUUGGAUGUACUCUAGCACAUACAUCAUUCCUUAUUGUAGAUAAACAAACUCUCUUCUUUUGGCUGAGCGAACAGUCUUUGAAAAGUAUUUAUUAUAGAAGUGUUCUUUAAAUUACCCCCAUUGCAUUGUUGUUUCAUUAUGGAUUUGUUUGAUAGAGUCCCACUAAUAUUCUGCUGCCCCUCAUAGCAUAAAGGAGACACAAGUGACUUUUUCUUCUUCGGGUACUUUCGCUAUUUCAAUCAUUUUUUCCAUGGUCCACAACCAUUAAUCUACUGCGAUAGGGUCUACACUUCCUUCAAAUGUGGGUGGAUUUAAUCUUCAAAAUUCGCUUCCUACGUUGUUCAUUGCAUGAGAAUGUUCAUCUCUUCUAACUUCCCUUUCUAAAAGUCGUGCCACAAUAUUUGUAAGUCGAUCAAUUGCAAAUUACUCCCUUACAGUUCCUUCCGCCCUUCUACUUUUGUUACCCCUAAUGUUUGACAUCUCAACGAGUUUUUAAUCUAAUUCCUAUGUGUCAAAAAAUCAAAUGUAAAAUUUCUAACUAAACUAAUUCCAAAUUUUUACUAAAAAGCUGAGCCUUGUCCUUCCCCUUGACUUCUGUAUAUGGACGGUCUUCAGAAUCGCUUUAAACCUGGCUCUAAUGCCAAUUUGUAACACUCCACUUAAAUAUUUAUUUUAAAAAUGUUUAAAAUAUAGUUAAGUAUGAAAAGAAUUUUGUUAAUAGCCAUCACAACAUAAAUUAAGGAUUUAUUUUAAUAACAUCAUAAUAGCCAUCACAACAUAAGGAAAUCAUUAAAACUGAAGUUAAGUAUGAAAAAGUUUUUGUCCUUACAUAGUUUAAGUGUUACUUACUGUUGUGCAAAUUUUAUUGAACUCGCAAGUGCAGGAAUCUAUUGUAGAAUAGACUAAUGGUGAUGAGUGUCGAUCCCACGAGGAGGUGGAUUUUAACUGUGUGUAGAAUUAAUUUUGUAAAUGGGUAGUUGGAUUUCUGGUAAAAUUGAUUUGGAAUAUUCUAAAACUUAAAUUAAAAUGACGAGAAUAAAUUGAAGAUAAAUCUAUUGAAAUGAAGCACUUGGGUAUCCGGGUCGAUAUCAACAUGCACCAUGGGCUAAAUAUUCCUUAUUAAUACCAAUUAAAUCAUGAGGGGGAAAUCCACACCUCAUGAACCACACUCUAAUCAAUAUGGUGCUAAGGGCUUAUCGUGCCAAAUAAUAAUAACCUUGUACUAGAGAGCCGGUGAAACCAAGGCGGUAUCUAGACAAGAUUAUUAUUAUUUGUCGACGAGAAGUCAAAACAUCCACAAAAACUAGAGGGGAAGAGAAAAUAAAUUUACCAAAUAAAGCCCAUGACACAUGUUGAGACUUCACCUUCAACCCAAGCUUGAAAGAAAAUUAACUACUCAUAAUUAAACUAGGGGUAAAAUGGAAAUUUUUUAAAAUAUGUAGAAAGUACAAGAUGGAGAAGGAAUUACAGAAAAUGGAGUCCAAAAAUGGAUUCAGAGCCAUCAAAUUAAAGGGGGAGAGACCCCUUUUUAUAGAUACAUUGAGUAAAUUAUGGCCAUCGGAUCAAAAACAUUUCGGACGCUCAGGAUUGCGCCACGUCAUCAGUUAACAGUACGCGGUUUGAUCACGCGGUAGAACAGUAACACAGGUUGGUUGAAAAUAAUCCUGUGUAAUGCAUGUACAGUAAGCGAGAUUUUUGGUCCACUGAUAUGCUGCCACGUCAUCGAUCAACAGUAUAUAAGAAUUUUAGUCCAACAGGAUCGUGACACCUCAUCAGUCAAUGCCACAUCAUCGAUCAAUGCCACGUCAUCGAUCCGUCUAUUUGAACAGUGUCGUGAACAGUAACGUAGACAAUACCGUACAUGUGAAUAGUACAGUACAUGUGAACAGUAAUAUUUUUCCUUUUAUGCUCCUCCUAAAGUUUUCGACCGUCCUGAGUUCAAAAGUGAUGUCCGUUUUGCCGUCUGAUCUCUCGUUCAUUGUGAAAUAACUAUGAUGCCCCUAAAAUACAUAAAAUACUUAAUUAUAAUACAACACACAUAAUUAAAUGACAAGAAGCUUAAAUGCAUAAAAGUAAGGGUGUUAAUAAAACUUAAAGUGUAAAAUAACGAUUUUCUCCUUUAUAAAUAUACAUUUUCUAGCACUCAACACACCCCCCAACCAGCUUAUUGCUAGUCCCUAGCAAAUAAAGCGAAAAAAAAAUUCAAAUCCAAAAUGAUUUUUUUUUUAAACACUCGUGUUUAUUCAAUCAGACUAAUGAUAGAAAUCAAAUAAAAGUAUAAGCAUUAUCUCCAGUCUACAGAAACAUCACACCCACAUCAAUCAUUCACAUGAAUUAGCCCAAUAGACUUUGUCACAACUACUUUCAAGAAUGACAUGUUAAACCUCAAAAUCUCACUGGAAAUAGUGACACUCUCACAAAUAAAUUAAACCCAAUAAAAAUAGUCACUCCAAUGAAUGGUAAUUGAGAGAAAAUAAUAAAGAAAUGAUAUCACAUGCUCUCACCAAGAUGAAAGAAAUAUGCCCCCAGCUUAGAAAUAAUACGAUCUCAAGUCAAAUAAAAAUAAUAAUCAACCCAAUUUAUUUCUUUAUUUAUUUUUUAUGCACUACUAUAUCUUUUUAGCACAUAUAACUAGUUUCUACUUCAGGCUAUAGUUUCCUAAAAUUAAGAAGGACUUUUAUUAGGACGUAACGUAGGCUAAGGACAUAGCUAACAAAGAAGGGAAAUAAGGAAAACAAAGUGUAUGUUUGAGAAAAAUGCAGAGAAUUGUUUUCUUUUUUGGAAGUUGCAAGGUGAAUUUCACCUAUUAUUGUUAUUUUUUUAAACAACAAUUUUUUUUUGCUUUUGUUUGGCACAACUUCACUGAACAAAAUAAUUAUUUACAUUUUUCUCAAACAUAAAUAAGUGAUGAAACUUAUAAGACAUCGGGUAAUACUCCAAAUCGGAGUGGGUCAAGAUGAUAAGUUUGACAAAGAAAAUGUUUAUUUUUUAAAGGCUCAAAAGGAUUAACUAUGGAUAUUUCAUAAAAGGGAUGUCUAGAAAGGUUCAAACGGAUCAAAAAUGGCAUUUCCAUCGUCUUUUAGGGCUCUAAAUAAUCUUCCAUAUCUACUAGUUAGAUGGGCCUCCAAAUGUAGCAACACACAUUUUAUUUCUUUUUUUUUUAAUUUUUAAGGGUUAACUCAAAAGAAAUCUAGAGAUUGUGUAUAAAAUAAUAAACUGCUAAGCUGUAUAAAGAGUGGGCAAAAGGGUUACUCACCAAGAAAAAUAAUAGGCUAACAAAAAACUCACUUGGUACUUAUUAUGACAUGUUCAUUCCUUCAAGCAACUCAUAUUUGUCUCCGAAAUCAACAUGUAGAGUAGUAAACAUGGCGUAACAUCACUUAAGACCAAAGAUAAUACAAAUACUAAAAUUUGAAAUUCAUCAUGUCAUCCAAUGUUAAAACAAAUAACACAAUUUUUGUUUAAACAACAUUCUACCCCCCAACCUAUUCUAAACAUGAAAGGAAAAUAUGCAUGCAGAAAUGUGAAAAUGAUGCAGAAAAAUUAAUUAGAAAAGUUACACUUAAAAUGAUAGAAAAAUAAAAUGGUUUUUUUUUUAAUUAAGAAGAUGCGUUUCUAGAGGCACUAUACUCCAUAUUCAGCCAUCUUUGACUCAAAAUUUUGAAGAUGUAUAUUUAUAAAGGAGAAAUUAAAAAGAAGAAAAAAAUGAAUAUCAAAGCUUAAUAAAGAAAAAGAAAAUGUCUGAAUUUUUUUUAAUUUUUUUUUCAAACGAUGAAGAUGCGUUUCUAGAGUCACUAUACUCCAUAUUCAGCCAUCUUCAACACAAAAAGUUAGCAACAGUCAAUUUCUACAACAAAAAAUCAGUAAAAACUUAACCAAAAUUCCACAAUUGUCGACUAUUCCCUCCCCCCAACCAUAACGAAACAUUGUCCUCAAUGUUUUAAAGGAAAGAAGCAGAGUUUAGAAGAUAUCACCUGGGUGGUGCAACACAGAAGAAAAUAUUUACAAGCGGAGAGUUAAAUCUAAUUUGUACUUCUUACUGCGGCUACUGUUACCAUCAUUAUUUGGACGCUCCAACACAAAGGUCCAGGGGUUUGGCUCCGGUCUAUAAGCUUGUAACAGAUCAAGUAGCUCAUUAACAGUGUGAGUACAAAUAAAAAGUUUUUUUCACAUUGGAAGGAAUGAAAUAGUUUUUUAUUACAUGGUUAAGAAAUACGAUAAAGCCAUCAUAAAAGUUAUUGACAUUUAACAAACCGAUGGGCUUCUAGUGAAUGUGCAGAUGGGCCCAAGAUGCUAGUGUGAUAAGUGCCUCUAGAGUUACAUGAUCUCCUGGAAGGAAAAUAAAAGCAUCAGCAUGAUUAAGUAUUUAAGUUAUUCUUUCUUGCAUACCUGAGACAACUAACUCUUCUCCAGUCGAUAAGUCAGACAAAUUGCCCAAAGGUUUUAGGGCUCUUGGGAUGAUGCCUAACACUUGACUUCCUCUGACAAAAGCAGUUUCUGAGACCAAUUUUGAUAACCCUCGGUUACCUCCUCCACACACCAAGUGUAAUUUUCUCUCUGCUAUGCUUCGACCAAGAUCUAUGGCUGCCUCAACGAACUCUUUAUGUUUGUCAUAGUUAAAUAUAGAAAGCACACAAAUGUUCUUGAAUUAUCUAUUUGGAGUAACUGCCAUUGGGAUACUUCUCAAAAAUAAUUUGUGAGCACUUGACAAAAAAUCAUAUUUAAGAAUCUUGGUGAUAGUGGGUCACAGUUGUGUAUGAGGUAACAUAUCAGUGUCAAAUAGUGCGUAAAGCACAUGGCUCGCGAGUCAAAAAGGAAACAGUAAAAAGAAAAAGAAACAAUGAUAAAAUAAAAUAAUUAAAGACAAUAAUGCAAAUGAUAAAACAAUAGUGAAAUAAAAUAACAGUGAAGUAAAAGGAUAUUUACAGAUAGUUGCGACUGUGGCUCACAUCUUCCUCUGGUUUUACGUCCAGAAACGGCUUGAACGCCCUCUGUGGGUCGAUGAUAGACUUCCCAUCCAGUUUUCUUAUAAACUGGCAAACAGAGUUGUUUAUAGUCAGAUUCUCGAGACUAUAUCGUGCAUGCUCUUUCUGGAAUAAUGGCCAUAACUGGAGAAUCGUUCCUUGCACAUAUCCACUGGAAUGCGUUUCACGAGACAAAAGGAUAUCAUCCAAUGACUCCUUAUUCAAGCCAUCCCUAAUGAAUUGAAUCUUAUCUUCCCUAUUAUCAGACACCAUUCCUAAAGAACAUGGGUUUUUGUCGCAACGCAUUCUGGCACACUUAUGACAAGCAACAUAAAUUUUUCGAGCUCUUCGUUUUCUUGCAUAAUUUCCUUUACCACAACCAGGCAUGUAUGCAAUAAAUUUUGGAGGUAACUCACCUGCCAAUCAUACUUUCGCCUCGAUUAACCAACGGAUGUCAACAGGUAUGUUAUUCCUCAUGAGCAAUCGCAUGUGUUUGGACCAGGCUUUAUAGAUUGUAAGGAGGGCAUUCUGAGGAAGUGAAGGGAAUCGAUUGUGAAGCUUUGCUAAGAUCUCAUUUAUGUCUAUACCUUCGCCUCAGAAUAUCAGUUAUUAUGGAAAACUGAAGUAACCAACUUGAUUGUCACGGAGUACCGUUAUCUGCCACUUCACCGGGGUAACAAACUAAAGCACACAAACAGAAAAACAAAUUAAAACACACAAAGAAAUUAAAAUCGUCCUCUUAUUGAAUUUACCUCAAGCUCCAACUGGAUGUUGUAGACACCUCUCUCAAUGUCUCUGAGUUGGCUUUCUAAAUCCUCAACAUAGGAUACUAACUCUGGUGGUUGCAGAGCCCAAAUAAGAUGUGUCUUACAAAAUCGAAUCUGCCUUUUGAGAUGAGAUUUUACGCGUUAAAGUGGUUUAAGAAUGUUCAGGAGGAACUGUUUAGCUAUGACACUCAUGAUUAACAAUGAUAAGAGAAAACUUAAUGGUUAAACAAACACACUUAUGAAAAAAUAAUUUCAAUUAGCAAAAGAAUAAUAAAAAGAAAGAAAAAAUCAAAUCACCGAAAAGAAAGAAAAAAAAACUCAAUUCAAAUCUAGUGGGACAAUUAAAUUUAUUUCGGCGUCCUCUUCAUGUGGUUGGUACUCUAGAUAUGGCUUUAAUCUUUGACCAUUAGCUUUAAACGUGACACCGUUCUUUGGGUCCUUAAUUUCAAUUACCACAUGUGGAAAAACAGUAUGAACAAUAAAGGGGCCAGACCAUCGAGUGCGUAACUUACCUAAGAAUAGGUACAAGCAAGAAUUGAAUAAAAGCACUUUCUGACCUGGAGUGAAAGAUUUUCUCAUAAUUUGCUUGUCAUGGAAGACUUUCAUUCACUGCUUGUAAAUUCUGGCAUUUUCGUAUGCAUCAUUGCAAAUUUCUUCAAGUUCUGCCAGUUGUAAUCUUCUUUCUGAGCUGGCUUGCUGCAUGUCAAAGUUGAAUUUCUUGAUGGCCCAAUAUGCACGAUGCUCGAGUUCCACAGGUAGGUGGCAAGCUUUUCCAUACACUAGCCUGUAAGGUGACAUCCCAAUCGGAGUCUUGAAAGUCGUUCUAUAUGCCCAUAAUGCAUUAUCAAGUCUUAAUGACCAAUCUUUUCUGUCUGGCCUCACCGUCUUUUCUAAUAUGUACUUUAUUUCUCGAUUGGAGAUCUCAACUUGGCUACUGGUUUGGGGAUGAUAUGGGGUCGCCACUUUGUGAGUGAUUAAAUAUUUUGUGAAAAGAGCUUUGAAUACUUUGUUACAAAAGUGGGCACCACCAUCACUAAUUAUCGCUCGAGAGAAUCCAAAGUGUGAAACAAUGUUGCUUUUCAAAAAUCCUAUCACCACUUUGUGAUCAUUGGUUCUACAUGGAACUGCUUUUACCCAUUUUGAUACGUAGUCAACAACAGCCAAUAUGUAUUGAUGGCCAAAAGAAGGGGAAAAGGGUCCCAUGAAGUCGAUACCCCAUACGUCAAAAAUCUCAACCACUAAAAUUGAAUUUAGUGGCAUCAUGUUCCUUCGUGUAAUGUUCCCAUUCGUUGACACCUAUCACAUGAAGAACAUAAAGUGUAAGCGUCUCGAAAUAUAGUUGGCUAAUAAAAACCACAUUGUAAAACUUUAGUCGUUGUUUUCUUAAUGCUGAAAUGGCCUCCACAAGCUUGUUUUUGGCAGAAUGAAAGGAUAUUUUGAAUUUCACUUUCUGGGACACAUCGUCUAACAAUUUGAUAUGCACAAUACUUGAAAAAAUAAGGGUCAUCCUAAAAGAAAUUCUUUAUUUCUGUAAAAAAAAUUGGCUUUGUCUUGCUUGGUCCAAUGCUCUGGAAGUUGACCUGUAACAAGAUAAUUAACUAUAUCAGCAUACUAAGGUAAUACUUCCACACUCAUUAAUUGUUCAUCUGGAAAUGACUCAUUCAAUGUUAAUGGCUCUGUAAUUGUGUCAAAAUAGAGACGAGAGAGAUGGUCCGUCACAAUAUUUUCUGUGCCUUUCUUAUCUUUGAAUUCCAAGUCAAAUUCCUUCAAAAGUAACACUCAACGAAUUAGUCUAGCUUUUGCAUCUUUCUUUGUGAGAAGAUAUUUAAGAGCAGCAUGAUCUGUGAAUACAAUUAUUUUACAACCAAUGAGAUAAGAUCAAAAUUUUUCCAAUGCAAACACUACUGCUAGCAUUUCUUUUUCAGUAGUUGAAUAGUUCAACUGUGCAUCAUUCAAUGUCAUACUAGCAUAGUAAAUAACAUGAGGAAUUCGAUCAAUCCUUUGUCCUAAUAUUGCUCCUACUGCAUAAUCAGAUGCAUCACACAUGAGUUCAAAUGGUAAGCUCGAAUUUGGGGGCUGAAUGAUGGGUGAUGAUGUCAACAACCGCUUUAAUUUUUCAAAUGCCAUAAGACAUGAAUCAUUAAAGACAAAAGGUACAUCCUUAGCAAGUAGAUUGCAUAAGGGUCUAGAAACUUUGCUAAAAUCUUUAAUGAAACGUCUAUAAAAAGCAGCAUGCCCAAGGAAAGAUCUUACUUCUCUGACUGUUUUGGGUGGAGGAAGAUUAGAAAUGAGAUCCACCUUGGCUUUGUCAACCUCAAUACCUUUGCUCGAAAUGAUGUGACCGAGAACAAUACCUUGUUUUACAAUAAAAUGGCACUUUUCCCAAUUUAAGACUAAGUUCUUCUCGAUACAUCUCUGCAGAACUAGUGUUAGAUGAUGUAACCAUUGAUCAAAUGAGUCACCAAAAACAAAAAAGUCAUCCAUAAAAACUUUAAGAAAUCGUUCAACCAUAUAAAAAAAAAUGCUUAACAUGCAUCGUCGAAAUGUAGCAGGUGCAUUACAUAAGGGCAAGUGAAAGUGGUUUUCUCUUGAUCUUUUGGUGCUAUGGGAAUCUGAUUAUAUCUUGAGUAGCCAUCUAGAAAGCAAUAAAAUUCAUGGCCUGCUAAUCUAUCAAGCAUUUGAUUGAUAAAUGGUAAAGGAAAAUGGUCUUUACAUGUGACAGAAUUUAACUUUCUAUAAUCAAUGCAUACACGCCAUCCUGUAGUCACUCUAGUGGGUAUCAAUUCAUUAUUAGCAUUCGUAACUACUAUGACUCCUGACUUUUUGGGGACAACUUGCACUGGGUUGACCCAUGAACUAUCAGAAAUGGGGUAAAUGAUACCUGCAUCUAAUAGUUUAAGGACUUCAGUUCUAACAACUUCUUUCAUGUUAGGAUUUAACCGACGUUGCAUUUCCCUAGUAGGUUUAGCAUUUUCAUCAAGGUGAAUGUAAUGCAUGCAGUUUACUGGGUUUAUACCUUUUAUGUCUGCUAUAGUCCAUCCUAAUGCUCCUUUGUGCUCUUUUAAAACAUCCAACAACUUACCUUUUUGUUCGUCAUUGAGGGAUGAUGAGAUGAUUACCGGCAGAGUACUUUCUUCUCCCAAAAAUGCAUAUUCCAAAGUGUUGGGUAAUGGUUUGAGCUCUAGUUUCGGUGGUGAUUCUGAUGAUGGGAUGAGUUUAUUUUCUGAUGGUGCUAGUUGUUCAACUCUUGACUUCCAUUUAUUAGUGUCCAUGGAUGGUGCUAAGUCAAGCAGGGCAUUGACCUCAUCGACUGAUCUGUCAAUAUCAAAAUAAAAACCAAAGUGAGUUAAACAUGUUUGUAAGGGGUCAUCACUAAGGUUUGAAAGAAAAGUGUCAUCAACUAAUGCUUCAAUUAAAUCCACAUCAACAAUUUCAUCAUCUGCAUUAUGGGGUUGUUUGGCAAUGUUGAAGAUGUUCAGCUCCAUAGUCAUGUUGCCGAAGGACAACUACAUAUUUCCAGUCCUACAUUGAAUGUGAGCAUCCGCAGUUGCCAAGAAAGGUCGGCCUAGGAUAAUGGGGAUGUGCUUCCUUGAAUCAUGUAUUGGUUGAAUGUCAAUUACAAUGAAAUCAACAGGAAAAUAAAACUUGUCUACCUGAAUAAGCACGUCCUCUACAAUACCACGAGGUAUUUUCGUAGACCGAUCUGCAAGCUGUAACACUACUGGAGUUGGGUGUAAUUCUCCCAGUCCAAGUUUCACAAAUACAGAGUAAGGCAACAAAUUUACACUAGCUCCUAAAUCCAACAAAGCAUUCUCAAUUGUGUGGUUCCCUAUGCUACAUGAGAUAGUAGGGGAGCCUAGGUCUUUGCAUUUUAAAGGAAUUUUGUGUUGGAGUAUAGAACUAACGUUUUUUAUUAAAAAUGCUUUCUUUUGAACAUGAAUAUUUCUCUUUUUAGUACAAAUGUCUUUAAGAAACUUGGCAUAAGAUGGAACUUGUUUAAUAGCAUCAAGCAAAGGGAUGUUAACACUUACCUGUUUGAAGAUUUUGAGAAUCUCACCUGUGGAUUUUCCUUUCUUUCCUUUAGUUAGCCUCUGAGGAAAUGGAGCUUUGGGAAUAUAUUCUCGUGGGUUGGUUUCUUCUUUCUCUUCCGAUGGUGAGUCCUCAACAUUCACAGGUACAAUUUGAUUUUCUUUUGUCACCGGCAUCUCCACUUUGUUGUUGACUUCUUUUCCUUUUCGCAAGGUCACGACAGCUUUGAUCUCUCAAUGCUGCUGUGGUGAACUGGUACUUGCUUCAUGUACUCCUUUAGGAUUAGGUACUGGUUGACUUGGAAAUUUAUGUUUCUCAACGGUCAUUGCCAAGGUCUGAACUGAAGAAGCAAGUUGUCCCACCAUCUUCUCGAGGCUUGAAACUGAUUGGGCUUGUGAGUUGAAGCCUGCUCUCAACUCAUUUCGUAGUCGAUCAAUGGUGCGGUUCUGUUGCUCAAUCGUGGAGUGAGUAACAUUCUUGAAAUUCUGGAAUGCAUCCUCCCAUUGUUUGGGUUGAGAGUAGUUCUGGUUCUGAUUGUAUGGUCUAAAUGGUGGGUGAGAGGCUUGAGGAACUUGAGGAAUUGGUUGCAUUGGUGGAGCUGGAGCUGCUGGUAUAUUUUGUUGGAAUCCUUGAGACCAUGAAAAUUUAGGGUGGUCUCUCCAUCUAGGAUUAUAUGUAUUGGAGUAUAGGUUGUAAUUUGAUGGUUUUCUCAUUACACCAAUGGCAUUGGCUUGAUCUGAGUAUGAGUCAUGGUCAUGUGGUUUUGUUGAUGUAGUAGUCGUUAACGAUGCUAUUUGUCGAAAAAGAUCUUCAUCCAUCUCCUUGACUUCUUUGAUUCCCGAAGUUGACUCACCAAUGUGAACCUCAUUUACUCCCUUAAUUCUUUUAGUAUUCCUGAGUGAUCGACUCCGUUGUUGGGAAUUAUCUGCUUGUCGCUGGAAGAAUUCCCAAAUCUCUGAUGCACUUUUUGACAUUAGCUCUCCUCCACUUGUUGCCAUUAGUCAUUCUUGCACAUUUGGCAAUAAUCCCUCCAAAAGGUAUUGGCAUUGGUGCCACUUCUCGUACCCAUGAUGUGGACACUUCAAGAGUAGCCCAUUAAAUCGCUCCCAUGUUUCGAAAAACUGCUCGUCUUCUCUCUAGGUAAACUCUGAAAUUUUCCUGCGAAUAGCAUUGGUUUUAUGCACUGGGAAAUAUUUAUUAAAAAAUUUUAUUACCAUUUGUUCUCAUGAUGUAAUGCUAUUAGCAGGUAAUGUAUUGAGCCAUGAACGAGCUCUAUCUUUUAAAGAAAAUAGGAAUAGUCUGAGUUUAACAUCAUCAUUUGAAAAAUUCUCGUAUUUAAAAGUUUGACAAAUCGCAUGAAAAUCAUUCAGAUGAUUAUAUGGGUCCUCAUUUUCUAAGCCAUAGAAUGUUGGGAGACAAUUUAGCACACUAGGUUUUAGUUCAAAACUCCUAGCAGUUACAUUUGGGUAUCUUAUGCAUGAUGUGCUCAAAUUAGCUAAGGGACUAAAAUAGUCCUUAAAUGGCCUCUCCUGUGGUGGUGCUUGUUGUUGCAAAUCCAUUUCAAAUUUAUUUUUAACGUGUUUGUGUGUGCGCAGUGUUUUUUCUAAUUCAAGGUCUAUAGGCUUAAGAUUAGGUAAUAAUGACCUUUGACUAUGCAUGCAAAGAACAAAAAAAUAAAUAGGAAUAAAACAAAUAAAAAUAAAGAAGAAUGAGAAAUUACGGUACUAACCUUAUCACGUUGUUACAACAUUUCUAUAAAAACACACUAAAACAAAUACGUGAAAUAAAUUAAUAAGAUAAAUAAAAAAUCACAAAGAAAAAUAAAUUGAAAAUUAAAUUAUAGAAUUUUAAAGAAGAGAAAAAGAAAAGAAAUACUAACCUUUAAAUGCAGAUUCACUUUUUUUUUCUUUUUUUAAUAAAAAAAUACAAGAAAACAAAUAAAAGAAAUUAUUCACAAAAAUUAAUUCUACGAAUUAAAAUAACUUAACUCCCCAGCAACGGCGCCAAAAACUUGUUGUGCAAAUUUUAUUGAACUCGCAAGUGCACAAAUCUAUUGUAGAAUAGACUAAUGGUGACGAGUGUCGAUCCCACGAGGAGGUGGAUUUUAAUUGUGUGUAGAAUUAAUUUUGUAAAUGGGUGAUUGGAUUUCUGGUGAAAUUGAUUUGGAAUAUUCUAAAACUUAAAUUAAAAUGGCGAGCAUAAAUUGAAGAUAAAUCUAUUGAAAUGAAGCACUUGGGUAUCCGAAUCCGUAUCAACAUGCACCAUGGGCUAAAUAUUCCUUAUUAAUACCAAUUAAAUCAUGAGGGGGAAAUCCACACCUCAUGAACCACACUCUAAUCAAUAUGGUGCUAAGGGCUUAUCGUGCCAAAUAAUAAUAACCUUAUACUAGAGAGUCGGUGAAACCAAUGCAAUAUCUAGACAAGAUUAUUAUUAUUUGUCGACGAGAAGUCAAAACAUCCACAAAAACUAGAGGGGAAGAGAAAAUAAAUUUACCAAAUAAAGCCCAUGACACAUGUUAAGACUUCACCUUCAACCCAAGCUUGAAAGAAAAUUAGCUACUCAUAAUUGAACUAGGGGCAAAAUGAGAAUUUAUUAAAAUACGUAGAAAGUACAAGAUGGAGAAGGAUUACAGAAAAUGGAGUCCAAAAAUGGAUUCAGAGCCAUCAAAUUAAGGGGGGAGAGCCUCCUUUUUAUAGAUACAUUGAGUAAAUCAUGGCCAUCGGAUCUAAAACAUUUCGGACGCUCAGGAUUGCGCCACGUCAUCAGUCAACAGUACGCGGUUUAAUUACGCGGUUGAACAGUAACACGGUUUAGUUGAAAAUAAUCCUGUGUAAUGCAUGUACCGUACGCGAGAUUUUUGGUCCACUGAUAUACUGCUACAUCAUUGAUCAACAGUAUAUAAGAAUUUUAGUCCAACAGGAUCGUGACACCUCAUCAGUCAAUGCCACAUCAUCAGUCAAUGCCACUUCAUCGAUCCAUCUAUGUGAACAGUGUCGUGAACAGUAACGUAGACAAUACCGUACAUGUGAACAUUGACAUUUUUCCUUUUAUGCUCCUCCUAAGGUUUUCGACCGUCCUGAGUUCAAAAGUGAUGUCUGUUUUGCCGUCUGAUCUCUAGUUCAUUGUGAAAUGACUAUGAUGCCCCUAAAAUACAUAAAAUACUUAAUUAUAAUACAACACACAUAAUUAAUGACAAGAAGCUUAAAUACAUAAAAGUAAGGGUGUUAGUAAAACUUGAAGUGUAAAAUAACGAUUUUCUCCUUUAUAAAUAUACAUUUUCUAGCACUCAACACUUACCUCUUGGCCUUGACUUCUCUAGACCUUUCUAAAUUAAGGAUUUCUCUACACUUGAUAUUAUGACUUAGAAUAAAAAAGAAUGAAAUUUUUAGGUUGGAUUGAAAAUGAAAGGGGUUAGGGGGUAUUUAUAGGAUUUCUUAAGGCUAAUGGAUGGUUAGGAUUUUUCCAUCAUAACUCUUGAUCAAUGGUUGAGAUUAACUUUAUAGAAAUUGCCCUGUUGUCUAUGGCCAGAUCAGGUGGGGACUUGACAGUAGGAAGGGCUAAUUCCCAAUGGAUUUUAUUGGCUUUAGAAGCAGGUUCUUCUUUAAAGGCUUCUAUAUCUGAAGAGGCUAUAGACAUAUUGUCUUGUUCUAGUACUCCAAUCUUACUAGAUUGGGCACUAUCCGGGGCUAUUUAGAUUUUACUAGAUGAAGAAGAAGAAGCUUCUAUUCUAUCUAGUUGUUCUUUAAUAGCUUUAACAAAAUCUGAUUUUGACUCUUGAACAAGCUUUUGACUAGUUUUCAAAACCUGAAAGGGUUUGAAAAUAGGCUCCUUAAGCUUUUUGUCAGAAUCCGAUUUUGAUGUAUCAGGAGAAACAGCUAUGGUCGACUUUUGGAAUUGGCUUUCUAUCAUAGUUAACUGUUUUCCUAUUGUAUUUAGAUUUGCAUUACAGAAAUUAUUCUGUUGAAUAAUGCUAUCUAAAUCUGAUUCUGGAUCUUUAUGGAUUUUAUAAGGUGAGGCUUUAAUCUCAAUACGAGGCUCACCAUGUUCAAUUAUUAGACUCCUAAGAGGUGGAUGCUCAGAUUCUAUGACUCUACCACUAUCGGAGAGGUUCCAUUCCAGGAUUUUCUUUCUAACAGUAAUGGGAUUUGUUUCGUUAAAAGGAUAAGUAAUGUUGUUCUCCGAAGCAUACAUCUCAAACCAAUCAAAAAAUAAUAUAUGAACUUUAUGCAAAUUUACAAAUUCAUAAUAAACUUGUUGGAUUUCUUUUCUUUGGUUUAAGAAAUGUUUGAAAAACCAAAGACUUUUUUCUUUAUUGGAAUCAGAAUAAAAAUCAUCGUGAAGAAGAGUUUUAUCUAAUUCAAAAUCUUUUUCUAUAACAUUAAUUACAUUUUCUGUGACGGCAGAAAAUGUAGGAGAAGUUGGAGGAGAAGGUUCUUUCUCUUCCUGUUGUUUUUCAUGUUGUCGGCUAGUGUAAAUAGGAUGAGGAACACUAGUUGUAUAGUCGACAGAAUGUAUGGAAGAACUAGGUAUAUCCGAGGUGGAAAACCUAGGUUGACUUUGUAUUGGUUGAAAAGGGAGAUUUAUAAUAGAAGGAAUUUUUGAAAAUCUCCUUUCCAAAGUAGGAAUACUCGUACUUGAGUCUUUGUCGGAGAAUCUGGAUGAUGUAGAUCUCCUAAAGGAUAAUUUGACUUUGCCAUCUGAAUACUGAGUUACAUUUUAUAACUCUGUAUUAGGCUCAAGUUGUUUUGGAAUUACUGGAGCAGUGGCUCCUUCAAGAAUCCAUUCGUCUGGAAGAUUGACCUCUUUCCAUUGGAUUGGUUUUGGAAUAACGGUGUUGGCUUUAGACAGGUCAGUCUGCAAGAGAAGAGUCUCAUCUCUUUUUUACUGAAAUUUAUGUUGCGUGCUAAACGCAGAAAUCAUGGCUUUGUAAGAAAUUUUAUAGAUUAAUGCAACUGGAACAAAUCCCUCAAUCAUGUGAUAAUUAUGGGUCUUGAUUUGCAAAAUCAUGCUUUUUAGAAUGUUCUUGUUUUUUAGAGAAAUUGUUAUGUUCGGGUAACAAUUGAAUGAAAUGGGACCUUUACAAAGACUUGAUUCUAUACUACUUAGUAAAGAAUCAUCAAAAGAGAUGAAUCGCCCAUCUCUUAGGACAGCCAGUAUAAAGGUAUUAAGACCUUCUUUUGUUAAGGGUUUUAUACCAACUUGUAUUAAGCCGAUAUGAACGUAAUUAAAAUUCUUAUCUUUUAAUUUCUUUAAAGAGUGUUCUGAAAAUAGAUGAAUAGUUUCAAAAGGUUUUGAAAGGGUUAUGCCUCUUUCUUUAGUUUUUAUAACAUAAUCAUUAUGUAAAAAAUCAAGCUUUUUGUUUUAUAAAUAAUUUCUUUGUUAACUUUUGGUAAUUCCCAAUUAUCAAUUGCUUUAUUAAAGUCUUCAAUCACAAAUUCUUCCGAAUUCACAACAUUCUUUGAAUCACUAGUUCUUCCAGAAGAAGAGCUAGAAAAGGACGAUGCUCUACAGAGCAGAGAAUCCAUGGGUCAAGACCUAUAUUCUAGUAUCAGUCUUGUCGGUAUGGCUACAAUCCAAGGCUAAGAAUUGGUUUUACUGCCCUUCAACCUAAUCGGGACUUACGACCAAAAACUACCAAGGCACACAGAGGUAACACUCACCACACAAACAAAGUUUAACUAAAACACAAGUCUUUAAACAUAAAGUCUCUAUUCGAUAUUACACUAUCCUUCCCGUGGCUCUGAUACCAGUAAGAAAAUAUUAUUAUUAUUAUUAUUAUUAUUAUUAAUACUUAAGGGGGCUUGUUAGCUUAAAAUAAAUUCUAUUAUAUUUAAGUGAGAAAAUUGUACCUCACAGAUGUAGGAAACAUAUACGGUAAAAUAUAUCAAAAAUUACAAUAUUUGAGUCGAUUUAAUAUUUGAUAGUCUAUUAAGAUUUAACCUAUUAGAGUAUAAGUUUUCUAGUUUAAUUAUAAAUUACUUUAUAUCUCCUUGUUUAAAGUCAUAUUCCUUUUACUUAUAAGGAAUCAUAAUUUUAUUAGGAUAGGAUAAUAUUAAUUAGUAUUAAUAGGCUUAUUAUGCUUGUUUCUUGACACAAACUUUUUCAUUAAUAAUAUUUAGUAUUUCUCAAUUGAGAUAUUUUCUCUUUUGUGAGAGCCUACUUUCUUGAGUUUUCAAGAAUGUACGCUAGAACGAAAUCUAGUAUCGCUUCCGCCCUGCAUCAUAAAUUAACAUUAAAUGUAAAAUAAAACAUAAAUUAAUUAAAUAAAGCUUAAGACCUAUAAAUUGAAUGUAAAACAAGUAAAUUAGCAUAUGAAUGGUAAAAUGAUGUAUUAUUGAUAACCAAAAUAUAAACUUACAGAUAUAACACAAAACUUGUAAAUUAAAGUUAAGUGUAAAAUAAAACAUAAAUUAAGUAAUAAAACAUAAAAACCUAUAAAUAGAAAGUAAAACAAGUAAAAUUAACAUAUGAGUGGUAAAAUGAUGUAUUAUUGGUGAACAAAUCAUACACUUACAGAUGUAACAUAAAACUUGCAAAUCAAUAUUAAGUGUAAAGUAACAUAAAAAUUAUAUAAAUGAAAUGGAAGACUUACAAAUAAAAUGUACAGCAAGUAAAUAUUAUAAGAGUUACUGAAACAAUGUAAACAUACGAAUGUAAACAAAAACUCAUUAUAAUUAUAGUUACCUUACAUGUUUACUGUUUUUAUUUCGAAAUUGAAUAAUGAUAAUUUUAGAUUUAUGUAAUACAUGUCAUUGUAUAUGUGAAAUUUUAUUAAGGAUACGUUUUGUUUUCUAAAUCAAAUUUUGAAAAAAAAAUCAUAUCUUUCAAAAUUGUUUGUAAGAUAAGUGUUUUUGAUCCUUUCAAACCUCAUUAACGGCAAUUCUAAAUGAUCUUUUAAUGUAAGUAGGAAGUAAAGUUUAAAACUACAUGAAAUAUGUUUAAACUAAAAAUUAAAUCAAAGAAAAUUAAUUAAAUUUAAGACUAUGUUUAUUGAUAUUUCAUAUAUAUCUAAUACUGUAAGAAUUUUUUUAAUUUUAUUUUGACUUGAUCCACAAGACAAAACAAUUUUGCUUAAUUUACCUGCACAUUAAACAAAUAUUAUGAUAGAAAAUGAAAAAGAAGGCAUAGAGAUUGAAUUUAUGGUUAAGACUAAUUUAUAAAACGUAUUCUAAUUGUUUUCAAUUGAUGAUUUUUUUUAUUUAAGUAAAUUAAUAAAUAAACUAUUUCUUAAAUUAAAGUUUAAUGUUGAUUUACGAGGUUAAUUUUAUAAAUGUUUGUUUUGUUUGUAAUUUUAAAACAUAAAUUUAUCAAUUUUAUAUUAAUUUACUUGUUUUGCUUUUUAUUUACUAGUCUUAUAUGUAAUUUAGAAAAUUUAUAUUUAUCAUAGCAUUGAUAUAGUAAUUUUAAUUCUGACAUCCCAUAAUUUUCUGUGCAUUAUUCAUCCAAAGGGCAUUCGGGUCAAUUUUGUAUUGCAUGGAUGAUUGAAUGAAAUAUGUAUGCAUGCAUUUUUUUAGGGCUAUUCAUGAUUUAGGGGUUAAAUUGAUGAAAAUUAGCCAUUUAGGGCUAUUCAUACAUUUUGUAAUCGUUAUGGACCUUUCUGUAAUUGUCUUGUAAAUGAACUUAUUAUUGAGCAUGCAACUUUCAUGUAUUUAAGAUUUUUUCCAAAAUCUGACGUGAUUGAUAAUGCAAUCCUUUUUAUAUGAUUUAGCAUUCUUUUUGCCAUUCUUUUGACUUUUCUUGGAUAUAAUCCAUAUUGAUUAUUUUAUUUUAGGUAUAUUUUAGUUAAUACAAGGAUUCUAUGACCUAUUUGAGUUUUUAUUAUUUAUGGAAAGCAUACUAAUCAAUUCCUACACAAAUUACACUUUCCUACUUCUAUAAGGUCCAGGUUUAUAUCUCUUUAUAAGUACAUCACUAAAAGGCUCCUCAACUAAAAUUUUACAUAUCAUUUGAAAAGGCACAUAAUAAAAAAAAAUUCCCAAGGCUCUCUAAAUGAGAUUAAUCUAAUAAGAUUAUCCUUCUCUCUCUUCAAUAUCUUCUCAUUAUUGAAUGACCAGAUAUGUUAUAAUUGUUAUUAUUUUGGUGGAGAAAAAAGCUUAAUUAAAAUAAUAUUGAAGAGAGAGAAAGACAAUCUUAUUUAAAGAAUCUCACUUAAAGAGAUUUUUUGAGCUUUCAAUUUAGUAUUAUAUUACUUUUUAUAUCUUCUCAUUCUUGAAUGGAGAGAUGUGUUAUAAUCAUUAUAUUUUGGUCAAGAAAAAAGUUUGAUUGAAAUUAUAUUAGAAGAGUCUUUUCGGAGAUGACUAAAUUUUUAUUCUUCUAUUCGUCACAUGGAUAAGCAAAUAAAUAUUUGAAGAAUUAAAUUAGAAGAGUCAUAUGGUGAUGCUUUAAGGGCUAUUGCUUAACUCGUUUUUGUCAUUACUUCUCACUUAAAUAGCAGCCCAUAUCUCCAUAGCUUCUUCUUUUUUUAAUUAUCGUUCAGUUGUACAUCAUGGUUUCCACAAUAUCAAGUUCAAUGAAGAAGCGAUAAAAAAUGCUUGCUGAACAACCAAAGAAAGUGGAUCCUCUUGUUGAUUCCAACAUGCAUGGAGUUGAUUCAAUUAAUAUUGCACAUGAUGCUCAUGAAGAAGAGAAGGAUCAUAACCUAUGGCAUAUGACGAAAGCUAUGUCAAAAUCAAUCAAUGGACAAGGAUUGAGUAUGCAUAUCUCUUUAACCAAUUCAAGUAUUUAUGGAAUAUUAAACUCUUAAGAAAGUAUAUCCUAGUACCCCUCUACUCGGGUUUGGGUGAAAUCCUACACCUGUAUGAAGGGAAGUACUUCACAUAUUGAAAAUUGAAGACAUCAUAUUUUAUGUUAGAGAAGCUGCCAACGUAGAGAACAAUAAGAAACCUUAUCUAGCCACAUAUGAUGUUUCAUUUCUUUAUAUUGUUUUAGUCUUCCUCAUAUCAAAUUUUCUUCAUAUCAAGUCUUUCAUUAGACAUUCUUUAUUAUUUACUUUGGUCAAUUAAGAACGAAGGGGUCGUUUGUUGUGAUGAGGAGAUCUCAAGGAAGCAACAAACAUAAUUGAAGACAAGUGGUGUUUGCUAAGCAAUAUUGACUAAGUUACAUUUAACAAGGUGGCGGCAAAAGUAAGAGAAAAUCUGAAAUUGCGUAAGAAUUCAAUAGGUUGUAAUAUUUUCAUUACUAAGUAGAUUACUUGAUGGCCGGACAUGCCACAUGGAUGUAGGAUUAUGAUCCGAACAAUGCAAAAAUGCUUUAUAUGCUUUACUUUCUGUAGUUUACUACUUCUACCAUAUUUGAUAGAUUUUGGGUGAAUGAACAGUAAUGUGAACAAUGUGGUAAACAAUUAAGAUGAACUAUAAAGAUAAAUAGUGACUCAUACAUAAUAUCAUAUGAAUAGUAACUAUAAUCAUUAUUGUGUAAAUAGUAAAUCGUAAAAUAGUAUUACUUGAAUAGUAAUCUAUGAGCAAUAAUUUCAAGAUUGAUUAAUUAAGGUAAUUAAUUUAUCUAGUAUUUUAGUUUGCUUACACUUGUUAAAAUAGAUCUAAAUUCUUAACAUUAUUAAAUAUUGUAUUUUUCAUUUCAAGUACUAACAUAAUAACAAUUGUAUCCUUACAACAAAAAGAUUGUAUAUGUCCAAAAAAAGGGUUUAUAUACUACUUUUGAGAAUACGGUAGUCUUUAUAUCCAUGUUACCAAACUAUAGAGGUGUCUAUAUUAAGGGUGGUAAAAAAAUCCUACUCCAUUUUUGGUGCGAUUGACCCGCCCUGAAAAUUCUAGGUUUUGAUCAAAAUUUAAGGAUUAAGGGUCGGGUUAGGGCUUAAGUAUUCGGGCCAAUCAAAUUUAGGUCAGAAUUUAGGCUCUACCUACCCCUAACUAGACCCACCAUAACCCUUUUAAAAAAACAGUUAUACACACGUAUCACACAAUAUUAUGAUCGGGUUUUUGCCAUGAUUUUUUUUAAUUUUUUUAUGGUUUCAUUUUAUUUUAGAUUGGGGAUAUGAAAAUUAUGGUAGUGGUGGGGCAAGUCAUGAGGAUCAUGUCCAAAGCUUGAAGAUUUCUUUGGGUCAUGUUGCUACUCAAUCUCUACAUCAACUGACCCUACUGAUGGCCAAAACCAACAUACAGCUACUUCAAUGUUGAUAAUAAUAGAGACUUUUGUUAACUUGUAUAUGUUCUUUAUAAUGAUUUUGAUGAUAACAAACUCUGAAUGAUUUUGAUUAAAAUGUUGGAGUUUUCUAUUUAAUACAUAUUUCAUUAAAAAGUCGUAUAAUAUUUUCCUAAAAUAUGAGAAACCAUUAAAUUUUAAAGUGGGAAAACAUCUUCUACAAAAUGAUGAUUAAAACUGUGUUUCUGGAAAUAAAUGGUGAAUCAUUAACAUUGAAACAGUUAACUGAUAAAUUCCAGAGAUGAGGAUUUUCUUAAACUUGAUCUGGUGAGUGAAAACGGGCAACACAAGUGUGUCUUCUACAAAAUGAUGAUUAAAACUGUGUUUCUGGAAAUAAAUGGUGAAUCAUUAACAUUGAAACAGUUAACUGAUAAAUUCCAGAGAUGAGGAUUUUCUUAAACUUGAUCUGGUGAGUGAAAACGGGCAACACAAGUGUGCAGGGAAGGUUACUAGAAAUAAACGGCUAACCGUUGAUAUAAAAAUGGUGAACCGAUAAUUUCCAGAAUGGAAAUAGGUACUAACCUUCAACCAUUGAAGACAAACGGAUAAGUUUAUUCUAUUUUGCGUGUUGCUUAAAUCUGGCGAACCGUUUAUCGUCAAACGGCUAACCGAUAAUUUCCAGAAUGUCAUUCCAUGCUAACUUUUAACCAUUUAGCAAAAACGAAUAGCAGAAAUUUAUUUUGCAGGUCUCUGGAAAUUAACGGCAAACUGAUAGUGGCAAAAGGUCAACUGUUUAUUUGAGUUUCAGCUCAACUGUCACUUGGACCAGUCAAAACAGUUAACCAUUAAUGGUUAACGAUGAUUCGAUUUCAUGCAGAAAGUUAACAACGACUAUAUUUCAGCUCCAACUAUAAAUAAGCUCAUUCAAAUUCAAACAAGGGUUGAUCACAACGUUAUCAUUGAGCUUAUAAUCAAGAAUACAAUCUUCAUUGAGUCAAACACAUUCUUGUUCCAUUUAUUCUCACAUUUGGGCAUUGAUUUGUAAUCAUAUACUUUGUGUGAGAGAAAAACAAAUUUGUAAUCUUUGUUUGAGUGAUUGUAAGUGUUGGGAUACACUUGGGUUAAGAGAUUGAGAAUAAUCUCUUAGUGUAAAAGUUGAUUGACACCUUAGAAGUCAAUUGUAAGUGUUCUUGAAGCCUUGAAAGCUUAACUAGUGGAAUCCUCAAGCUCGGUGUACUUAGAGGCGUGGACGUAGGCGAGGUUGGCCGAACCACGUAAAAAUCUCCGUGUUUGAAUCUCUCUUCCCUUAUCUUUCUAUAUUUUGAUUUAUUUAUUUAUUAUUGCUUUAAUUUGUUUUAAGAUUUGCUUCUAGAUUCAAUUUGAUAUUGCAUAAUUUUUAGAAACCCAAUUCACCCCUUUCUUGGGUUGCUUAGAUAUUAUUUCAACUUUGACUUAUAAAUCAUUGCUGAAGAUCUAACGAGCCACCCAUCUUGAAUCAUCCACCACCACUACAAUCAACAUCAUCAUCACCCACAAACACAAACCUUAAACCUUAGUUAUAACUAUAACCACGAUGAUGUUAUGUACCAACAUCAUUUUCUUCAUUAGCAUCAGCUUGUUUCUUUAAAGACUGUAGCUUCUAUUGCUGGGUUCAAUUCUUAGCUGAGGCAAACUCCAUUUGCUUCUUCUUCUUCUUCUGUUGAGAUAUCUGCUACAACAAGCAAUACUAAUCAAGGAAAUUAGUUGUUGGUUUCAGUCACUCUCUCUUGACAUGAAUCUCACCUCAUCAUAACAAAAUUAUAGUUGGGCUCAAGCUUUAAUUCAAAGGAAAAUGACAACUUAAGCUGAAUUAAUUGCAAGCUAGUGAUAGUAAUAUUAGGAACAACUAAUAAUUAGAAUAAAUAUUAUUAUGUAUCUCAAUAUUUCCAUUUCGAGUGAUCUUAUAGCUCUGUAAUGGUUAGCAACAUACUAUGAUAUCAUAGUUACAAAUAUAGUGUCACACUAACUCUACAAUGGUUAAUAAAUUACUAAUAUGGUGGUUAUAAAAAAAUAAAUAAAAUAAAGGGAUUCAAAACUCUAUUAGAAAAAAGGAAAAUAAGAGAAUACAAAUAUUGUUGUAUGUGAUUGGUGUCAAUGUACAAGUGUACACAACAACUAUUAUAAUGAUAAGUAUUCAAGAUUGUCUCCACAUGGAUUGUUGUUAUGGAAAUUUUUACAGCAAUUUUAUCAGUGCAAUUUUUAUUCUAAAUUUGAAUUAAAACAAAUUAAUAAAUAAAAAAUGCAAUAAAAACGAAAUAAAGUAAAAUAUCACGACAAAUAAAAGGAUGUUAUCAAGAGGAAUGGAGUAGUUGAGUGAUUAAACUCACUUAAUGGUUUUGACUAUUUUUCUAAUGUUUGGUUUGGUUGCUACAACAUCUACUACAGCACUGGGUAGAAUCCUUAUGUAUCUUCAGUUGUCACAUGUUGGUUGUCUUAUAUGUAAAUGCAACUUAACAGUGAACAAUUGUGAGGCUAACAUCAGAUAUAACAUUACAUGUUUGAGAUUAUAAUUACCCUACAAGGUGAAUUCCUAUAUCUAGUUCAUCACUAAUUUUAGAUUAAGCAUGACCCUUUUCCAAUCAAGUUAAACCCGACUCAGGAAACCCAAUCUAAAACCAAGUAUUGCUCUGAUAUGUUCCACUAAGACAAGCCUUUUUUAGGCUCUUUCUUAACUAGUAUCACUAUAUGGGUGGUUAGCCUAAAUAGUGAAUUGAAAUAAGUAUUAUCAUAACAACGUGCUAAAGCAAACAUACAGCAACACAUAAUAUUAGUCAAUUAAUCAUCAAGUUAACCAUCAAGUUUGUUUAUCACUCAACUACAAGUAAAUUUAGUUCAUAAUUUGCAAUAAAACAGGAAGCAAAAUAGUUUUAGCCAUCAAACAGUUCAUCAUAAUGAGAUAAAAACAUGACAACAAGAAAUAAGAGUGAGAUUAGCGUGAUGUUCUUCUUGGAUUCCUUAGUUGCAGCCCCUAAUUCUCUCUCUUGAUCUUUAUUUUCUCUUGUUCUGUUUCUCUAUAUUUUUUUCUAAUGACGGCUUCCUUUUUUUCUCUUUGCGUGUUUGUUCCUUUAAUAUCUUAGAAUUAGGGCAACUAGAAGUCUAGGGCGCGUAUCUUUCAUUUCAGGACACUCCAGAUCGCAAUCUUCUAAGUAUCUCAUACGAAAUCUUCUCUAUCAAUGCUCCAAAAUUGCUACAGCAAUCGCUUCAGCACAUGUACUAUUUCAGACUUGUUUCAAUUCUUCUCUAACCAAGUUCUUUCCUUAUUUUUACAAGCCUAUUGCUGCCACAUUCCUUCUUUGAAAUAGAUCUAAGCACACAAUUUAUUCUAAAUCAAACAAAACUUAUUAAAAGUACACUAAAAUGGAUGUUUAUGCAAAACUUAUUAAAAGUAGACUAAGAGUGCCAUGAUAGAGUUAUCGAUACUCUCUCAUCCAAGGAGAGAAAAAGAAGAUGAUAUGUGGAUUUCUAGAAAAAUAUUCUUGCAACAACUCUGAUACGACUUUAUUACACUUUAUUGACAAAUUUUCUAACGAACUAAAUGCUAACUUACACGUAGAAAUAAAUCGUCUUUUGCGAGUGAAAGACCUACAUUCGAAGCCUUUGGAGCUUGAAAAUGAAAGGUAAAUUUAUCAUUUCCACGUAUAGUAGGAUUUAUCACCUUCAAUUAUAUAUUUUGUAAUCUGUGUCUGAUUUCUUUCUUUUUUUUUCCUUCUUUCUUGGUUUACUGCUCUAUAUAACAUAAUAGAGAGAUAUACUAGCUUAUUGUCACGGUAUGAGUAUUUUGCGCAACGAACCCGUGCGGCACUUAGAUUUAUCACCUUCAAUUAUAAAUCGUCUUUUGCAAGUGAAAGACCUACAUUCGAAGCCUUUGGAGCUUGAAAAUGAAAGGUAAAUUUAUCAUUUCCAUGUAUAGUAGGAUUUAUCACCUUCAAUUAUAAAUUUUGUAAUCUGUGUCUGAUUUCUUUCUUUUUUUUUCCUUCUUUCUUGGUUUACUGCUCUAUAUAACAUAAUAGAGAGAUAUACUAGCUUAUUGUCACGGUAUGAGUAUUUUGCGCAACGAACCCGUGCGGCACUUAGACAAUUCUUGCCGAAAGUUACUAAGUAAGCCUUUGAGCUUCUCGACUAACGAAGCCUGGAGGUUUUUGAAAGAGCUAGAGAGAAGAGAGCAAUGGAGCCGAAUAAGGGAAAUUUUAUUACUCACAAAAGAGAUUACAAGAGAGCAAUGGAGCCGAAUAAGGAAAAUUGUAUUACUUGCAAAAGAGAUUACAAAAGAGUUUACAAAAGUACUUGAAUUGCUUGCUCAAAGCUUGAUGCUCAAAUACCAAAUGUUAUGCCCUAUUUAUAGGGACACUUGCCAAGCUCUAAAGUUCUAGAGAAUUCUAUCUAUAUAGUUACAUGUGUUAGAAAUGUGUAGAGAAUUCUAGCUAUGUACAAGCUUGAGUUGUGCUAGAGUUAGCUAGAAAAUUAUAGAAUCGGGUCAAUCUAGUACUCUUGGCCUUGCCUUGGGCUCUUGGUCUGAAAUUGUGGACACUUGGGCCAGUAACUUGGGUGGUCCACAACAUCCUCCCCCACUUAAGCUCAUGGCGUUCUCGUCGCACUUUCGUACUUGAAACCUUGGAUGUGCUCAGGGAAUUGCCACAAAUCAUCUUUACGUUCCCGAGUGGCUUCGCUCUCGGGAAGGUUUUUCCACUUCACCAAGUACUCAUUGUAUGGUAGUACGCCUCUCCUCCGAAUCACGUGAUGCGCAAUGAUGUAGUCCACAUCUUUGUCGAACACAGUGACAACGGCGGUUGGCGCACGCCUCGAUUCUCCGCAACUUAGGUCUUCUCUAUCUCCAUAAUAUGGUUUGAGAAGGCUCACAUGGAAGAUCGAAUGGAUCUUGAGUCUUGGCAGAAGUUAGAGUUAGUACGAGACGUUGCCCACAUGUCGUACGACUUAGAAAGGUCCCUCGUAGUGCCUCACUAACCCUUUGUAAACUUUCCGCAAUGUCUUGAAUUGUUAGGGUAGGAGCUUGGUCAUGACUUAAUCAUCUUCCUUGUAUUUAACAUUUCAUCUCCUCAUGUUUGCCCACUUUUUCAUCUUCCUUGCGACUUUGUCGAGGUAGGCUCACGUGAUGUCCGCUUUUUCGUGCCAUUAACGGGCGAGUUUGUUAGCUGCAAGGCUUUUUCCUCCGUAAGUAGAGGCUAUGGUGUUAGGGGUCAUGGGCUGAAAUCCCGUAAUGAUUUCAAAUGGACUUUUGCCUGUAGCCUCACCUCGCUGCAAGUUAUAAGAAAAUUGGGCGAUGUCAAGUAGCUUCACCUAAUCCCGCUGAUGAGCACUUACAUAGUGCCUCAAAUACAUCUCGAGGAGGCCAUUAAUACACUCAGUCUACUCAUCCAUUUGUGGGUGGAAGCUUGCCGAGAACUUGAGGUCGGUCCUCAACAUCUUGAAUAGCUCAGUCCAAAAGCAUCCGGUAAAUUGAGGGUCACGGUCGCUCACAAUGCUCUUCGGAACUCCCCAAAGCUUUAUAACAUGCAUGACGAAGAGACGGGCUGCCUCAUCAACUUUGCAAUCGACUGGUGUGGUAAUGAAAGUUGCAUAUUUGCUAUAACAGUCGACAACGACCAUGAUGCUACCGCAACCUUUGGAUUUAGGUAGUGAUGUGAAAAGGUUCAUAAAGAAACUUUCUCAUGGUUUUGUUGUGAGUGGUAAGGGCUCCAGUAAUCUCGUUCGGAGUUGGUGAUCCACCUUGUCUUGUUGGCACACAAGACAAGUUCGCACACACGCCUCGAUGUCGUCCUCAUGUGCGGCCAAAGGUACGAGGCUUGGACUAGUGCAGUGGUGCACUCUAUUCUUGGGUGACCAACCCACUUGGAGUCGUGGCACUCCUUGAUAAAGAGUCGAUCUCCCUUGGUGACGAGGAUGUCUUCCUCUUGCCAAAAUCGCCUUGUUUUGCCUUCGAGCACUUUCCCCAACAAGUCUUUCACUAGCGGGUCUUGCUGGAGGCCUUCCUUGAAGCAUGAGAUAAGGUCGGAUUUCGGUUGGCUCAUGCUAAGUGUUACCAAUUCGGCUUUGCGACUUAGAGCGUCCGCAAUAACGUUGGCUUUACCCCGUUUGUACUCGAGUCGAUAAUUAAAUUUUGCAAGAAAGUCUUGCCACCAAGCUUGAUUGGGGCUCAACUUCUUUUAUGUUUGAAAGUAACUUGUCGCUACGUUGUCGGUCAUGAUCGUGAAGUGAGAGCCAAGCAAGUAAUGUCGCCACACUCUCAAACAAUGGAUGAUGGCUAUCAUCUCAUUUUCUUGCACCAUGUAGCGGUGUUCUGUAUCAUUUAGCUUUCGACUCUCAAACGCCAUGGGGUAUCUUUCUUGUAUAAGGACUCCACCUAUGACGAAAUUUGAAGCAUCUGUUUGGACUUCGAAGGGCUUAGUGUGGUUCAGAAGAGUGAGGACAGGUUCCUCAGAAAUUGCCUUAUUCAAGUCUUCGAAUAUGCGUUGGCACGCUACAAACCAAUGCCACAUUCAAUUUUUCUUGAGUAAAUCUAUCAAGGGUACCGCCUUGGCUAAGUAGCCCUUGAUGAAGUAUCAGUAGUAGUUCACAAAUCUAAGAAAUAAGCGAAGGUCAGGCACUUUCGUGGGAGGUUCCCAUUCGAGGAUGACCUUCACCUUGGCAUUUUUCGUCAUGAGUUUUCUGCCCACAAUCUUGUGGCCGAGGAACUCUACUUCUUGUUGAGCGAAUGAACAUUUCUCCACUUUGAGGAAGAGCUUGUUGUCUCAUAGUACUUGGAGGACUUGUCGCAAAUGUUGGGCAUGUUCCUUGAGCGUGGUGCUAUAGACCACGAUGUUGUCCAAGUACACGACCACAAAUUGAUCGAGAAAUGGUUUGAGCACAUUGUUCAUAAGUGUGCAAAAAGUAGCGGGUGCAUUGGUAAGGCCAAAUGGCAUGACAAGAAAUUCGAAGGACUUGUACCUUGUUGUGCUCGCUGUCUUGGGUUCGUCUCCCUUGGUAGUACCUAGAACGCAAGUCAAGUUUGGUGAAGUACUGGGCCUUGCCAAGCUGGUCGAAAAGAUCCGCUAUCAAGGGAAUCAAAUACUUAUUCUUAAUAGUGAUCUUAUUAAGCGCUCUAUAAUGGAUGCACAUCCGGAGCGAUUUAUCCUUUUUCUUUUAAGAAAUGACCGGUGCACCGAAUGAGGCUUUUAAGGAGCAAAUAUAGCCUGCAUCCAGCAAGUCUUUGAGUUGUCUCUACAACUCCUCAAGUUCAGGUGGCACCAUGCAGUAAGGCGCCAAAGCUAGUGGCUUCGUGCUUUGUUCCAACUCGAUCGCAUGAUCUACCUCUCGUCGAGGUGGGAGCUUAUUCGGAAGUUCGAGAGGCCUUACGUCCUUGAACUCGUUGAGGACAUUUUGUAUUUGCAGAGGGACUUGGCUUGGAAAAUUUCCACAAUCUCCUUCCUUGUUUAAGUCUCAGAUGGACACCAAGAAACUUGGGUCUUUCUUAAAAGUCCUUUUGAAUUGCAUGGCCGAGAGCGUUUUCUCCUCGAACUUGCCACUUUCUGUGGGAACCAUGCAUGCUUUACUCCCAUCGAGAAUGCUUAGAGAUUUUGUAGCGGGCAGCGGGAAGGCAUGAACUUAAUCGAAGAAUUCCAUGCCAAGGACCAUCUUGAAGUUAUCCAUGGACACGAUGGAGAAGUCAAGCUUUCCUCUUCAUAUCCUAAGUGUUAUGUGCACGCCUUGUGCAAUACCCGCAAUGGGCUUGGCGGGUGAGCUUACCGCCUUCAUGGUGCCUUCUUCCCUGGUGGUCUUGAGGCCUAAGCGCUUGGCCUCAUCUACCGACAUGAAGUUGUGAGUAGCUCCUGUGUCUAGCAGUGCGCGAACGGACUGACUGUUUAUUUUCGCACUCACGUACAUGAGCCCUUUCUUGGUGAAUAUGAUUUGUUAGGUCUUAAGUGCGCCAAGACAUUGGAAAGAACCCAUGCUGAGUUGGGGUUCUUCCACAGACAUUGUGAGGUUGCUCUUAAGUUACGUUACGAGAGCAUUAAGCGACUUCUUUUCGGGACAGUCAUAUACCCAAUGAGGGCCAUUGCAUAUAAAGCAUAGGCUUUGAGGCUUUGGUGGCUCCUUCUUGCCGUCUGAUUUUUCAUGCCCGCUUUUAUUGCUAAGAGACUUUUUCUGCCCCUAAUCCUUGCUGUUAUUGCCAUUGUCCUUGCAACUCUCUCCCUCACCUUUGCCUUGGUUGGGCCUUUUGUCUUUGGAUUGGGUGAAGUAUUCGGUGAGCGACUCCGCAAUGGCGAUGACGUUAUCAAGUGUUUGAACGCCAUGCCUAUCACCCUUGGUCUUGGCCCAAUCCUUGAGGCCAUCUUGGAAAUAGAAGAGGGAGUCCUUGUCGGACAUGUCACUUAUCUUGAGCAUGAGGGCAGUGAACUCGUUGAUAUAGUACAGUACCCAUUUGUUUGAGGCAACGUAGGCGCGUUCACACUUCCUUAUCCGCAUUGCUUGGGGCAAAUUACUUUUGGAGUUCUUGCUUGAAGUCUGCCAAGUGUCGAUGGUGCAAAUGCCUUUGCCCAUCUCGCCAUGCUUUCGACGCUACCAUAGUUGUACGGCGCCUCAAAGAUAGGUGGGUGUUGUGCCCACUUUCGAUGCCUCAUCUCGUACACUCAUGGCAUCGAAGCAUUGGUCCAGUCUAAAGAGAAAGUUGUCCACGAUAGUGGCAUUACGUGUGCCAUUAUAGGCGUCGGGCUUUGGCACGUUGAUGCGUCUUGCAUCACUCGUACUUGUGGAUACCGGGCUAGCGGAGAGUGUGCGCUUGUGCCAUGCCCAAUCAGAGUGAACUUCCUCCCCUUCCGCAUGGACUGCUCGUAGUUCCUCUUGGACGAAAUUGCGGAGUUUCAGCAACUCUUCGUGAAAGGCUCAAAAUUCCCCUUAGAGGGUGUUGGCCUGGUAUUGGAUAAGGGUCUUGAUUGCCACAGUGAAGUUGGCAUACUCUCCCUCGAGACCAUCUACUCUUUCCUCUAAUCCUUCAAGGGUGUCUUGAGCGGCGAUCAUAGCCGUUUCGAGCGUAGCCAUACGAGGCUCGAAGGCAUCAAUGAAUGGGGCCUUGGACUUGCCGCGAGGCUUGCUUUGAGCGCAUCCGUCUUUGCAGCCACGGGAUGGCUCUGGUGGAAUAUCCACACCAACAACACCCUCUUGUGCCGGGUUUGGAGGGUUGGCCAUUGCUCGUGAGCUAACUUGCAUGGGUGUAAACCUUAGCUCGGAUACCAUUUGUCACAGGAUGAGUGUUUUGCGCAACGAACCCGUGCGGCACUUAGACAACUCUUGCCAAAAGUUGCUAAGUAAGCAUUUGAGCUUCUCAACUAGCUAAGUCUGGAGGUUUUCGAAAGAAUUAGAGAGAAGAAGGCAAUAGAGCUGAAUAAGGAAAAUUGUAUUACUCGCACGAGAUAUUACAAGAGAGCUUACAAGAGUACUUAAGUUGCUAGCUUAAAGUUUGAUGCUCAAAUACCAAAUGCCAUUCCCUAUUAAUAGCGAGGCUUGCUAAGCUCUAAAGUUCUAGAGAAUUCUACCAACUUGCCUAGAUAUCUAGAUAUUUACAUGUACUAGAAUUGUGUAGAGAAUUCUAUAUAUGUACAAGCUUGAGUUGUGCUACAGUUAGCUAGAAAAUUCUAGAAUCGGGCCAAGCUAGCACUUUUGGCCUUGUCUUGGGCUCUUGGCCUGAAAUUGUGGACACUUGGCCUAGCAACUUGGGUGGUCUGCAACAAUAUGGCAUGGUCUGGUAAACCAUACUCCAUAUUGCUCGUUCUUUCACAAUUCUUAACGAUUUUUACAUCUUAUGUUGCUUGGACAAUACAUCAGCAAUAAGUUGCCAUCCGAAUAACUGUGAAUUGUUUAGCAUCGGGUUUCAUGUUGAUUCAUCAAAAUAACCUUAACCCGUCAUCCAUUCUAGCAAUUUGAGUAGCAAUCUUUUCUUCUCAGGUUUCGCUAUAUAGCAUGGUAUUGCUAUAUGAAAUAUUCCCUGAGAUAAUAGAAGAAAAUGAAUUAAAAGACAUUUCUAAAUUAUUACUUCUAAUACUCGUUUGUAUGUGUUUGUGUCUGCACGCAUGCGAGAUUAUGUUUGCUUUAUAAAUUCUUGAUUGCUUCCUUGAUCAAUCAUAUAGCCAGUUACAUGGACUGCCUUCAUUACAUCAUUAACCCAGUUAAUGUUGCCUAACUUCACAAAUGCAGUGCAAACUUCUUAAUAGCACGAUGAGAAAUUGACUCCAAAUUGUCCUAAAAAGAGAAUAACUACGAUUGAAAAGCAUCAAGUAUCGUAUUAUGGAAUGCGAUAAUUCCUAUGACCACACUGCCCACCGGUGGUGGUGAUUCUCCACUGCCAGAACCUUCUCCAAUUGCUGGCGACAUCCCAACUGAUCAACAACCCUCAAAACAACGAUUAACACUUCAAAUCAUAAACCCUAGAUUGCAACAAACCUUUCAAAAUAUGCUUCAUGUUGUCGCCACCUUGCCUACCUCCGUUGGUGGCGAUUACUUACUAACGGAACCAUCGUUGAACCUUAUGUACUCCUAACAACUACCUCUCACCCUCCAGCUACCACUAACCCCCUUAGCCACUAGUUUGCACGAGCACAAUCAAAACUCAAGCACCACUUAUUGGCCACUGUUUCUGACUUCUUUUACUGAGACAAAUCCUCUUAGCUACAAUAUAUCUCACCAACACUUCGCUCUCUCUAUUUUGGCUACUGCUAGGGGCAACAUCAAUCUGCCAGCCGCCUCAUAUCAGCCACUUUUGCCCACCCAAACCCACUCUGCUAUUUAAAACCGAGACCAGCUGCUAAAUGCAAAAAACCUUAGCUAUAAUAAAGAAACCUUAGCUAACAUUUAGCUUUCCAAACCCAAAAUUAAACCAAAAAUCAAGGCCAAACCCGUGACCCUUUUUCCACCCCUCACUCUUGGUCGUACAUCCAACCCACCCUCAAAGGCCUCUUAUACAUCUAUUACGAAUUCUGAAGUUAUCAUCAAACCUAAUGCUAAGUCUUUUAUUGAUGCUAUUGUUGGCCCCCUUGAAUCUUCAAUUUGGAAAAAGAUAGUUUCAUUAUUUCACGGUAAACAUGUUAUCCGCUUUUCAGCUGUAGAAAUUCAGUCCAUAGCAGAACCAUUCAAACUUUCCCUUAUUAGUGAGUUUUUGUUUAACCGCCCUCCUGUAAAUGUGAUUUGCAAAUUCUUUGCUUCUUGAGUUUUAAAGGUAGUACACAUGUUUCUUUGCUAGAUAAUUGAUCAAGCUUUAACUUGGAGAGGAUUACUCAUAUAUUUGGGUUAGGCAGACCUGGUAUGUUAGUGGCAGGUCCACGCGUACUUUUAAGUAGUCUACAUGUAUGCUCUAAGGAGUCUCAGUUGUUCUUGUCUAGGUGUCUUUGCCUUAUUUACCUGUGCAUUUCAUUCAUUGCAGAGAUGCUUUAUUUUUAAUUGUGAAUGCUAUUAAAAAGCCUUUACGGGUGGACCGUGCCACUACUGCUGUUAAUAGGCCCUUGGUGGCUCAUGUACUCAUUGAGUAUGAUGUUUCACAACUAUUGUUGCCAAGACUUUGGAUUGGUAAGGGUGAUAAUGGGGUUUGGCAAGAUAUCAUCUAUGAGCGUGUACUGUUAUAUUGUGCCACGUCUAAGCAUCUUGGUCGCUUUGAUGAUGCUUAUUUUGUUACUAAUCAUGGGCUCCAGAGGCCCCAAUAACCUAUUGGUUAGGUGAAGGAUAUAGUUGCUCAUGAUACAAGUACGAUACCUAUUACAAAUGUUGUUGUCCAGCCUACUAGGAACUGUGCUACGUAUGUGGUUACUAAGAAUAAUCGACUACAGAGGCCUGCUCUCGUCCAAGGUCAGUCUUUAGGUCUAGCCCCCUCGAUGAUGUUGCUUGGCCGUCUGCUCUUUUUCCUCAGGAUACUAUAGAUGCGGCAUCUAAUUCGAUUUCUGCUCUGUGAGUUCCAGAUGAUGAUGGUUUGCAAUAUACUGUUGCUCUGAGAGAUACUGAUGGAUGCCCUAAGGUUGCUAAUUCUCUUGUUUUGGAUAGUCCGAGUGCUCUAAGGGCUUCCACAAGCUUUACUUUUUUCAAGUCUACAGUGGAUGAUAUUCGGUCCAUGGUUGUGAGUUUUAAUUACCAUUCUAAAGAUAUCCCUAAUCAGUGGGAUGAGGAGUUUAGCUCUGACGGAAAUCCUAUAGUCGAUGAUUAUUUUGCGUCUAAGACUGAGGGUAUAGUGGGCCAUGAUCUUGACCCCGACCUCAGUAUUAGUGGACUGCAUUCCUCUAGUUUUAAGAAAGGUUUCAAAUUAGUUAAUGGUCGUAAGUAUUGUAACUAUUUUUCUCGGCGUUUGUAUUAAUUAAUUAUCUUUAGCUUCUUAUUUAUUCUAUUAUUGUUUUCGUUCUUUUUCCAUUAGUUGGUUAUUUUUGUUCCUUUGCUUGGAGAUUUUGGUCUACGUCCCCCUCCAUAUGUAAUUUUGUUUAUAUUUCAAUAAUUUAUAGGUAAGGGGGUCCCGCCUAACCCCACCAACUUUGGGUGAUUUUUAAUUAAAAAAAAGCAUAAAAAUAACAGUUAAAGAAUUGAUCUAAAAUGGUAAGACAUGGGAAGUUUUCCAAAUAUUAAAAUAUGAAGAAUUUUCUCAUGAAGGGCCUUGCACAUCGUUCUUUUGUUGCCUCUUAACAUGUUGUGAACAAAGAGUGCUUCUAAGUGUCGUUCUCAUUUUACCAAGAUGAAAAAUUAGGGAGGAGCAGAGUUCCUGUAAAAGAGCAUAGUUGUGAUAAGUCUUUCGUGUUGCAAUCCCGAAGUAAAAGUACAUUUGUCUAUGACCACUCUCAUACCUCCUCUAGCUGGUGGCUUUUACUGUGCAUGUCCAUUGAUGUAAUAAUAUUUUAUAUAUUUUCUUAAUUUAAUCUUAUGUUAAAUUAUAUUUUAUCAUAUUAAUUUUAUCUUAAUUUUUAUUUUUGUUAUUUUAGGUAUAUUUUGGGAAUAAAGAAGAAUUAAAUCAGAAUAUUCAAAUAGAAAGAGCUUAAAGAAGAAAUUGAUUGGAAAUUUAAGGAAAGUAAUGGGAGUUAAAAUGAAAGAAAAUCGAAGCAGCCAAGGCGUAAUUGUAGUUCACCUGAAGAUGAGAAGAAUUAGUAUUGGAAAUAAGUUAAUUAAUAAGGCAAAUCAUGUGAAGAAUAGAGUAAAAGAAGAAAGCAUUCUGGUGAUGGGCUUUGGCCAAAUCAUUAUUGGCUUAUUAAUUGAACAAGUCACGUGCAUGCAUGAAAGAAAAGAAGCGGCUUGGCUUUUGUUUUUAAUUCUUUCCAUAUAAGGAGUUAAAGGCCACAAUUGAAACAAUAUAAAAGGACACGAGUGGAAGCCACAAGAGAGGCGGGCAGCCGCACAAAUUGGAAGCCAAGAGAAAAACAAAUAACCGAGAGCGAGAAAAAAAAAGAGAGUGAGAAGCCGCCGCUGCAAAUUUGGAGAAGCAAUAAUUUGGAGAAGUCGAUUGUAGAGAUUGAAGAGAGAACUUUUUGAGUUUAUUCUUUCUUUUCUCUUUUUCUAUUAUCUUACUUGAAUAUUCCCAAUUAAAUUUAUAAAUUCUCUUUAUAUUCUCAUGAACUAAUUUAUUUUGCUAUGGCUACGAUGUAGCCUAACUAUAAGGAUUUAAUUUCAUAAAUAUAUGUUAUUUUUAGUUUAUUAUUCCAUGGUUAAGUGUUCAUUAUUGUGCUUAAUGCUUUUAAAUAUUUGGGCAAUAUUUAAAUGAUUUAAGGACACAUAAUGAGACCAAGAGGAGAUUUAUGUAUUUUUGCUCUGUGUAAUGGAUGCCAUUAGUUAAACGAAAGACGGAGAUGUGCCAACAUGAUUCAUGUAGUUUUUUUAAGAAUUUCUAUAGAGCUUAAUGAAUCUUUGCAUAUUUAAAUUCACAUAGAAAUAUAGUGGGUUAAUAUGUGAAGAUAUUUUUUAUAUUACUCAAGAGAGGAUAUUGAAUAAAUUAGGGAAAUUCACUGUCAACAUGGGUAAUAAAUUUUAAUAACAUCAAUGGAGGAUUAAAAUUGAAUUGGUUAUGGUGAAAUCGGAUGUCCUAGUGUCGUAAUCUCUUCGUGAUUUCUAUUACUACUUGCAUAUUUAUUUAAUUUUUAGUUAUUUUAUUUUAUUUUAAUUUUUUAUCUAAAUUUGUCUAUUCGAUUGUUCAAAGAAAUUAGGGUUAUAAUAAUUUCGGUAGCUAACAGGAUAUAUAAUCUCAGUGGGACGAUACUCUACUCUUCAUUAUAUUAUUUGUGCUAACUAGUACACUUGUAAAUUUAUGCAUCGUCCAUCAUAGUCCGAUAAGCAAGCAAAUAAAACUUCUUAUUGGAGAAAUGUUUGAUUACAAUAUGAUGGGUAUUGUUAUCCGGACUAAUUCGUCCAAUUUCUUCAUAACAUGCAUUACGCUCCCCAUAGCACCAGCUCUGCAGUAGGCAUAAAGCAUGCAAUUUAAAUCAUAUUUGUCAUACUUGACUUCAAAAUACCCAGCCAAUUUGCCUCUUCAAAACACCCACCCCGGCAGAAUGCUGAAAUCAUGAUACUGUGCGCAUAGUCAUUUGCGUGAGGGAAACAAAAUUGGUGGUUAACUUAAAAGCUUAUAUAUAGUACUAUCUUUUGUUUGGUAUAAUAUCGGACUGAACUAUGUUAAUUUAAUUUAAUAAAUUGUUAAAUAAAAUUCUGAUAUUCUAUACAAUAAUAUAAAAUUACUUGGUUAAAAAUUCGUGAAAUUCACUUCUAUGUUUAAUUUAUAUUAAAAUAUUAGGUUAAAUGAAAACGAAAAAAGUGAUAAAGAGGACACAAAGUUUUUAUUUAAUCUUACCUCACCUAAACGCCUAUAAAAAUAAGGGUUAAUAAUCCUAUUAGGUUUAGACUAAAUUUAAGUUUACUCUAAUAGUCCAUGACAACCAAACAUACCUUAGAUUAAAUUAUUUUAUUAGUUUCAAAAUCUAAUUGAAUCCCACAAUUUAUCGAAGCUCCCAAAAACAGCCUAAUAUAUAGUUAAAAAAUAUUGUAUUCAUAAAAAUGCGGUACACGUUAGAAUACCAACGUCCAAUUUGUUCAAAUAGUGCACCGAUAUACAUAUGAGAUAGGAUCAACUAUCUCUUUAUGAGAUAGGAUCAACUAUCUCUCUCUUUUGAAACAAUAACUUACACAAAAUCUUAACCUUUUAACAUUACCUAAUGAUCUCUUUAAUACUAUUUUGAUUUUAAAAAAUGGUGUCUUUAAUACUAAUUUGACAAAAAGUGGGUUACAAAAUUUUGAAAGAAGGCAAUUUUUAUUAAUAUCAAAACUAAAAAUUAAUGGGCGCUAAUAUAUUAUUAAAUAUUUUUCUUCUACUUCAUCUUAUUUUCUCUCCAUAAUUAAUAUGAUUUGAUUCUUCUCUCAAUCUUUCACUUGCUUUAAACAACUCUCCUCUAAGUAAACACCAUACAGAUUUUCCACUAAAUUACAAUCGUCAAUGGCAGAUAUAUAAAAGAAGAAACCAAAAUGUCCAGUUAUAAUUCAAAUUAUGCUGUAUUAUUAUGCUAUUUGAUUAAUUAUCUUUUUGUCAAAAUUUCAGUGAUGAACAAACUCAAGAGUGGGGCAUGAACAAGUGCAAGACAUUUAAAACGUACGUUUGGUUCAUUUUUUUUCUUUCUUGUAAUUACUUAAUUAUAUAUGCUCUGUUGUGACGUUUUUGCUUAUGUUAAUCAUAUUUCUUUUUCGAAAGGACAAGUCAAUUUAAGACUUGUUAUUUUUUCUCUUAAAUUUCUCUUUAAACAUAUGUUUUCGUAAUUUUUUAAUAGAAAUACAUAAUGCAUUUUCUGCUUAUUAGACUACUGUGAAUAAAGCAAUUUAAGAUGGCAUUUUUGUAGGUAUAUCAAGAAGGAACAAGAAAGCUGUUAAAUUUGAUCGUUGUUGGAAUCAAAUAUUGGAUAGUGAAAGGCUUCUAAAAAUGACAAGUAGCUUUUCUAUAAAACAAAGCGUUUAUGAUUGAACCCACUGACUGCACUCAUAUUCUUUAAACUCAUAUGACUUUGUUAGAGAUUUAUUGUAGAAAUGAAUACGAUAUUAAAAGAUAAAAAAGGCUAAUCGAAUAAUUAGGUGCUCGUGUCUUUAAACUAACCCAAAAACUAGGAACUCGUGUUUUUAAUUGGUUAUAUUAAUAUUUUAUCCUUGUGAUUUCUUUUUAUGGCACAGCUCUGAUUUCUCUCCUUAGUUGUUGUUGCGUUUCUCACUGUUCGCUGCAUAUUGUCAGUUUCCAUGGGUAUGAUUUGCCAUAUGCGAUUUAAAUGGGUCAUGUCCACUGAGCAUCCGUUGUGCCUUAACAUGCUAUGAACCCAUGCUUGAAUAUAAAGUAUAAUUGCAUACAUAACAAAUUCUGCCAUUCUCAUGCUUUUGCUAGAAAAUGGUUCUCAUAUCCGACGACUUUUACUCUCAAUAAAAGUUGUUGGAGAAUUAACAAAUUAAACACUCAAAAACACACUAUUUUAUUUCUUCAACAACACUCCUCACCAACUACAACUCUUAUUUUUCACUCUCUACAACUUGGAGAUUUUUUUACUUCACUUGAUGCAUAACCAAGUAACACAAGAGGGUAUUUAUAGUACAUGAGCAGAAAUCUAAACCAUAAGAAAUUCCAAAAAAAUUAAUAACCAUUCAUCUUCAGCUACCAAACCUACCACACCUAACACAAAUUAUUCAAACCUCAUCAGCCUACCUACUCAUGGAACUUUCGAUGGGUUGGGCUUAUUAAUUUUGGGUUUGAAUUUUUUUUUUAUCUUGGAUCAAGUUUAUGAUCCAACACCCCCCCUUAAACUUGAUCAUGUGACACCAAGCAAAUUUCUGAAUUUUACAAAAUCUUCUUGCUUGAGUGGCUUGGUGAAGAUAUCAGCUGCUUGAUCUUGUGAUUUUACAUACUUGAUUUGAACUUCCUUUCUUGCACUGCACUCUCUUAUGAAAUGACAGCGAGUAUCUAUGUGUUUGCUUCGAUCAUGAAAGACUGGAUUCUUGGAUAGGGCAAUUGCUAAUUUAUUUUCAACACAAAUCUCGAUUGGCUCUUCUUGUGGCAAGCUGUUGGCUAUUUGAACUCAAUUACUAUUGGUGUCAAUGUGUAAGUGUACACAACAAGUAAUAAAGUGAUGAAUAAUCAAGAUCGUCUUCACAGGGAUUGAUACUACUAGAGUUGCUACAACAAUUUCAACAAUGUGAUCUUACUUUUAAAUUAACUCAAUGGAAUUAAGAAGAUUACGUAACUAAUGAAAAUGCAAAUGCAACAAAGUAAACUGCAACAAAAAGAAAUACACGCUAGAUGAAAAGGUAAUCAAAGAAAAUGAAGCAGUUAAGUGAUCAAACUCUCAAGAUGGGGCUGACUGUGUUGUGUUUGUUAAGUCUAGUUGCUACAGCAUCUGCUAAAACAUUGAGUAGAAUCCUCAUGCAUCCUCAACUGUCACAUGUUGGACAUCUCAUACCUUUAUGCAACCUAACAGUGGCCAAUUGUUAUGUCCACAUAAGAUAUGACAUAUCAUGCUUAUGUUCUCUUUACCCUUCAAGAUGAAUCUCUAUAUCUAGUUCAUCACUAAUCUUAAAUUAAGCAUAACCCUUUUUGGACUCAAGAUAAACUUAAUCCAGGAAACUCAAUUUAAGAUCAAGUAUUACUCUAACAUGUUCCAUUAAAACAUGCCCUUUUUGUGGCUCUCUCCUAACUUGUAUCAUUAAAUGAAAGGUUAACCGAAAUAAUGAAUGUUAAAUCAUUUAUUAGAGCAAAAUGCUACAGCAAACAUGCAACAACUUAUAUGAUCAAUCAAGAACCCAUCUAGAUUAUUUGUCACUCAACUACAAUUAAAUUUAGUUAAUAGUUUGUAAAAGAAAAACAAGCAACGAAGGCUUAGCCAGCAAGUACAUCUUUUUGAUCAAAAGAAAUAACAAGAAAAUAAGAAAAGAAAGAGAAAAGUUUAAUCCCAAUUAUUCUGCAGAUUUGUUACUGGUGCAGACUUGCUUCUUUCUCUUCAAUUCUUUUCCUUCUUCAUUCCUUUCUUGGUUUUUCCCCUGAUUGUGAUUGACGGCCUCCUCAUUUUUAUGUGUGUGAUUCUUUUUAUAGUUGAAAAUUAGGGUAAACGAAAGCUUAGGGCGCAAAUCUGUCAUAUUUGGAAACUUCAUAUCGCAAUUCUACUAGUAUUCUGCGCGAAAUCUUUUGCUGUUGUUCUAGGAUUGCUACAGCAAUGGUUGUUACAACAACAGCUCCAGUAACUGCACUGUUCCAGACUUAAUUCCAUUUUUCUAUCAUCUUGUUCUUUUCUUGUCUUUUUCAAGUCUAAGCACACAAUUAUUCUAAAACAACAUAAUUUAUUAAAAAAUAAACUAAAAUGGUUAUUCAUGCAAAAUAAAACUAAAAUGCAAUAAAAACAUGUCGUUUACUCUCAAAGUAAACAUGAUUUAAGUCUAAAAGUGUCAUGAUAACUCUCAUUUCAUAGAGUUAUCACAAGCCCAACUCUUUAAGCAAAUUUCUGAGCCAAAUUGCAUGGCAAACACUUGAUGUAACAGCUACGUACACCAGCUUCACAGGUGGAAAGUGUGAUAAUUGGUUGCUUCUUUGACAUCCAUGUGAAAGCAGUAUCUACCAUAAAAAACAUAAAUCUGGUGGUGCUCUUUCGAUCAUCUACAUCUCCACCCCAAUCGCUAUCACUAUAUCCAACAAGCUUGUAGUCAUUAGAAAAUGAGUAUAACAAGCCGAAAUUAAUUGUACCUUUGACGUAGCGAAUGAUUCUUUUUGCAACUUUAAAAUGGGUGGUCUUUGGGUUCUCCAUGUAUUGACUCACAAGUCCAACAACAUAAAGGAUAUCUGGUCUUGUGCAUGACAAAUAAUGUAGGCUUCCGACCAAACUUUUAAAGAAUGUUGGAACUAUAUCUUCGCUUUUAUCAUGUUUGGAUAACUUGACUCCGCAUUCCACUGGCGUGCUUAUAGGCUUGCAAUAAUUCAUCUUGGACUUCUUGAGAAUCUCCUUUGCAUAACUUUCUUAGGAGAUAAAUAUGUCUUCUUCCUUUUGCUUGACUUCAAUGCCGAGGUAAUAUGCUAUCAGUCCGAUGUCAGUCAUCUCGAACUCUUUGAUCAUCACUCUCUUGAAGUCUUCAAACAAGCUUGGAUCACUUCUAGUGAAAUUGAGAUCAUCUACAUACAGGCACACAAUCAAAAUGUCUCCAUUUUUUUCUUUCUCCAUCUUUUUCUUUGACGUAGAAAGCAUGUUCAUAUGGGCAUUUGGUGAAGCCGUUCUCUUGAAAAUACUUAUCAAUUAUGUUAUUCCAUGCCCUUGGUGCUUGCUUUAACCCAUAAAGAGCUUUCUUCAAUCUCAAAACUUUGUCUUCAUGUCAUUUCACCAUAUAUAUUAAUGGUUGUUCGAUGUAAACUUCUUCUCUAAGGAAUCCAUUCAAGAAAGCAGACUUCACAUCCAUUUGAAAAAUCCUCCAUUUGUUCUAAGCAGCUAAAGAAAUAAUAAGUCCAAUAGUUUUAAGUCGAGCUACAGGAGCAAAUACCUUGUCCACACCAGAGCCAAAAUUCCAUUCUCUUUAUUCUUCAAAAACUACAACUCGAUUUAUCACGAUCUUCCCGUUGUUUGGAUUGUAAAGCUUGUAUCAUUUGGAGUUGUUGUCAUAGCCGAUGAAGAUGAACUUCUCACUUUUGUCAUCUAGCUUGGCUCUUCUUUCGUCUGAUAUAUGUACAUGGGCAAUGCUUUCAAAAACUCUCAGAUGGGCGAUACUGGGCUUUCUUCCACUCUAAGCUUCUUGUGGCGUCUUGCCCCAUACACUUCUUGUUAGAGAUCGAUUAGAUAAGUAGACUGCACAUGCAACAACUUCAACUCAAAAUUCUUUAGGUAGUCUCUUACUUUUGAGCAUGCUUCUUACAAUGUCGAGGAUGGAACCUGUUAUUCUUUUCUGCAACAUCAUUUUGUUGAAGGGAUUUUGGAACUGUCAAAGGGCAUCAAAUUCCAUUUGCUUCACAAAAUUCUACGAAUUCUUUGGAAGUGAACUCUCCACCUCGAUCAGAUCUCAUGACUUUAAUCUGGUAUCCACUUUCUUUUUCCACUACAACUUUAAACUUCUUGAAAGCUUCAAAGACUUCUGAUUUCUGCUUCAAAAAGUACACCCAAGUCUUUCUUGAAAAAGCAUUUAUAAAGAAAAGGAAGUAGUUAUUUUUACCAAGGGAGCUUGGCUUGAAUGGACAACACACAUUAGUAUGAACGAGCUCAAGUGGCUUCUGAGCUCUUGAGUUUGACUCAUUUGGAAAGAUCUUUCUGAACUGCUUGCUAAGUAAACAUCCUUCACAAAGCUUAUCAGGGUGAUUGAUGUAUGGUAAGCAUUUCACCAUGUUCUUCUUGGAUAGUAGCUCCAGUCCUUUAAAGUUGAGAUGCUCAUAUCAAAGAUGCCAAAUUCAGAAUAGAUCUUUGUGAAAGGCUUUGAGACAUUUUACAACAUCAUUUUGAAUAUUUAAAUGAAACAUUCUAUUUUUUGACAUUUUCACCUUUGUAAUUAUAUUUCUUUUGUCAUCUCUUAGGAAAAGACUACAAUCUUUUAAGUGAAUAUCAUAGUUUUUUUUUUCAAGAGCUGACCCAAACUAAGGAUGUUGCUUUUCAUAUUGGGCACAAAGUAAACAUUCGAAAUUAUUUGGUGGCUACCAUCUUUUGCACGAAAAAGAAUGUUACCUUUGCCCUUUACUGGUACUUUUGAAUCAUCUUUAAAAGCAGCACUACCAUUCAUAAAUUCAUUUAGUUCCACAAACAUGUUUCUAUUUCCGCUCACAUGAUUGCUAGCACAUUUGUCAAGAUACCAUGUAUUUUCUUGACCUCCAUCAUUGCGUGCUAGUAAAAGGGUGGCAUCUUCACUAUUUUUCUCUCCAGCAUAAUUCACUCUCAUUAAUUCUGGUACUUUGAGCUCUACAUUCUAAAGCAUAAUGCCCAAACUUUUGACAAUUAUAGCAUUGUACUUGGGAUUUAUCAUACCUUGAUCUUGGAUUGCCUCUGCCUCGUCCUCUGGUUGAGCUUUCUCCUUUGGCAUAAUUGGAGUUGUUGUUGUUAAAAUUCUAACAUCGUCGAUAACGACGACCUCAACCUCAACCUCAAAUAUAAUGCAUUCUCUAGUUGUCGGAGCUUUCUUCUCUUUUCUUUGGAUUGACUUCUAUCUUGAGAAGUUGUUCUUCGAUUCCUUACUUCUUUUUCAGUUUUUCUUAAUAGGUUUGCAACAUUCCUUGAAGUUGCUCGAUCGUCAUAUCCUCCAGAUCUUUUGUUUCCUUAAUUGUCACAAAUUGAGCGAGAAUAUGGAGAUUUUCAAUGCAGGGAUUAAUCCAGAACGUUGAAAAACCCUAAGAGGGACUCGAGUCAACUUUCGGUCAACGGUCAACGUUUCUGCUUAGUUGACUUGGCUCGGUCCGGCUCUGUGUGGCUCGGUUCGGAUCUGGUCAGCUCGGUUCAGCUUGGUUCAACUCGGUGAGUCGACUCAACUUUAAGACAGAAAAUUUUCGACAGCGAGUGUGAACACACUCGGUCUCUGAUCGGGCUGAUAUUUGCGACGUCAUGUUCCUUUCGUCGAGAACUUUGAUUUGAUAUGUUAUACGACUAUAUAUAGCAUUGAACAUUAGCUCUGAUACCAUUUUUUUUGGAGAAUUAACAAAUUAAACACUAAAAACACACUAUUUUAUUUCUUCAAAACAAUGCUCACCAACUACAACUCUUAUUUUUCACUCUCUACAACUUAGAGAUUUUGUUACUUCACUUGAUGCAUAACCAAAUGACACAAGGGAGUAUUUAUAGUACAUAAGAAGAAAUCUAAACCAUAAGAAAUUACAAAAAAUUAAUAACUAUUCAUCUUUAACCUACCACACCUAUACCACAAAUAAUUCAAACAUCACCAACCAUACUUACUCAUGGAACCUUCAUAGGUUGGGCUUAUUAAUUUGGGUUUAAAUUUAUUAUUAUUAUUAUUAUCAUCAUCAUCAUCAUCAUCAUCAUCAUUAUUAUCAUCAUCACCUUAGAUCAAGUUUAUUAUCCAACAAAAGUAACAUAUAUGACAUUUUUGUUUCAUUUAUAAACCUUGACGAGUGAGGGAAUUUAUUAGAAUCAUCGAAAAGAGACCUCAUCAUCGGAAAGAAAUAGAAACUGGAAAGUCGAGGCCAACAUCAAUUGAAACUGCACUCUUGGGAUUCGUAACGCAUCAUGCACUAUAAUUCAUCAUCCUUUGGUGACAGGUGAUGAUGUGGCAACUAUGUGUUUGUCGUCCAAGGGAAUUGGCUGAAAAAGCAAUGUGAAAACUACAUCCAUAGUCUCUUGGUUUUGAGCUCCAUGCCCAUCUCCAUGUAGAUACAUAAAAUGGGACACUCUCACAACAUUCAAUAUGAAUUCGACUGUAGUUUGCGAUAAGGGAAAAUCUUUAUCAGCUCUGUAUGCAUUCACCUUCUUCCACAUCUGUCUCAUCAUAUCCUUGAUGUGUUCACGAGCAACUUCCUCCGAGGCACCAGUUUCAUGCAUGUAACACUGGAUUGAUUUCGGAACAUCCCCUCUCCGUAUCUCAUCCUGAUGAAUUAUUGGGUAAAAAAAAAAGUACAAUCAAUUCACAAAUAAAGGAUUAAUUCAAUUUCUGUCUUGUUAAAAAAAGAAAAACUAAAAAAUACCGAUGAAGUUCCCAAAUCAUCUUGAAGACGAAGAAUCUUGAAUGACCAGUGACUUAUAUCUUGAUUACUUUCUAAAAAUUCUAGUUCCUUCUCAAUGAUUGGAUUUGUCCCAGAAAGGUAUGCAGUCAUUGUAACCAUAGGGCCUCCUAUUGAUACCAAUCCAUUUUCCAAGAAUUCUCCCAGUGUUGGCGUGUACUUACCAUGGUACCAUUUUGCCUCCACUAAGUAGGCUUGUAUAUUGCGAAGCCACUGAUGCACAAGACACAAAAAGUAGCAGUAGUUACAACUUACAAUUUUUUUUUUUUUUUUUUUUUUUUUGCGACAAAAACAUCGUAAUGUGAAAUGGAUAAAUCAAAGGAAAAGGAAUGGCAGCGGAGGUGCAACUAAUAUUUUACGUACCGCAUUUUUUAUACUUCGAAGUAUAUCAAAAUCCUGUUGUUUGAGUACGUAAUAAGUAAAUUCAUUAACCAAGUUGUAAAGCGCAAGAAAACAGAUUUUCAUAUAGUCCGGAAGGUGGUUCAAAGCAUAAUUGAUGUCCCACCUGUAGAAAACGAAAAAAAAAAAAAAUUCAUAUGACUGGUCUAUUAAUUUGAGAGGUAGCAAGCAGCUAGCUAGCAGUUGAAUUAAUCAAUUAGGUAUAACAUUAAUUUGCCAACAAACCUCUCAACAGCAUCAGCAAAUAGCUCAAGUUCAUCCAAAGUUCCAUAAACAUCAUAAAUAUCAUCAAUCACUGAAAUUAGAGCAAAUGUGAUUGUGAGUAUUCUCCUACAGUAGGCGAAUUGAGGCUCAAACACUAUCCCCAUGCUCCAUACGAAGGAUGCUACCAAGCUGUCCCUCGCAAAGCUCAGUUUCUCUCCAAGACCUAUAUCCUUCCACCACCUUCAUAGGAAAAUUAAAACGAAUAUUAUGACUCGUAGCUUUACAAUACAUCUAUUAUAGAGUCAUCUUCUAGUCCGAGAUUCCUUAGAGUGAAUCUCUGGUGCAAACGUCUGUAUUUUAUGAAGUGCAGACUCAGACCUUUACACUACUGUAAAAGGUGUAGUCUGCACCUGAGAAUAAUUUAAUAUGCAUAUGAUUAAUUUGUACAAGUUAUGUAUGUCAUAAACUAAAAUCUUUGAUACAUACAUAAAUAUGAGUUAUGCAACCAAGCAUGGAUACCUUGAAACAUCUUUAAGUUCUUCCUGGUAAAUUGCCUGCAAAACGUUGAAUUCCAACUUAGCGAGCUCAAGUAAAAGGUGGUUCUUGUCCUCUCUUUUCUCAUAAACGUCUAUGAACCACCUUGCCUCUAACAUUGGAACUUUCCAAUGCAGAGGGAGCUCCAGUCCACGCUUUGCUUGUUCUGCUACAAAGACAUCCCCUUGCUUGCUCUUGCUGAUCAUCACUUCUUUUAGAUGUUUACUGGUGAAUUGCCAGGCCUCCUCCAUGAUGCUUUCUCCUUCUAAGCUGAAAUACGAGGCUUCAUGCAAGCUCAGUACUCCCUUGAAAUCAUCACAAAUGAAGCCUCCCUGGUCGUCUUUAAAACCAUUGAAGACCUCUGCAGCACUCAACCAAAAAAGGUUACAUUCGUCAAAAUUUUUGCAUCCAUAUAUUAAUUAGAGAAUGAUUGAAGUAUCCCCAGCGGCGCCCUUGUCGAGUUCGAAUUCUCAGGAGAUAGAGAGUUAUAAAACUGAUUUGGGUUUCGUCCAUUUCUUUAAAUUUAAAAAAAGAAAAAAGAAAAAAGAAAACAGAAAGAUCGAUUCAAGUAUUCAGAUCAUGCAUGUACCUUGAGAAACAGGAUAGCCAUGUUGUCUAAGUAGUCUGAAUUCAAGGGAGGUUGCAUACAGAUUUUCUUUUCUCCAAACAUAAUCGUUAUUACUGUUGUAGAUAUCAUGCAAUAUGUUCCGAAUCUCAGUCUCAAAAUGAUAAGCCAAUCCAAGUCUUUGCAAGCUGUCAAUCAGCUCCAACUGAUUCAGAGGCUCGGUUACAUCCUUAAUCGUUGUCAUUACUUUUCCCUUCAGCUCUUCUUCUCGUCUUUUGUAUGUUUCAUCCUGUACAUGCACAGCAUUUAGUUUUUAGUUAUUCAUGGUCCCAGUUUGAAAUCAACAAAGGAAAUUAAUACGUAAUAAUAAUGAUGAAUACCGUAUAGUUGCUAUUCAAUGACUGCAAAAAAUCAUGGUCCCAAAUUGAAGGUUGGUAGUUUGCUGAUCUCCUAUCAACUGUCAAAUUAUCAUAUUUGGCGCUGACAAGGCAUUGGACUGGCUUAUUUUUUGCCAUGAUUCUGAUGGCUGCUUUAUUUGUUGCAAGAGGAAGACAUUUGAAACCAUUUACAGAGGUAACCAAGGUUGAGGGAUUAAUGCAAGAAGACAUUGGAUGUACAGAUGUAGUGUAAGCUAGCUUACAGUUGUACUUGGCAAAGAUUCUCAAAUUAAUCUAUGGUCUGUGGUGAUGUACGAGGUUAUAUAUAUAUAGGCAGAGGAGAAGCUCAUGUGAUUUAUUUUUCUUACUCAUUUUUUCUGAGUUUUGAAAGCGUUUAAUUUUUAAGUCUUAAUAGUACAAAGAUAUUUUAUUAAUUUGGGGGGGGGGGGGGGGGGGGGAAUACAUCGUAUUGGAGGUGUAUUUGAUUAACUCAUGUGCAUAACUCAAUUGGUGGGACAAACAAUGUCUUAAGAAAAGCGAAAUUCGUAAUGUGCCUCGAAGUACACAUCCAUUUUCUAUAGUUUACCUAUUACUAUUAUUUUUGUAACACCCUAGGCGAAUCCCACAUCAACAGAACACGGGAGAAAUGCUAGUUUUAUAAGAGGUGAUUCACAUCUUAAUUGGCAAGAUACGUUUGGGCUGUAUGGGCGCCUCAAGAACAAAACCGUGCGGGCUUUGUUAAGGCCCAAAGCGAACAAUAUCUUGACAAGUCUGAAUUUGGUCAUGACAGAUGAUAUCAGAGUGGCUCCGCAUGUCCUCUUGAGCGAUGGUGGGACAAACCUCAGCGAGUACUCUGAGUCAUUAAGGGGGGUGUAUGUAAUAACACCCUAGGCGAAUCUCACAUCGGCAAACCACGGGAGAGAUGUUGGGUUUAUAAAAUGUGAUCCACACCUUAAUUGGUAAGACAUGUUUUAGGGUGUAUGGGUGCCCCAGGAACAAAACCGUGCGGGUCUUUUUAAAGCUCAAAGCGGAUAAUAUCUUACCAGGUUUGGGUUGGGUCAUGACAAUUUUCUUGUACCUACAAAGUUAUAAACACAUUAAUUUAUUAAAAUAAAGUUCCACCUUUAUUAUUGCAAUUCUCUACAUUUAUUAUUCCCCACAAAUAUAUAUCUCGGCACUUAGUAGAUAGAUUAUUUUAUUAUAACUAUCAAUAGAUUUUACUUGCAUAAUAGAUAUUGAUGAAAUUAUAUAGAGUAAUUUCGUCCAAUUAUAUUAAUCGUUUAUGAAUUUCAUCACAAAUUUAUAUGUGGCCAAUACCGUGCAAGUGAAAAUUAUUUUGAGUUUUAUCCACCCGUUUACCAUUUCAAUAUAUAAAACUCUCCUAUUGCUUUAAAGUGUCAUUUUUUAUUUUAAACAAGUCUCAGCCAAAGAUUAAAUUGUCAUCUGUUCGCAAGAUAUUCAGCACAACACUUGAGCGAAAUUUCUUCAUCCUUGAGCGGAAAAUACAAAGAAACACAUAGUUCGCAAUUUUAGUAGCAAAAUUAAUAUUUUGUUCCAUAUGGGGUAAAUCUUCAGGAGGCCCAACUUCAAACUUAAAAUGUUAAUUUUAAGUUAUUAUGUAGUCGUUAGGAAUUUCGGAAUUUGAGAAUUUUGAUUGUUGCUGCAGGCUGCAGCGAUUUUGUCAUGGCGACUUUGAUUCAUAAUUGAAGUACUGUUGCAAGUAAAACUAAAAAAAUAAUUAACAAAAUAAAAAAAAAUCGAGUUACUUGAUUUUAUAUGUAUAAAGUUUAUAUAUCAAGUGCUUAGGGGUCGAAUCAGUCUUCUUAUACCUAAUUUUUAAUAUUUCACUUCGAAACCUCAAAAUUUUUCAAAGCUCGUAGGGUCACAAUCCCCGCUAGGAGUGGGCAAAUUUGUGUUCAGAUCAACUUGUUUGAGUUUUGGGUUGAUUAGGUUAGAAUAUUCAGAUUGGAUUGGAUUAGAUCAAAAUCAAAAAGUAUGAGAGAAAUUAAUUGACUUCUCCCAAGAAAAAUACAUACUGAUGAUUGAUAUAUAACCAUUAAAUAAUAAAUAUGUUAGACUUACUUUAUUUUUUAGCCCUAAAUAAUAAAAAGGUUUAUUAUUGCUUGACUUUUCGAGUUUAAAAUUUGAAUGUCAAAUUAGAUAAAAAGUUAAAAAAUUAUUUUGAGUUUUAUCCACCCGUUUACCAUUUUAAUAUAUAAAAGUCUCCUAUUGCUUUAAAGUGUCAUUUUUUAUUUUAAACGAGUAACAGCUUUGUCCUGCUUCAUGUGCCUCCGCUCUGCAUCUUCCAGCACAGCUUGAAUGUCUUGAAGAUUGGUAGUAAGCUUUCCCACUUCUUGUUCGACACUCGUCACAAGCCUCCACUUUUCUUUCACCUGAUCUUGAGCAAUGGAAUUCAGCUGGUCCAAGAGAGAGGAAACGAUCGCAUGAGCCAUUCUGAUAUUAGAUCAAAUGGUAAAUGCUGCAAUUGCUUUUCUUGCUAAAAUGCUCAGAGGAAAGUAGCUUUUAUGUAUUCUGUGAGAAUGUUCAUUCAAGCAUGUUUGCAUAUUCUUCUUAUAGCAUAGGAGAUAUUUAAUUUUUAUCCUUGAGUCAAUGCCAAUGUGAACGUUCUUUUGUGCUGCAAAUUAAAGGAGUCCCCACACAUGGGUUCUUUUGUGCACGACAAGAUGCACAUGGGUUCACAGCAUCAACCCAAUGUGAACGUUCUGGGGCUAGCUUUCUGAUCCACCACGUCAAUAAUUGUACAGCAUCUGCCCUGUUUCUCUGAUUCAUAAUAAUUAUUCAGAGUACUCAGCAUCUGCUCCACCACGUCAAUAAUUGUACAGCAUCUGCCCCGUUUCUAUGAUUCAUAAUAAUUAUUCAGACUACUCAGCAUCAGCUCCUGUAAAAUUUCUUAUGUACUAAGCAACAAAAUAUUUGUGAACUACAACAAAAGGCUUAGAUCAAUCCACCGAUGAACCUUCUGAAGUUAUAUGUAAUCUAUUAAUUGUUGAUCUAGAAUAGUCUUAGUGGAUAGAUUUUUUUUUAUUAUAAAUAUCAAUAAAUUUUUUAUCGUCUAAUAGAUAUUGAUGAAAUUGUAUAGAGUAAUUUCGCCCAAUCAUAUUAAUCCAUUAUGAAUUUCAGCACAAAUUUGUAUGUGGUGUGGACCGUUCAAGUGAAAUUUCAGAUAAAAUCAUCCCCUGACAAUUUAUUUAUUAUAUGUUUUCUGAUAAAAUAAUGUUAAUUAGUAAUUUAUUACAUCUGCAAUUAGCUAGAUACUUUGUUUGAGAAAAAAAAAUAAAAUCAGUUUCACAAUGAUUUUAAUUGCAAUAAAUAUCAUGCUGUGGUCUAUGACUUAUCUGAUAUUACAGAGAAAAUAUGUGAAAGAUAACUAAGUAAUAAAUCCAUUACGAAUUUCAUCACAAAUGAAAUUUAUUUAUUAUAUUUUUCAAUUUAACCUUAACGUUUGGACCAUUUUUUUUCUAUAUGGAUUAUGGCCGACAACGUUUGUUAUCAGCAAAAGCCAUUUGUUAUCUUGUCAAAAUUUGCUACAACACCACCAUUUUCUUACAUUUUGGCUUCUUCAAUGUUAAAGCCGUGUGCUGCCAAUUUUACUUCUUUAAAGAUGCUGCAGCCCUCUUUGAUUUUUCUUUGUUCAAAAUGGGCUGCUUUUAGAAUUUAGCAGUUACUUUUCUUGACAUUAAAUAGAUAGAACACUCUAGCACGUAGUUCUAAUCAUGUUGCAGAUAGAACACUCAAACACGUUGUUAUAAUCAUGUUGCCUUGACCUUAUUUUCUUAAAGCAUGUUGACAAAUACAAUAAUCUGCAUUUGGAGGAUGAUUAUGAAGAUAAAAACAAUAGAAAGUAUAAAUGACUAAUAAUAUACAUGACUUUAAGUGACAUGAGAUUUUUAAAACUAAACAAAGCUAACACAAGUAGAUGAUCCUUUCAUUAUAAUAUGUCGCAAAAUAAAAACUAAAUAAUAUUUAUUUCUUUUAUUUUUUUAGUUUAAUUCAUACUUCAGAAUUAUGUUAGGAUCAACCCAUACAAAGAAAAUCUCACAAGUCCUCUGAAGUAAUAAGCAACAUACAUAUGUGUGUGUGUGUGUAGUACAAUUUAAUAUUAUUUCAACUAGCGAAAUUUAUUGUGGAAGUCAUAAAAAUUAAGAAUGAAGAAAAGGAACCAUGAACCCAAAACAGAACGCAAAAAGUAGUCAUAUUUGUUCAUGAGGGAAUUCUAACAUGCCAAUCCUUGUGUUUAGAAUAAUCAACGAUGUCGAUAUUUCUCUAUAAUGGUCUUACAUUGAACAGAAACGUACGGAAGCAUGUGUUUAAUAAUCAACGAAUCAUACGAGUCAAAGAGUACUGAAAAGAAUACGUAAAAACUCUUUUAAUCCCUAUAUUUUGAGGUUAGUAACGUAUAUUUUUAAGAAUACCUCAAAACUCCCAGCCGUUAAACUAUUGACGCAUCUGCCUUUUUAUUUUUAUUCCUUUUAACUUGCUUCAAUAAUAUUAGCCUUUUACAAUAAUUUUUUUGGAGAGUAAUAAAAAGAAAAAAAAUUAUCAAUUUAAACCUAAAAAUAAUACACACACAUACAUAUACACUAAUUUUUCUAAAAGCUCACAUAUGUAAAAAAAAGUAAUAUUGUAAAAAAAAUUAAAUUACGAACUUUUUUGGACAUUAAUAAAAACAUAAAUAUAUUAACUCCUCAGCAAAAUGUUCCACAUUAAUUUUUUGAGAUUAAAUUGAUAAUUCAAUUUUUUCUUUUUAUUAAUGUAAAAAAAAUAAACAUUAUUGUGAGAGAGUAAUAUGUAAAAGCAAGCUAAAUGGAACAAAAAGUAACGGCAGGGGUUUCAAUAAUUUAACAAUAGAGAUGUUUUGAGGUAUUUCUAAAUAUAUAGUGACAAAAAAGAUGCUAACCUAAAAAUAUAGGAGCUAAACGAGCUUUUAUCCAAAGAGAAUCCAUGUAUAGCCGAUUUUACUAGAAUUUGCAAAUAAAAUGCAAAUACCAUUAGUCUUAUAAAAAACAUGCAACUUUUUAUCAGCAACCUGUAAAAUACCAUUAGAAGAGAUACUUGUACCAUUUCCAUGGGAUCAUCAAUCUCGAAACAAAACAGUUUCUGCGAGGCACCAUAUCAGCAUGUAAAAUGCCGCUUCAUUGACUAGUAUUUGAAAAUGACAAGAAGUGCAUAAGAGAAAUUUUAGAAUACCUCUAAAGUACCAUAUCAUUUAUACAAUAAGUAAAUAAUUUUAUAGUAUAAGUACAUUUAUUUUGAAGAAUCGACAAGUAAUUAAUGGUUAUACAAAAUUUAAAUUCACAUAUCAUAUAUGUAUUAAUUGAUUAUAUUAUCUCUUGGGUGCUACUAAGUUACAGCUGCUGUAACUUAUAGCCCCUUCAAAAUAAUGUAAACAACUGUCAUAGGUGGUAGGACCCGCAUGAUUUUUAAAGGAAUUAUAAAUUAUAGCAGUAGUAACUUAGCAAAAUCUUUAUCUCCUAUGCAUUUUGACUUGCUAAGUAUGAGAAGUCCCCCUGGGAUUCAAGAAGAAGGAAAUGAAGAAUGGGAACGAAAUGAAAUAAGGUCUUUCUGCAAGAUCAUACUUUGUAAUACCCCACCUCGCUGCUUUGACUAAUUUUGACUCGCUUUUUGAUUAUAUAAAAAAAGGAAACUAUAAAUUGUUUAAAGAAGAGGAAGCAUAUUCACACGUGAGAGAGAGAGAAAGUUGCCAAAGCUGACUCGGAAAACCUGACCCAUGAACCAACCCGGCCACCAUUUCUCGUUCCUGGCCACCCCACCAGCAACCGGAGGUACCAAUUAGAAGCUUUAGAACCAAUGGUCAGUUCCCCACCAUCGUUAUCGUUGAAUAACGGCUGGAAAGCCAUCAUUUGAGCCUGCAAAACCUAUAGUAUUUGCCACCUCCAUUCACCGUGAUUUCGCUGGUUUUAGGUGACGCCACCGAAUGGAUUUCGUUCCUCAGGUCACUACCUUCAUUUUUCGACCACCCACAUCACCAAAAAUGGUCAAUUUGCUGCCAAUCGACCACCGGAGUGUUCACAGCUUUGGGAGCUCGAUCUGGUGCCUCUGCCACCACUGUUGGAUUCAACGCUACAUGAAGCUUCUAUCCCGACCUUUCCUGUCACCGUCAUCUGAAUUUCGAUCACCGUUGCUCGAUGAGAGCAUUUUGGUGAUUUUUUAGAAUUUGAGGGUAAUUUCUUAAAUUUUUUAUUUUGUGAAUAUUUAAGUGAUUUCUAAUUUGGAGGAUAAGAAUCUAAGGGUAGUUCAAUAAAUUAUGAUUUUGAGGAUAAUUUAGCAACUUGUGAUUUUGAGAUUUCGGGAACAUUCUAGUAAUUUAAAAUUUUGGUAUUUUGGUAAUUAAUUAUUCAAAUUGAGAUUAAUUGAGGUUAAGUUUAGAGGGUAUUAUAUUGAGGAAUUUGAGAGCAUUAGAGUUUAUGAUUUGAUAUGAUUUUAUCUUAUAUGAGUAUUUUUUAUUGAUUUUAUCUUAUAUGAUUUGAUAUGAUUUUUUAGGUCGGUGAUAUCGAUACAUAUUUGUUACUCGAGGAUGCUAGAAGGUAAGUAAACUAGAUUUCUAAAUGAGUCACAAUAAAUAAUAUGCAUAUGUUUGACAUGUUUGAAAAGCUUAUUUUGAUAUAUGCGGAUAUGGAUUUAUAUGCUCUGCCCAUGUGUUUAUAUGAUGUGUUAAUAGGAUGUAUUGUUAUGUGUUAUGUGUGUUUAUGGACGUGGACAUAUGUCUGUGUGAAUGUUUCAAUGGCAUUAGCACGAAAAUGUAUUAUGUUUUCUGUGAAAUGAGAAAGUGGAUUUUAGCCAAACGAAAUUGGAAGAAAGAAAGUAAGCUUUACAUUAAGUAGUAGCAAUCCUUAUGAAUUUCCGCGAGGUGAUGAAAACCUAGGCCAUACAUCAAACAAAUGUCCAAAACGAAGACAACAAAUAGUCAAUUUGGCAACUAAUGCAGAGGAAAAUGAAAAGCCUAAGGAUGAACCGUAUAAAGACAACGACGACAUAGAAAAGGAGGAAUAGUAGACAUAUUGAGACACAUGAGUAUCACUAGUAACACAACAUUUGUUAUACACACUAAAGAAAGACGAAGACACUCAGAGACACAACAACUUCAAAACAAGGUGCACAAUCAAUGAGAGGGUAUGUAAUAUGAUUAUUGACAGUGAUAGUAGCAAGAAUAUAGUUUCGAAGAUUAUAGUUGACAAGUUACAACUUAAAACUCACAAACAUCCUUCCCCUUAUUGCAUUGGAUGGAUAAGAUAUGUUGGAGAGAUCAAGGUUACUCAACAAUGUUGUAUUCUUUUUUUCUAUCGGAAGAUACAAAGAUGAAGUAAUUUGCGAUCUUCUUGACAUGAAUGCUUGCCAUUUGCUUCUCGGGAGACCCUGGCAAUUUGAUCUUAAUAUGGUACAUCAUGGGAAAGAUAAUACAUACAGGUUCUAUAAAGACAACAAGAAGGUUAUCCUUGCUCCGAUAAAGUCAAAAGUCAAGGGAGCCUAUCUUUUAGUACAAAAGACAUAGCUGAAGUAGAAUCGAUGCCUGAAUAAGUCCAAUCGCUACUCUCAUAAUUUCAAGAUAUCAUGCCUAAAGAGCUUCCUAACAAGUUACCUCCUAUAAGGAUUACCUGUGACUCAAAUUAAAAGAGAACUUGUAAUGGUUUGCCCCUACAAGUCUAUAGUUUUUAAAAGAACCAUACUAAAAAACAAGAAGAAAUUGAAAUUUUGGUACUUUCGAGUUUUAAGAAAAGUUGAUGCAAAGUGCUACACUUUUGCAGUGCAAGAUCAAUUACUCCUUUGUUACAAGCUUUAUCCUCCAUAUUGUCCUUUGUUUUCAGCAAAACUAUGAGUUUUUUUUCAAAGAGGAGGAGACUGAUGUAGGAAGUAUAUACGAUAGAAUAUAUAAAAAAUUAUAGUAUUUGAGUCGAUUUAAUAUUUAAUAGUCUAUUAAGAUUUAUCCUGUUAGAGUAUAAGUUUUCUAGUUUAAUUAGGAAUUACUUUAUAUCUCCUUAUUUAAAGUCAUAUUCCUUUUACUUAUAAGGAAUCAUAAUUUUAUUAGGAUAGGAUAAUCUUAAUUAGUAUAAAUAGGCUUAUUAUGCUUGUUUCUUGACACAAGCUUUUUCAUUAAUAAUAUUUAGUAUUUCUCAAUUGAGAUAUUUUCUCCUUUGUGAGAGCUCACUUUCUUGAGUUUUCAAGAACGUACGCUAGAACUAAAUCUAGUAUCGCUUCCGCCCUGCAUCAUAAAUUAUCAUUAAAUGUAAAAUAAAACAUAAAUUAAUUAAAUAAAGCUUAAGACCUAUAAAUUGAUUGUAAAACAAGUAAAUUAGCAUAGGAAUGGUAAAAUGAUGUAUGAUUGAUAAACAAAAUAUAAACUUACAAAUAUUACACAAAACUUGCACUACAAGAAAACUGACAAUAGAUGACAGACACUUGUUGAUAGAUUCUGAGUGGGUCAUAAAAGCAUGAUAUAGUUGUGAUAUAUUUUUGGCUGUCAUAUAUUCAUGACUGAUUUGUGAUGGACUCGUGAUAGAAAAAGAGUAUGUCAAGAAUAUAUGAUGUCUUUGUGAUAUAAAUUUAAACGUCAAUAAGUCAUGAUAGAAAUUUAACGUUGCCUUAAUUUUGGCGCUUUUUUGACUGAAACUUUUAGUGUUAUUUAAAAUAAAAUAUUACACAAAGGAAGACACGUCAUCGUUUUAGGGAAGUUGGAACUAUGACGUUUUGUACAUAAAUAUAAAAUAUUAUAUUUUUAAAAUGUUUUAUUAUAAAAUAAAAUUAAAAAACAUGAAACGCACCGUUUUGGUGCUGAGUUUCACUUCUUCAAUCCCUAAUUUUUUCUAAGUAUUAACACAUACAACUCACAAACAUACAGAGAGUAUAGGGUAAGGCUAAAAUCUCAGCCAUCAUCUUACCCUCUUAUAUUGACUUCCUUUUCGCCUUCAUCUUACCAAAAUCUUGACCAUCGUCAUCUUGCCAUCGUCUUCCUAACGUAUUGGUUACCGAUUGCGUUGAGAAAUUGAGUGGGUGAAGGUGCAUUUUGUGGUAUCGCCAUUGUCUUCUUCUCCAUCAUGUUCCUCGCCAUCGUUUUCUGUCCUCAUCUUACUGUCUUCCUCACCGUCAUUUUUUGAAAGCCCUUGGUAUGAUUUCUAUUAUGUCUUUAUUUUGCAUGCUGUUUGUUUUGCACAGAUCUAAGUUAAAUCAAUUAAUUCUAUAAAUAAUCUAAUGAGAAAACCUAAUUAAAAAAAUAAAUUAUUUAAUUUGCUGAAAGAGAGCAAAGAAUGUAGGUUGUUAGGGUUCGCAGUAGCAGAAGCAACAGUAGUGUAGCAGGAGUGAAGUAGAUUUUAGAGAUGAAGGAUUAAAAAAAAGGGAUAAUUAUUUUGCAGCAGUAGUACUACUAGUAGCAGGACCAAGAGCCAAAUAAUUUGCCUAUUGUAGUAAAUUUGCAUGUCUAGGGGUUAAUUUUUCAUUGAAGUUUGGGGUUAUUAGGAAAUGAGUGAAGUAGCAGUACUUUUUUUUGCAACAAAUUUAUACUUAGAACCUAAUUAGAACCUAAUUUACCUUCUGAUGCAAAAUUGUAUUUUAUUUUAUUGAAAAGGGUAUCUGUGUUUUUGUUGACUCUGUGUUUUUGUUGAAGUAGCUUGCUGCCACCUCUUUUGUUGCAGAGUUUGCUGCAUCUCUUUUGCUGGAACAAUUUGGUGUAGAGGAAUUAAUUUUUAUUUGGUAAGUAAAUUGCACUUCUUUAUUUUUAGAGUUUUGAGUUCGUUAGUUAAUUAAUAGUUGCAUGAUAGCAAUUACUUUAAUAUUAUGGUCCUUUAUAUGAUUGUAUGAGGCUUUAUUUGUAUGUUAUGUUGUGGCUAUUGUAAUCUGUCUAUCUACUUGCAUUCUGUGUUGUGACUAAUGUAAUGUGUGGGGUCAAAAAUUUUUGUUAUGUUUAUCUUGCAAUAAGGGUAUUUAAAGUGGUGUUAAUUUGUACUUUUGCAUAUGUAGGGUUAAUUUUUUUAUUUAAGUAUGGGGAUAUUAGGAAAUGAUGAAGUUCCAAUACUGGUUUUGCAAUAAAUUUAUACUUAGAACCUAAUUAGAUCCUAAUUUAGCUUAUGGUGUUAAUCCUUUGUUUUUGUUGGAACAACUUGCUGCCACCUCUCUUGCUGCACAAUUAUUUCCUCUUCUCUUGCAGGAAUAGUUUGCUGUAGAGGAAUUAAUUUGACCUGGUAAAUAAAUUACACUUCUUUAUUUUAGAGUUUUGAGUUCGUUAGUUAAUUUAUAGAUGCAUGAAAUAUGUUUAAUAUUAUGGUCCUUUAUAUGAUAGCAUGACCUGAAGUUGUAUUAGGCUUGAUUUUAGUGUUGUGUUUAUUUACUACUGCAAUGAUUUUGAAUAUUGCAAUGUGUUUAAGUACUUGUAUUUUGUGUAGUGACUAUUAUAAUGUGUGGGGUCAAAAUUUGUUGUUUUGUUUAUGUUGCCAUAAGGGUAUUUAAAGUGGUGUUAAUUUGUACUUUGCUUAGAUAAAUUGGUAAUAUAUUCUGAUAUUUUAUUUAUUUGUAACAUGCUUAAUGUGUUAGGAUCAGAACUAAUUGAAACUGAAAAUGGAUAAGUUUUGGGUUCAUUGUAGUAAAAUGUCAAGUGAGUAUGAAGAUGGGGUUGAAGAAUUUAUGAAGUUUGCUGUUGGUAAUUCUGAAGGCAGUAGCGUCAUUAAAUGUCCGUGUACUAAUUGUAUGAAUUUAUCCUUUCGUACACAUAAGGUUGUUCGUGAACAUUUGUAUUUUCAUGAUUUUGAUGUUUCUUACACAACCUGGAGUUGGCAUGGGGAAGAUGUCAAUGACACACCAGUUCUUAAUGUAGAUGUAGAUGUUCCAUUUGAGUUUAUAGACUAUGAUGACGGUAACACAGUAGAUAUGGUUAACGAUGCUUAUAGGGAUUGUGCUGCAGAUCCUAAAGCAUUUAAAGAACUUCUAGAACAAGCUAACAAGCCUUUGUACCCAAGAUGUACAAAUUUCACUAAGUUAGGCACUUUGGUUAGCUUAUUCAAUAUAAAAGGGUAAAUUUGGGUGGUCCGACACAAGUUUUACCGAGUUAUUAAGUCUUCUAGCCAAGUUGCUGCCUGAAAGUAAUGAAAUUCCUGUGUCUAUGUACGAGGCCAAAAAGACAAUGUCCGCUUUAGGCUUAGAAUAUAUGAAAAUACAUGCUUGCCCAAAUGAUUGCAUACUUUAUAAAAAAGAGUAUGAAGGGUUGUCUGACUGUCCUAGUUGUGGUUUAUCUAGAUGGAAAAAAAAUGAUGGUAGUGUUGACCAAUAUAGGAAAGGGGUUCAUGCGAAGGUUUUAUGGUAUUUUCCGCCCAUACCUAGAUUUAAACGCAUAUUUCAGUCCUCAGAAACUGCCAAGGACUUGACUUGGCAUGCAAAUGAGAGAGCCGAUGAUGGUAAGCUCCGACAUCCGGCCGACUCGCCAUUAUUGAAAUUAGUAGAUAACAAAUGGCCUACAUUUGCAUUAGAUCCUAGAAAUCUCCAUCUUGCGUUAGCGGCUGAUGGAAUAAAUCUACAUAGCUCUCUUAGUAGUACAUAUAGUUGUUGGCCAAUUAUUCUUAUAACAUAUAAUCUUCCUCCGUGGUUGUGUAUGAAAUGGAAAUUCAUGAUGUUGUCCCUAUUGAUUUCUGGUCCUCAACAACUGGGCAACGACAUCGAUGUGUACUUGGCACCUUUGAUAGAAGAUUUACAAACUUUGUGGGCAGUUGGGGUAGAGACUUAUGAUGCCUACAGGAAUGAGUUCUUUAAUUUGCGGCCUGUGUUAUUAUGGACUAUAAAUGACUUUCCGGCAUAUGGAAAUCUAAUUGGUUGCCCUGUUAAAGGAUAUAAUGCCUAUCCAUAUUGUGGAGUAGACACUACUAAAUGUAGACUUAAACACAGUGGCAAAAAUGCAUAUAUCGGUCACCGUCAUUGGCUUCCUCAUGGUCAUGAAUUUCGAGACCAAGAGAAAGCCUUUGACAACACAAUAGAGAGAGAGUUUGCCCCGAAACUGUUGGAUGGGGAGAGUGUUUUGUGACUGAUUGAGUCUAUUGAUUAUAAAUGGGGGAAGAACAACUCUAAAAAAUGAAAAAGUUCUGACAAUGAUGAUCGCAUUUGGUGGAAAAAAAUCCAUAUUCUAUAAUUUAGAGUAUUAUAAGCAUUCACUUGUACGUCCUCAAUUAGAUGUUAUGCACAUUGAAAAGAAUGUGUAUGAGAGCAUAUACGGAACACUGCUGCAUAUUCCAGGAAAGACCAAAGAUGGUCUUAAGUCAAGGAAUGAUCUUGUGGAAAUGGGAAUUAAGAAUGAAUUAGCACCAACUUUUAAAAAUAACAUCUUACACAUUAACUAUAGAUGAAAAAACAAGGUUCUGCAAAGAUUUAAAAAGUAUUAAGGUUCCAGCUGGAUAUUCCUCAAAUAUAAAAAAUCUUGUGUCAAUGAAAGACCUUAAACUUCAGGGCCUUAAGUCACAUGACUACCAUGUUCUUAUGCAACAACUUUUGUCUAUUGCCAUUCGGUGUGUCCUGCCAAAGCAUGUUAAAGAAGCUGUGAUCAGGUUGUGUUUCUUCUUUAACUUGCUGUGUUCCAGUGUGGUUGAUGUGUCAACAUUGGAAAAAUUAUAGGCUGAGCAUAUGGUGACUUUGUGCUUGUUAGAAAAAUAUUUUCCUCACUCUUUCUUUGACAUAAUGACACACUUGGUUGUGCAUUUAGUCAAUGAAGUUAGACUAUAUGGCCCGGUUUACCUUCGAUAGAUGUAUCCUUUCGAGAGAUACAUGAAAACUCUUAAGGGUUAUGUCAGGAACCGCAACUGUCCUGAGGGUUGUAUAGCGGAGAGUUAUAUUGCGAAAAAAGCAUUAGAAUUUUGUGCAGAAUACAUGUCAAACAUGAAUACAGUUGGGGUUCCACUUGGACAUGUGCAAAACCUAUCAAAAGAUAAGCCAUUAACUGGUGGGAAAGUGGUACCAAUUCCUCCACAUUCACUAGAUCAAGCGCACCUGUACAUCUUGCAUAACACGCAAGAGGUGGUACCAUGCAUUAGGUAAUUUGGUGCAUUUCUUCAAUUCUAUAUAAUUUAUUUCUAUAAUUUUUAGUCUAAUUUUUUCAUGUUCUGGAUGUCUAGUGACCAUAUGCAGUGGCUUAAAACACGUUAUUCACAUCAAAAUGACAAAUGGUUGCCAGAGGAACACAACCGUACCUUUGCCGGUUGGCUAACUGAUAAGGUUCUAGCACGUAUAUAAUUAAUUUUCACAAAGAAAUCUCAACUUUUUUUUCACUUAGUAAAGAUGUUUACUUUUCUUCCUUGUCUUGUUAGGUAUAUGACUUGAUUGAAAAAGGUGAUCACGUAUCGGAUACUUUGCGAUGGUUAUCACAUGGGCCUCUUCCUUUUCUAACUAAACAUAAUGGUUAUGACAUUAAUGGUUUCCAUUUUAUUACACGAGAUCGAGACUCAAGUCAAGUAACUCAAAAUAGUGGAGUUAGUGUAGGUGAUUCUGAUAUAUGUGAUAUGACAUAUUAUGGAGUUAUAGAUGAAAUUUGGGUACUUGACUAUCAUUUGUUGAAAGUCCCUAUGUUGAAGUGUGAUUGGGUUCAAAGUAGUAAGAAGGAUGAGCUUGGAUUCAUCUUAGUAAACUUAAACCGAUUAGGAUAUGAAUCUGAUCCAUUUAUAUUGGCUUCUUAAGCCAAACAAGUAUUUUAUGUAAACGAUCAGAUUCAAACAAAGCGGUCUAUUGUCUGUUAUAUGCCUAGUAGAAGUAAUCCUAAUAAAACAAAUGAAGAUGAGGUCAAUAAUGUAACAGAAUAUCCUCCCUUCACCAGAGAAUUUCCAACUAAUGAUUUGUUACAUUUUACAAAUGGCAACCGCGCAAUCUAUGCACGAAAUAGCAAAGAGGGAAUUUGGGUUACCAAUUGAUUAACUUUUUUCCAGUAAGUGUUUAUUCAACUAUUCAGUCUAUGUUACAAACUAAUAUGAUAAUGAAUUAUUGUAGCUACUUUAUUCUUGCAGCUGAUUGAAUGUUAUAUAGUUUUAUAUUAUCAGUUAACUAAUACAAUUUAAUUUACUUAUUUCAGGUGCAGUAAUAUAGCUAAGGGAAAACAUGUAGUGGCUGAUGUUGCUUCUAAUCAGGAAGCUUAUUUUGAAGACGAAUACGACGACUUAUUUGCCGUGGUAGAUAAUUUAGCAGAUGCAAAAAACGAGGCUCAUUUUGAUGGUGUUGAGAUGGAUGGUGUUGAGUGUGAUGGAGGUGAUAAUGAUGGUGCUGAUUUGGAUAGAGGUGAUUUUGAUGGUGCUGAGAUGGAUGGUGUUAAUUUCGUUCCUCCUGAUGCUGAUGUUCCUGAAAGCAGUAACUCUAGGAGAGGUGUAAAUAUGGGAGCUAGGCAAAAUAAAAGACUUAAAACAAAGAAGGGAAAUAUUGUGGUACAAUACAAUAAAAUGGGCGUUCCAGCAGGCGAUGAAGCCACUGAGUUGGCUUCUCUUAUUGGGGUAUUAGCUCGUACAUCAGUUUUAAUUCUCUAUUCCAACUGGCGUAAGGUUCCGCUGGAGACAAAAGAGGUUUGUGGAAAUCUGUUCUGUUAAUUCUUAAAAAUCCACUACAUUCUACUUAAUCCUUUUGCUGUCAUUUUUCAAUUAUGUACUUUUAUGUAACAUAAUUUUUAUUAACUGUCACUUAAACAAUCUUCCUCUUAUUUAGGGUCGUUUCAUUGUUCAUCCUAGAAGUAGGAAGUAGGUGAUACAAUCAAUUGGAAUAGCAUUUCGGAACUUCAAGUAUAUGCUAGCCAAAAACUAUAUCUGGAAGUCCAGAAAUGAUAAAAAGAAAUUGUAUGCACCCGCAAUUGAGUACCCUCAAAUAAAACGUCCUAUUUGGAUAAAGUUUGUCGACCAAAGUUUGUCGGAAUCGUUUGAAGUAAGUAUUUUCAAGUUAGGACAAGUAAUAUGUUAGUAGUUACAUUAUUCAAGUUAGGACAAGUAAUAUGUUAGUACUUACAAUAUAUUUACCUUGUGUUAUGACUAAUCUAAUUACGCAGAAAAUCAAUCGUGUCAAUAAGAACAGGAGAGCUUUGAACAAGUGCAAUCAUCGCCUUAGUCGAAAAGAAUACAUUGGAUUAAUGAAAGAAAUUGUAAGUGUGUUAAAUAUUUAAAUUGUUAAUGAAAUAAUUUAUAUAUCAGUUAAGCAUGUAAAUUUUUUGCUUUGUUAAAUAUUUAUUAAAGGUUUAGUUAACUAUUAAAUUUUGUAACAGUUAACUAAUCUAAUUUCUUUAUCGAAGUAGUGUGCAAAAUCAGGGCUUUCUGAAGAGUUAAUUAACAGGAGUGAACUAUGGAAGAGAGCUCAGAUGCUAAAGAAUGGAGGACACGACUUUGAAACUGAACAGAUCAUUAAGAAAAUGGCAAUAAAGUUUAACUAGAACAAACAUUGUUUUUGAAGUCUGAUCUAUGCUCAUUUAAUAAUAUUAGUUUUAUGGUGGGUUGUUAGGAAAUGCUAGAGAAAGAGGACAAAAAAGACUCAUACAAUUCGGAUGCAAGAAAUGACUUACUUGCACAAGCAUUGGGAAAGCUUCCUCGAACUGGUCAUAUGCAAGACUUGGGCAAAUUUAUUUCUGCUUCUAUGUGCUUUCACUGCCUACAUGGACCCAUCUGAAAUGAGAGAGAGAGGGAGCUGGAUGCUUGCAAAAAAAUCAGUAGAUGAACAAUUGCGAGAAAUUUGCAAAGAAUUGAAGAGGACACCUUACCAUUCAGAUGUUGGAAGUUUCACUUUCCCACAUAAUAUGGUCGAUAAUGACACUAAGGGAGAUAUACAUAAGGUACUUUAGUUAUCUGUGUUACCCAAAUUUUUCCUGAUUUAAGUAUUUUUCCUUGUAUAUCUUCCACUCUGAAGAAGAGGAAAUGGAUGUUUGGUCAAAGGGACGAACAUCCUAAAGUAUCAACACUAAGAAAGAAAGAAGAAGUUCAGAAGAAAGAAGAGCCACCAAAAAACACAACUACUGCCAUUUCGAUGAAGUCAGCCAAAAAUGAUGACAGUGAAAAUGACAAUGAAGGAGAUGCACAUAAGGUUAGUUUAUUCAUAAUAAAUGGUUGUAUUUUUCCUAGAUUAUGAUUUAUUGCCUUGUAUAUUUACUAUUCAAUCUAGUUUAAUAUACUUACUAUUUCAUAUAAUUAAUCUUCACAGGUAGAUAAUUUGGGCAAGCCACUAGCAAAUGCCGCUGCUGCCAUUCCGGUGAAGUCAACAAAAAAUGAAGGCAGUGAAGGAGAAGUGCAUAAGGUUAGUUAAUAAAAUAAAUUGUAUUUAAGCUGUUUUUGUCUUUGUAUGUGUGAUUUCUUUUUUUAUUGGCUAAUUGUUUACUAACAAUUUGAUAUCAAUAACAUCCACAGGAGCCAGAUGAUUUGGGCAAGCCACCAAAAAAUACUAUUACUGCCAUUUUGAGGAAAAGUCCAAGACUUAAUCCUUCAAUCCCAAAGGAUUAUGCAAAUGAUGAGAGGAAAAUAGUUGGAAGCAAUAAAAAGCAAUUGGAUUUUGAAUGUCUUGAUGGUACAUCUAAUGGUAUACAAGAGAGGCAUCCUGAUAGCCCAACAAAAAAGACAUUUUUGAAAAAGGAUAGAGCUAAAAAAGGUGUAGUGCAGCCUAUGAGGAACACAAGGAGUGCAGUAUUCAAGCACCAGAACAGUCAUCCUAUGCUGCAGGUAAAUUGUGUGAGAAAUACCUGCCUAAUGAAAAUGAUGGUGUUUUAACAUAUAUGAUUGAUGAUAAUGUAUUCCAAAGACAUGCUUGUGCGUACAUUGGGAAGAAAGAUUGCAAUGAACUGUUGUCAAUGCAAGCACUAGGAGUAGAUGUUAUUCAAGUAUAUAUGGCGUAAGUGGUUUAAUGAAUUUUCUUUACACUAUUUUAUUUGAAAUUAGUAUACUUUUUUUAUUGAUGCACUGAUUUUCUAUUUAGGAUGUUGGAUUCCACCAUUCUACCAACCAGAAAAGGAAUAAAACCAUUUGGAUUCAUGUGUCCAAGUUUAGUUUGCCCAACAAAUCCAAAGGCUGUAGAAAAAUUUCGCUCAAAGAGAGUUGAGCAUAUCCACCACCGCUUGAAAAAGGCCAAAAAGGGACAAUUCAUUCUCAUGCCAUAUAAUCCUUUGUAAGUUUUAAUUUUCAUUUAAUACUUUUACGGUUGUUUUUGAAUUUAUAUUACUUUUACAACUGUUUGUUAAUUCAUGGUUUUGUUUUCUGCUUUUUUUCCAACUGCCUUCUCCUAUUGUAGCUACCAUUGAGUUUUAGUUGUGUUUGACGUGGUGAAAAAUGAAGUGUUUUAUGUAGAUCUUGUGCAGUCCAGUCCUGUUACUGAUUUAGAACAGCUCCUUAAAAUGUAUGUAUGCCAAUCCAUUUCAUGCAAUUGAUAUUUUAAGAUUUUUCAAUAUAAUUAAGAGAUAACACUUUGAUUUUUUUUUUAUAGCACCAUGACACUCUUCACAGCAGAGGAUAGUAAGGAAAAAUGGAAUUAUAAUUCUAAGAUGAGAAUUGUGAAGGUAAAAAAAAAAUAACCCUGUAGAAACUAUAUGUGCUUAUUGAUUACAUAACUAAAAUGAAUGAGAUUUUGUAAGUUUAUUUUUUUUUUGUGGCAUGAACAGGGUCUGAAACAAAAUAUCGCAAAAUUGGAGUGUGGCUAUUAUGUGUUAAGAUACAUAAAGGAAAUAAUAGCUGAUGUUAGUUUGUUAAUGAACAAUGUAAGUUGAUGAUGGCAUUUCACUACCUUUCUUUUAUUCCAUAUAUGUGACAUUAUUUUUUAAGUUUGACCUCUUAAUAAUCUUGUGAUUAACAGUUUAAUGGAAAGAAAUUAUACACUCAGGACGAAUUAGAUGAGGUUCGUUUGGAGUGGGAUAACCAUUUUUCCGACAUCCUUGUUGCAUCAGCAAAAUGGUUAGUAUUAGUAUGAAACUAUAAUUAUUAGUUAUAAAAUUUAUUGAAAUUAAAGUUAUAGUAUCAAAUUAUAAUGGUUACUAGCUGUUAACAAUUGUAGUGUACGUGUUUUGCAUUCGAUAACAUUGGGUAUUUUGAUUGAUUCCGAAUAGAUUGGUAUUGGUUUGCUGGGUUUCGGUUGGAGGGUUGCUGGGUAUGUGGCUGGAAGAUAUACCAGUGGUGUGGACAGCUGUUGGGUUGGAAGAUGCUGGGUUGCUGCUGAAUGUGUGUUGGGAGUGUUGUUGGGUAAGUGGCUGGAAUAGCAAUGAAGUGUAGUUAGAAGAUGUAUUGCUGCUAGAGGUUUUUGUUGGUGUGGAAAGAUGUAUUGGCCUGCUGCCGUUAUGCCAGUGGUGUGGAAUGAUGCAUGUAUUGGCUUGGUGGCUGGAAUUUGGAAAUCUGUUCUUGUAGUUUAACUGGAUGAAUUUUUUUUUUAAUUUCGGAUGUUGCUUAUAUAUGUAUUGGUAGUGAUGACAAUAUUAGACACUAGAUGUAUUUAUUUUGAAAUUAACUUGUUGGAAUGAAUGGAUGUUAAUUAAUAUUAAUUAUUUUUAUUUUUUUAUUUUUUUCAUGAUACUCAUUUUUAUUAAUUAAUUAAAUUUGUAAACAUGAAUACAAAAAUUAAUUAUAAUUGUUUUUUUUAAAUUAACUUUAUGACAGGAAAUUCCCAUCAUAUGGUCUGUCAUAAAGAAUUUCCUGCCAAAAAAUGAAUAAUAAAUUUACAAAUGAUAACAUAAUUUCCCACCAAAACUGAAUAAAAAAUUUACCAAUUACAAUAAAAUUUCCAGUCAAAAUUCAAAAAUUUGGCGCAAAAUUUUAAAUAAAUUCAAAUUUUAAUUUAAUUAUUUUUUCACAUUAAAAUAUUACGUGACAGAUAUAUGACUAUAAAAUACCAUCGUUAAUUUAUGACGGUAAAUAAUCUGUCAUACAUUAAUGACAGUGGACAUAGAUGACAAAUGAAGUGUCUGUCAUGCACCCCCCUUUUUAUGAACGGUUAUUUUUCCGUCACCUAUUGCAUGUUUUCUUGGAGUGUUGUAAAUUAAAUUAAGGUGUAAAUAAAAACAUUAAUUUNNNNNNNNNNNNNNNNNNNNNNNNNNNNNNNNNNNNNNNNNNNNNNNNNNNNNNNNNNNNNNNNNNNNNNNNNNNNNNNNNNNNNNNNNNNNNNNNNNNNNNNNNNNNNNNNNNNNNNNNNNNNNNNNNNNNNAAAUGAACUUAUUAUUGAGCAUGCAACUUUCCUGUAUUUAAGAUAUUUCCCAAAAUCUAACGUGAUUGAUAAUGCAAUCCUUUUGACAUGAUUUAGCAUUAUUUUUGCCAUUCUUAGGACUUUUCUUGGAUAUAAUCCAUAGUGAUUAUUUUAUUUUAGGUAUAUUUUAGUUAAUACAAGGAUUCUAUGACCUAUUUGAGUUUUUAUUAUUUAUGGAAAGCAUAGUAAUCAAUUCCUACACAAAUUACACUUUCCUGCUUCUAUAAGGUCUAGGUUUAUAUCUCUAUAUAAGUACAUCACUAAAAGGCUCAUCAACUUAAGGCUCAUCAACUUAAAUUUUACAUAUCAUUUGAAGAGGCAAAUAAUAAAAAAAAAUUCCCAAGGCUCUCUAAAUGAGAUUAAUCUAAUAAAAUUAUCCUUCUCUCUCUUCAAUAUCUUCUCAUUAUUGAAUGGCCAGAUAUGUUAUAAUAAUUAUUAUUUUGGUGGAGAAAAAAGUUUGAUUAAAAUAAUAUUGAAGAGAGAGAAAGACAGUCUUAUUUAAAGAAUCUCACUUAAAGAGAUUUUUUGAGCUUUUAAUUUAGUAUUAUAUUACUUUUUAUAUCUUCUCAUUCUUGAAUGGAGAGAUGUGUUAUAAUCAUUAUAUUUUGGUGGAGAAAAAAGUUUGAUUGAAAUUAUAUAUUAGAAGAGUCUUUACGGAGAUGGCUAAUUUUUUCAUUCUUCUAUUCGUCACAUGGAUAAGCAAAUAAAUAUUUGAAGAAUUAAAUUAGAAGAGUCAUUUGGUGAUACUUUCAGGGCUAUUGCUUAACUCGUUUUUGUCAUUAUUUCUCACCUAAAUAGCAGCCUAUAUCUCCAUAGCUUCUUCUUUUUUUAAUUAUCUUUCAGUUGCACAUCAUGGUUUCCACAACAUCAAGUUCAUACUUCGAAAAAUGCUAUAGCAAUCUAUAGCAAUCAUGCAAUCUUGCAGCAACUCAUAAGAACAGUAAAAAAACCCAUUUAGAUUGUUUGUCACUCAACUACAAACAGAUUUAGUUCAUACUUCGAAAAAGAAAAGCAAACAGUAAAGUAUUAGCCAUGAAAUACAUCGUUUCAAUGAAAGAGCAAGAAAAUGAACAAGUAAAGAACAAUGAAAAUUGAAUCCAAAUUGGUCUGCUGAUUUCUUCACUGAUGCAGACUUGCAUUUCCCUUGAAUUAUGAUUUUUCCUUCUUUUCCUCUUGAUUUUCUUGAUGUCAAUUCACCGCCACCCUUUUUAUGUGUUGCGCGCUCUUUUUAUAACUGAAAACUAGGGUAAACCAAACCCUAGGGCACGCAUGAUUAAGAUUAAGAAACUGCAGAUCGCAAUUCUGCAGAUAUCCCACGCUAAGUUUUCUCUAUAGUUGUUCCAGGAUUGCUACAGCAAUGGUUGCCCCAACAACGGCUAUAACACUGCACUACUUCAGAUCUUGUUUCAAUUAUUUUGUGGCCAUAUUCUUCUUCCUUUUUGCCAUCCUAUUACAUCAGCAUCCCUUCCAUAAAUUAUAGACUUCUGGAAAUCUACAAUUAUGCACACAAUUUGAGUACAAAUUACCUUAAAUCACGCAAAACUUAUCAAGGCUAAACUAAAAUGAAUGUUUAUGCAAAAUAUAACAAAAAUGCAAUAAAAACACAUCAUUUACUCUCUAAGUGAUCUUGAUUUGAGUUUAAAAUGGCCAUAAUAACUCUCAUUUCAUAGAGUUAUCACCCAACUUCACAAAUGCAAGUGCAAACUUCUUAAUAGCACGAUGAGAAAUUGACUCCAAAUUGUCUUGAAAAGAGAAUAACUACGGUUAAAAAGCAUCAAGUAUCGUAUUAUAGAAUGCGAUAAUUCCUAUGACCACACCGUCCACUGAUGGCAGUGCUUCUCCACCGCCAGAACCUUCUCUAAUUGCUGGCGACAUCCCCACUGAUCAACAACCCUCACAACAACUAUUAACAUUUCAAACCAUAAACCCUAGAUUGCAACAAACCUUUCAAAAUAUGCUCUACGUUGUCGCCACCUUGCCUACCUCCGUUGGUGGCGAUUACUUACUGACGGAACCACCAUUGAACCUUAUGUACUCCUAACAGUUGCUUCUCACCCUCCAUGUACCACCAACCCCCUCAGGCACCAAUACGCACGAGCACAAUCAAAACUCAGGCACCACUUAUUGCCCACUAUUUCCGACUCCUUUUACUAAGACAAAUCCCCUUAGCUGUAAUAUAUCUCACCAACACCUUGCUGUCUCUCUUUUGGCCACCGCUAGUGGCACCAUCAACCUGCCGGCCGCCUCAUAUCAGCCACUUUUGACCACCCAAACCCACUCUACUAUUUAAAACUGAGACUAGCUGCUAAAUGCAGAAAACCUUAGCUAUAAUAAAGAAACCCUAGCCAACAUCUGGCUUUCCAAACCAAAAACUAAACCAAAUAUCAAGCCCAAACCCAUGAUCAUUUUUCCACCCCUUACUCUUGGUCAUACAUCCAACCCACCCUGAAAGGCCUCUUUUGCAUCUAUUACGAAUCCUGAAGUUAUCCUCAACCCUAAUGCUAAAUCUUUUGUUGAUGUUAUUGCUAGCCCCCUAGAAUCUUCAAUUUAGGAAAAGCCAGUUUUAAUAUUUCAUGGUAAAACUGUUAUCAACUUUUCAGCUAUAGAAAUCCAGCCCAUAGCGUAACCAUCUAAACUUUCCCUUGUUAGUAAGUUUUUGUUUUGCCGCCCUCCUGUAGAUAUGAUAAACAAAUUCUUUGUUUCUUGAGUUUUAAAGGUAGUACACAGGUUUCUUUGCUAGAUAAUUGAUCAAGCUUUAACUUGGAGAGGAUUUCUCAUGUAUUUGGGUUAGGCACACUUGGUAUGUUAGUGGCAGGUUCACGCGUACUUUUAAGUAGUCUAUAUUUAUGCUCUAAGGAGUCUCAGUUGUUCUUGUCUAGGUGUCUUUGCCUUAUUUACCUGUGCAUUUCAUUCAUUGCAGAGAUGCUUUAUUUUCUAUUGUAAAUGCUAUUAAAAAUCCUUUACGGGUGGACCGUGCCACUGCUGCUAUUAAUAGGCCCUCGGUGGCUCAUGUACUCAUUGAGUAUGAUGUUUCACGACAAUUGUUGCCAAGACUUUGGAUUGGUAAGGGUGAUAAUGGGUUUUGGCAAGAUAUCAUCUAUGGGCGUGUUCUGUUAUAUUGUGCCACGUGUAACCAUCUUGGUCGCUUUGCUGAUGCUUAUUUUGUUACUAAUCAUGGGCUCUAGAAGCCCUAGUAACCUAUUGAUUAGGUGAAGGAUAUAGUUGCUGAUGAUACAAGUACGAUACUUAUUACUGAUGGUGUUGUCCAGCCUACUAAGGAUUUUGCUAAGUUUGUGGUUACUAAGGAUAAUCGACUACAGAGGCCUGCUCUCGUCCAAGGUCAGUCUUUAGGCCUGGCCCCCUCGAUGAUGUUGCUUGGCCGUCUGCUCUUUUUCCUCAAGAUACUGUAGACGCGACAUCUAAUUCGAUUUCUGCUCUGUGAGUUCCAAAUGAUAAUGGCUUGCAACAUAAUGUUGCUCUAAGAGAUGCUGAUGGAUGCACUAAGGUUGCUAAUUCUCUUGUUUUGGAUAAUCCGAGUGCUCUAAGGGCUUCCACAAGCUUUACUUUUUCAGGUCUAUAGUGGAUGAUAUUCACUCCAUGGUUGUGAGUUUUGAUUUUUUUUAAUAGUCAUAAGAGCACUAUAGAUGCUACAACAAUGCUCAUAACUCUUGUUGCCUUUGGACUCAAGUCUGCAUAUGGAGUACAUACUCAGCCCUGGUUACUUAGGGACUUGAGCCAUUGGAGCUAAAUUUAUUUCAUAAUGAGCACAAUUUAACCAAAAUUUUCCCCCAGCUUGAGAUAGUCUACUUUUUUUUCUUGGCUUUGCUACAACAUUCUCAUAAAACUCAAUCAAAGCUUAAGUGUCAGGACAAAAUUUCAACCUCCAUCUAUCACUAUCUCUACUUGGCAUUCUCAUAAAUACUGAAUAACACUCAAUUUAUCUUCAUAAGGUUUUCAAAUCCAAAAAAAAAAUAUUAGUUAACAGAGCUUCACACAAUACACAACACAAGCAUAAACAUACGCAUGCAUUCAGAAACACAACCCCCCCCAAACUUGAGUGGUGUUGUGUCCUCACAAGCACACAAAACAAAACCACAUAAACUAUACAUGCAUACGCUAAAUAAAAGGGCAUGUAGAAUGAAUCAGAAAAUUAAAACUGAAUGAAAGAAAAGUUGUCCAGAAAUAAAUAAAAUAACUAGCAAGAACAGGGUACUCCCCUAUUGCUUCGGCACUGCUGCAACAUGGUGUAGUGACUUUAGCGCUUUUUGGAUGCACUUCGCAGCCUAUCCUUAGGGGAUUCUUAUGGUGAGGCAGCAUGCAAUGUCUUUUUCUUUUUCUGCAACGGGCUGGUGGUAGGGGUGGUAGUUUGUGCAUCCUGCCUAGAUGAAACAGAUCUGGUUCAUUUUGGUUCUGGUGUGGCUACUGCAACAACGCCUCUAGAAGUGCCCCCCUUUCUUUUGUUGGGUCCCUUAGGACUAGUAAGAGUAGGUUUUCUGGGGGUUUAUUGUGAAGGGGCUAGAGUUAGGGCUUCGGCUGCCUGUCCCUCAGUCGUGAUUGCGGCAAUGAUAUUAAGCAGCUACUUUGUCUCUGUUUGUGUACGCGUAACUCUGGCUACUGCAGCUUCUAAAGCUGCCUCAAUUUGCUCAGCUUCAUCAUCAGAGGCAGAAGGGGUGAUUACUUUCUCUUUGCCCUUUCGAGAAAGGACUAGAAUAUGAAGCUCAUCUGCUGGUUCAUCAUCCUCUUCUUGUAUGAUGCACUUUUUUCUGAAUUUGUAGAGGGUCUUGGCUGGGGAUUCCUUAAGUUCUCUCUUAGGCUCUUCCUCUGCCGGGGAACUGUCAAUUGCGGACUUGACACCCUCUUCUUCAGGUUGGUCAGAUUGGUCAUCAGCAUCUGUUUCGGCCUCUGCUUGCGGUUCUACUGUAACUUCUUCCUCUGGUUCAUCUGUGUCAAUAGCUUCUUCACUGACUUCUACUGGAGCUUCUGUAGUGUUGGUAUCAAAAUUAUAUUGCUGGAGCAAUGAAUCAGGGAAAUUUCGGUGGGUACUUUUCAUAUAUACAACAAAUUUGUGUAAGUGGCUUUCCAAGUGUUGCAAAUAGCUCCAAAAUCGAUUGUUUUCCCUCGGCUGAGCUUCAGCACAUUAAGUGAUGCCAGUGCUCAGUGUUUGGAUUCUUUGUUCUAACCCAAUAACUUUUCUUGCCCCUAUUACAGCAGCUGGUUUAGAUAGGGCUCCAGUAACUUCACCAAUAAUUCUUUCGAUGGUGCGUGCAGUGAGGACACCAUCAUUCUUGACAUGCUCAUCUUUUGCAUCAAGGCGAGCUCCCGAUACCACAUAGAUGCUGGUGAUGAGCGAAAGAAAUAGCAAAGCUGCUGGUUUGUGGUUUUUCGUGGCACAGUCUCGAAUUUCUUUUUCUAUAAUGCUUCCCACAUCUAUGGGUAACCCUCUAAUAAUGACAUACAAUAGUACUAACAUUUCUUGUGAAACAGUAGUGGUGUGGGUGGUUGGCAUAAGUCUGGAUUUUAGAAAUUUCACUCACACUUUAGCAAUGGGUUUCAAAUCUAUCCUAUUAAUCACACACCCUUCUUCAUUAGCCCACAAUGCACCCUUUACAGUGAGUGUUGUGAAAAUUUUAUUCCAUUUUUGUGGGGUUAAUUUGUCAAGCAAUUUGUCAUACUCGCAAUUAACUUCAGAAGGUAAGUUAUAGAAAGCAUUUAUAACUCGGGAAUCUAAUGGAACAAGUGAGUUUCUUACCCAAAUAUUAUGCUGACCAGGGCUUACCAAAUUCGCGUAAAAUUCUUUCACCAGUGGCAACACAGGGUCUCGAGGGUGGUUGCAAAACUCCAGCCAUCCGCGCUUUGCUACAACAUUGUAUAAUGAUUGCACAAUUCGUGUGGGUUGAGGUGGGAACUGAAACCCUUUUUCUUCCAGAAUCUUGCACGGUUCAAUAAAUUCUUCAUAUUUUUCUUCUGUAUGGUAACUUUGGAAUCGUGAGGGAUCUUUUAGUCGACUGGCUGUCCUUUUGUACCCUGGCAUUGCGAUAGCACUAAGAGUUUGAUGGUAAUAUACCCAAGAGUAAAAUGAGAAGAAAAGGUUAUGGAGUAUUAAAGUCGUAACUGCGAAGGGGAAAGAAAAUAGUUUUAAAGGUCAAUAUGCACAGUGAUGCCCUUAUAUAGGUGGGAUUAAAUGAAAACAAAUCUUGUAAAAGAGAUAAAUUAGAGAAGAAUUUUUUUCAAAUUUAUUAAGCACAUCCAAUAAAAAUAGGCAAGAGAAAUUAAUGUGUUAAUUUAAGAGAUAUUCUUCCUCAAUUUUUAUCCAAAUCCACCCAACCAUCUGUCACAUAUUAUUUCUAACGGUAACGUGAGAGGCUCCGUGAUGAAGUUACUGUAACGAUAAUAUUGGUUGCUGCAGUACCCAAUUGUGUGCUCUAGCAACGAUUACACAUUCUCCUCAAAUAGUUGCUGACACGUGGUUUUCCUCUGUAAUAUGUCAAUAUUACAGCCCCAAUUGUUAAUAUUGAAUCUAAUAAAUGCGUGACCUGACAAAAAAAAAUAAGAAAAGAUAAGAGAUAAAUAAUCCUAAAUAAGGGAAAUAAAUAAAAAAAAUAAAAAUAAACAAAACCAGGGAGGAUCCAUCUCAUUUGAAAUAACUGCCUCCGUAAUGGGUUACCUCCUAUUGAGCGCUUGAUUUAAUGUCCUUCAGCCUGACCUUACUUGAGUGCUCAAAUAGCCGAUUCUCUAAGGAGUAAGACCUCCUUUGAACAAUCUGUAACUGAAUGCAUGUAAUACUUAACUCGAUGCCCAUUGACUUUGAAUUCCUGGCCUGUCUUUUCAUCUAAGAGAUCAACAACCCCAUGAGGGUAAAUUCUGAGCAGCUUGAAGGGUCUAGACCAUCGAGAUUUCAGUUUGCCUAGAAAUAGUCUCAACCUCAUAUUAUAGAGCAGCACUAGUUGACCAGGGACUAAUUUCAUGUGUUGGAUGUGUUUGUCAUGCCAUUGUUUUGUUCUCUCUUUAUAGAUUCUUGCAUUUUUAUAUGAGAAUAGUCGUAAUUCAUCAAGCUCACAUAAUUGAAGUUUCCUUUGUUCUGCUGUAGCAUGUAUAUCCCAAUUUACUUGCUUCAAUGCCCAAUAUGCUUUGUGUUCUAACUCAAGUGGCAAGUGACAAGCUUUCCCAUACACAAUUCGGUAGGGAGGCAUGCCAAGUGGUGUCUUGUAUGUUGUUCUGUAAGCUCAUAGGGAGUCAUGUAAGCGCAAUGACCAAUCCUUUCUUGAUGGGUUCACCACUUUUUCCAAGAUCUUCUUAAUCUUCUUAUUAGACACUUCUGCUUGACCAUUGCAUUAUGGGUGAUAUGUUAUUGCUAUUUUAUGCCUGACUCCAUAUUUCACCAUAGCUGCAACAAAUACUUUAUUGCAAAAAUGAGUACCUUCAUCACUAAUAAUUGCUCGUGGAGUGCCAAACCUGGAAAAAAUGCUCUUCUGAAGGAAGUUCACUACUGCUCUAGCAUCAUUGAUAGGUAAUGCUGCAGCUUCUACCCAUUUAGAGACAUAAUCCAUAACAACCAGGAUAUAUAAGUUCCCAAAGGAUAGUGGAAAAGAACCCAUGAAGUCUAUUCCCCAUACAUCGAAAAUCUCUUCUUCCAGAAUGUUCGUCAAUGGUAUUUCAUGUCUUUGAGUAAUGUUUCCUGACCUUUGACACCUUUUACAACAUUUAACAAACUCAUAAGCAUCUUUAAAAAUAGAAGGCUAGUAACAACCUGAUUGCAGAACCUUAGCAGCUGUUCUGUGACCACCAAAAUGUCCUUCAUAUGCUGCAGCAUGGCAAGGUUUCAGUAUCUGAGGAAUUUCUUCCUCUGAAACACAUCUUCGUAUCACUUAAUCUGAGAAUAACUUAUACAAAUAUGGGUCAUCCCACUAGUAGCUUCUAACACCAUAAAGAAAUUUAUUUUUUUGCUGAAAUUUUAACUCAGGUGGUAGCAAUCCACUUACUAAGUAGUUAGCAAAAUCUGCAUACCAUGGGGGUCCUGAUUGCUACAUAAUUUGUGCCUGUUGUAUCACUAACAGUUGUUCAUCAGGAAAAGUUUCAAUGAUGUCUUUUUUUGUCAAUGUGCUUGCGUCUGCUUCUAGCCUAGACAGAUGCUCUGCUACUUGAUUCUCAGUCCCUUUUCUAUCUUUAAUUUCCAAAUCAAACUUUUGAAGCAAUAAGAUCCAUCUUAUUAAUCUCGAUUUAGCAUCCUUUUUAGAGAUUAGGUGCUUGAUGGCUGUAUGAUCUGUGUAUACUGUCACUUUAGUACCCACCAAGUAGGCUCUAAACUUGUCAAAAGUAAAUACUACUGCUAGUAAUUUUUUCUCUGUAGUGGUGUAAUUAAUCUGAGCUUGAGUAAGAGUUUUGCUGGCAUACUAUAUAGAGUGGAAAACCUUAUUCUUCCUCUGCCCCAACACUGCCCCAACAGAAUGGUCACUGGCAUCACACAUCAGUUCAAAUGGUAGAGUCCAAUCUGGUGCUAUAACCACUGGUGCAGUGAUCAAAGCUUUCUUCAAUUCUUCAAAGGCUUAAAAACAAUCUUUAUCAAAAUGAAAAGGCUUGUCAUGUUCUAGCAAUGGCCACAAUGAUUUAACUCUUUGGAAAAGUCUUUUAUGAAUCUUCUGUAAAAUCCAGCAUGCCCCAAAAAACUUCUAAUCCCCUUGAUUGAAGUGGGAGGUGGCAGUUUAUCUAUCACUUCUAUUUUCGCUUUAUCUACCUCUAUGCCAUUCUUGGACACCUUAUAACCCAACACUAUUCAUUUUUGCACCAUGAAGUGGCAUUUUUCCCAAUUGAGUACUAAGUUAGUCAUCUAACAUCUUUUAAGAACUUUUUCCAAGUUGUGUAAACAAUCAGUAUAUGUCUCUCCGAAGACUGAGAAAUCAUCCAUAAAGACUUCCAAUGUUUGCUCCACCAUAUCCGAAAAAAUAGACAUCAUACAUAUCUGGAAAGUUGCUGGAGCAUUGCACAAACCAAAGGGCAUCCUUCUGAAGGCAAAAGUUCCAUAAGGACAGGUAAAUGUAGUCUUUUCCUGAUCCUCUAGGGCUAUAGCAAUUUGGUUGUAGCCUGAAUACCCAUCUAAGAAAUAAUAGUAUUAUUUUUCAGCAAGUCUGUCCAACAUUUGAUCUAUAAAUGAAAGUGGGAAGUGAUCAUUCUGUGUGGCUUUGUUGAACUUCCUAUAAUCCAUACAUACCCUCUAAUCCAGUUACUGUUCUUGUAGGAAUAAGUUCAUUUUUUUUCAUUUGCUAUCACUGUUAUUUCUCUCUUCUUUGGAACACAUUGAACUAGACUCACCCAUGAACUGUCUGAUAUCGGGUAUAUGAUCCCAGUAUCCAAUCAUUUGAUGAUUUCUUUCUUCACGACUUUCUUCAUAAUGGGGUUUAACCUUCUCUGUUGUUCUACUGAAUUGUUGUAGUAAUCUUCUAACAGAAUUUUAUGCAUGCAUAUGAAUGGACUGAUCCCUUUAAUGUCUGCCAUGGUCCAUCAAAUUGCUUUUCUGUGUUUCCCAAGCACAUCUACCAGGCUCCUUUCUUGACCUGCAUCCAAAGUAGAUGAAAUGAUUACAUGGAGUUUGUUGUUCUGACCAAGAUAAGCAUAUUUCAAAUGUGAGGGUAACAUUUUUAAUUCAAGAGUAGGAAGUGAUUCAAUAGAAGGUAAAGUUGUCUUUACUUCCUUGUCUGAAAGAUUUAGAGGUUCAACAAAUCUGCUAUGUCUGUUAGAUUGCCUUUCUCCCAUCCAAUCUAUCUGGUUUGCUGCAGUAUCUUCUUCUUCAAAGCUCUCAAAGGUUACAACUUUGAUGACCUUAGUACUACAGCAUCUAUUUACUUUGUUUGCUAUAACACAAUCCAAAACACUCAAGAAAUUGUAAUCUUCUACCUCAUCAGGAUUCUUCAUAGCCUCUAAUACAUUAAAUGUGACUUGUUGGUCAUUCACCCUCAUUGUUAGCUCUCCUUUUUGCACAUUUAUUAGAGUCUUCCCAGUUACUAGGAAAGGUCUUCCAAGUAUAAUGGGUACCUCUUUAUCAACCUCAAAGUCUAGUACAAUGAAGUCCACUAGAAAGAUGAAUUUGUCUACUUUCACCAGUACAUCCUCAAUCUUUCUUUCAGGGUAUGCAUCAGAUCUAUCAGCUAAUUACAGAGUGACUGUUGUUGGCCUGCAUUCUCCUACUCCAUACUGCUUAAAUACAGAUAAUGGCAUCAAAUUAAUGGUGGCUCCCAAAUCACAGAGUGCUCUGCCAUUGUACCUAAUUCCAAUAGAACAUAGUAUUGUGAAACUUCCUAGAUCCUUCAAUUUUUUUAGGUAUCUUACUUUGGAGCAUGUGACUGCUUUCUUGUGUUAAAGCAACAGUUUCAAAUUCUCCCAACCUUCUUUUUCUUGCCAAGAUGUCUGUUAGAAAUUUUACAUAAUUAGGCAUUUGCUCCAAUGCUUCCACAAAAGGUAUGUUGAUGUGUAAUUGUUUCAGCACUUCCAGGAAUUUACUAAACUGCUUAUCUUGUUUUUAUUUCUGGAAUCUCUGUGGGAAAGGAGGUGGAUGCCUAAAUUGCUGGGCAGCUUUAGAAGGUACCAAUCUCUACACAUUUGAUUUAUUGUAAGUUGUUAUCACUGGUGUUGCAACUUCUUCUUCAGCAUUUAUUGGUUGAUUCCCUUCCAAAGUUAUUGUAGCUUGACCACUAACACCAAUAUCUUGAUAACUGGGUUGCUAUAACAUGCUCUCAUCUUCAAGUUGUUCUUGUGAGGAGUUAAGUUCCAACAUUUUCUUAGUCACGUCAACAGAAAUAUCAACAUUCUUUCCAGAUCUUAGGUUGAUUACUUUACAGUGUGCUUUUCCCUCUCUUCUUAGAUCUUCUGUAUUGCUGGGUAAACUUCCCUGAGAUCUGCUACUCAUUGCUGUGGCAAGCUGUCCAAUUUGGUUUUUCAGGUUUCUUAGAGAUACAACUUGACUUUGCACAAUUGCUUCAUUCUUCACAAUGUAUUCCUUAAUCAGUAUUUCGAAUGAGGUAAGUGGAUCAUGGCUAGUGUGUUUUUGCCCUUGAUUUUGCUGAUGAAAACCAGGUGGUUGAGUAUUUAUGUUUUGUCCACUCAAUGUUGGAGCAUUUUGAUUCUGAUUGCCCCAUGAAAAAUUUGGGUGUUGCUUCCAUCCAGGGUUGUAAGUAUUUGAGUACGGGUUGUUUUGAGGUUGUCGGUUGAAAUUACCCACAUAGUUUACUGAUGCUGGAUUUCCAGGGUAGUUGUCAAAUACAUGUUCGUCACCAUAAUACACGCAAGACAGUUCAGCAACUUGCUUUACUGCUGCUGGAACAGAAGUCAUGGCUUUCACCGUGUUAGUCAAUGAAGUUACUUGUGCUGAUAAUGCUGUAAUUGCAUCUAUAUUAUGUACCCCCAUUGCUCCUCUCACUGUUGUCUGUCUAGUUGAUGGCCACUGAUAAUUAUUGUUAACAAUUCUCUCUAAAAUUUCAUAAGCUUUAAUGUAAGAUUUAGAUAACAAAGCUCCAUUUGUUAAAGCAUCAACCAUCAAUCUGGUACUUGGAUUCAACCCAUUGUAGAAGGUUUCUAGCUGUAUACAAUAAGGAAUGCCAUGAUGAGGACACCUUUUGAGCAGCUAUUUAAAUCUCUCCCAAGCCUCAUACGAACUUUCAUCUUCAAGCUGAUGAAAAGAAGUGAUCUCAUUCCCCAAUUUUGCAUUCUUGGUUGGUGGAAAAUACUUUAUUAAAAAUUUGUCAGCUAAUUCAUUCCAUGUAGUGAUGGAAUCAGAUGGUAAUGAGUUCAACCAUGCUCUGGCUCGAUCUCUUAAGGAGUAAGGAAAAAGCCUUAGUCUUAAAGCAUAUUGCGUUACUCCAAGAAUUUCAAAAGCAUCACUCACUUCCAAAAACAACUUAAGAUAGAGAUGAGGAUCUUCAGUUGGCAAUCCAUUGAAUUGACCCACUGUUUGCAACAUUUGAAACAUCACUGGCUUAAGUUCAAAGUUUGCGGCUUCCACUUCAGGUCUGACUAUUCCAGGAUGUACAACUUGAGGAGUUAACACAGCAUAAUCCCUGAUAGUCCUAUCUCUAUCAUCUGCCAUGUAAAUGAUAUUGCUGCUGCCUGGUUGUCUCUUAUUAACAUGCUCAUUUUGCCCAUCUUGAACAUUGACAGGUUGUAGUGGUCCGUGAGGGUCCAAGUUUCCCACAUCUUGCAAAUUAUCCAUCCCUGAAAUAGUUUUUGAAUUUCAUUGUUCUCUUCGCAGUCUUCUUAUGGUCCUUUCAAUCUUAGGAUCAAGGUGAAAUACAAUAGAACUGUCUUUAUGCAUGCAAGUAUUGAUUUGUCAAUAAACAGAACAAAUUAGAUCAAGUUGGCACUGUCAAGAUUGACUUCACACUUUGAAAAUAAACAAUCAAUCCCCGGCAACGGCGCCAAAAACUUGUUGGAUAAUUUUUAACUCAAUUGCUAUUGAUGUCAAUGUGCAAGUGAACACAAUAAGUAAUAAAGUGAUGAAUAUUCAAGAUCGUCUCCACAAGGAUUAAUGUUACUAGAAAGGCUACAACAAUCACGAUAGUGCAAACUUCUUUUGUUCCAAAAAGAUUAAAAAUUAAUUACCACUGAAAUAAACAAUAAAAGAAGAAACAAAAAUAAGUUAAUGCAAUAAUAAAUCAAAUUGAAUGAAUUGCGUAGGAAGAAUUCAAUAGGGAUGAGGUAGUUAAGUGAUCAAACUCUCUUCAGGGACUGACUGUUUUGUCUAAAUUAACACCAGUUGCUACAGUAAUUCUUACAGCACUAGGCAGAAUUAUUUUACAUCCUCAGAUGUCGCUUAUCAGAUUUCUCAUACCCUUAAGCACCUAACAAUGACUGUUAUAGUACAAUUUAUGCACUAGUUUUGCAUUGUUUACUUCCUUUAAUAUCGAUUUUUUGCACUUAAUAAUAGUUAUUUACUUGUGUUUUAUUUUUGUAAGUACAAUUCUAUUGAUUGGUGCUAAAAUUGAGCUACAAGAUGAUGUUUGAGGAUGAUUGUUUUCCUAGAAAAAUUAUGAGCUUCAGAAGAACUUUGUUGAUAAGGCGUGGGCGCGUGCUGUCGAUUACAGACCUGCAGUUUUUAGUUUAACGUAUUUUGUCUUUUUGGUUAUUUUUGUAAUUACUAAUUUAAUAUUUAGCUAAUAUUUUAGAUAUUAGUAUUUUAUUUUAAAAAGAACUCUAGAGGAGGAGAGAGGGAAGAGAAUUUAAGAGAGGAAUCUAUUGUCAAAGAAGGGAAGAAAAAGAAACCCUAGAUCUAAAUUUUUCUCUUCUCUAUGAAAAACUAAAUCUAUUAUUCUGGUUAAAGGUUAAUGAAGCUUUGAUUCAUCACUACUGUGAGAUCUUUCUUAUGCUUUAAUUGUUUUAUUACUUUUUGGGUAUUUUUUUAUUCUCUGAAUUAUUGUCAUGAUUAUGUUUGUUAAUUAGAUAAUUGGCCACUAUUUAAUUAUCAACUUAAUCUAUUAUCAAUUAAAAGAUUCAUCGUAUGAAUAUUUUAAUGUUUGUGAUAAAUAGCAUAGCAGUGCAUUGUGUAAUGAGAAUAAACAAUCUAAUUUAAAUGAACUAUCGUAUGCGUUUGUUGAUUAGGAUUUGGGUCUCUCUGAUUUUUCAGGCUGUCAAUUGAUUAAAUCAUAUGAUCGUAUCUAGGGUUGUCUAUUGAUUAGAGAAAUAACCAACAGUCGUACCUUGGUUAUUGACUAGUUAAGGAGAGAUUGGCUAUUAGAGAGUCUCAGUAGCUAUAACCGGUCUAUUCAUAAGUAGUAAUGAUUUAUAUUUGAAUCAAUGAUCAAUAGUCGAAUCAAGCUGAGUUAAUUCCUUCAACCAGAGCUUUCCCCAAUUUGAAUUACAAUUUUAAUUUGCAUUCUUGUUAUUUUAAUUUGAUUUUUAUUAUUGUCAACAAUUCCCCCAUUUUGCAUUUUAUAUUUUAAAAGGAUUUAAAUAAUUACUGAUCUCUGUGGACACGACCCUGCUCAAUUACUAUACACAAUUUAUUUAGAGUAGGUAUUUAUUUUUGCUGGCUUCGACAACCAACAAAUUUUGGCGCCGUUGCCGGGGAUUGGUGUCGUUUAUUUAAUCCUUUUUACGUUUUACUUGGUGUAUGGUUUUUUCUUCUCGUACAAGUACACUUUCAUUUGAUCUUGAAAUUAAAAAGACGGCUCGCCAGUUGAGACAGCAGACAAAGCGAGCUAAGCAACGAUCCUUGUCGCCUUUACUUUCUGAAUUAGAUACGGUGCCUGAUUUAGUUGAAUCAUCUAGUGAUUUAGAAGAACAAGUGAUGGAUAGAGCUGCACCUGUAGAAAGAACUCUUAGAGAGUUAGCUGAACUAGACUUGAAUCAGCAACCACUCUGCAUUCAAUAUGUAGGCUUGGAGGUAAAUUUUGAAUUAAAGUCUGGUCUAUUUAUUUGUUACUCAAGUUUCAUGGUUUUGCAGGUGAAGAUCCUUAUAAACAUCUCAAGGAGUUUCAUGUUGUGUGUUCAAGUAUGAGGUCACAAGGCGUGACAGAAGAACAGAUUAAGUUGCGUGCUUUUCCUUUCUCUUUAGAUGGACUAGCUAAAGACUAGUUGUACUACUUGCCUCCUGGAUCGAUUACAACGUGGAAUGGUUUGAAGAAGCAGUUCCUUGAGAAAUACUUUCCUGCUUCAAGAGCUGCCAACAUCAGAAAAGACAUUUGUGGGAUCAGACAACUUCUUGGGGAGACUUUAUAUGAGUAUUGGAAGCGAUUCAAACAAUUCUGUGCAAGCUGUCCUCAGCAUUAGAUUUCUAAUCAACUUCUUAUUCAAUAUUUUUAUGAAGGACUAUCAUUAAUGGAUAGGAGUAUGAUAGAUGUUGUUAGUGGAGGCGUGUUGGUGAACAAGACUCCUACUCAAGCAAGGGAGUUGAUAUCAAAUAUGGCUGCCAAUGCACAACAAUUUGGCAGCAGGCAAUAUCCCACUUCAAGGAAGGUGAAUGAGGUAAAUAUUUCUUCUGUUGAACAACGUUUAGAUAAACUUACUUCUCUUGUGAAAAAGUUUGUUGUAGGUAAUGUCCAACAGGUGAAGACUUGUGGCAUUUGUUACAAUAUGGGUCAUUCAACUGAUAUGUGUCCUACACUUCAAGAAGAACUCGUUGAACAAGCCAAUGCAGUUGGAGGAUUUCCAGGCAUGCCUCAGAGGAGGUAUGAUCCUUAUGCACAAACAUACAAUCCGGGAUGGAAUGAUCACCCCAACUUCAGCUAUGGAGUUAGGCCAUCAGGAUUCCCACAACAGUAUCCACCAAGACAACCAGCACCUCCACAGUCAAACUCCAAGUCAGGUAUAUCUCUUGAAGAAAUUGUUAAAUCACUUGCGACUAACACUUAACAAUUUCAGCAAGCAACUACAGCAAGCAUUCAGAAUUUGGAGAACCAAAUGAGUCAAUUGGUGACUACAGUGAGCCGUCUGGAGUCUCAAGUAAUAGGGAGGUUGCCUUCACAAUCUGAGGUGAAUCCAAAGCAAAACGUUAGUGCUAUCAUCCUUAAAAGUGGGAAGGAGUUGCAAGAGCCUAGUAAGAAAGUGACAAAGCAUGUAGAAGAUGAGCUUGAGAAGAAUGAAUUGAUGCCUAAAUCUCAAGAUGCAAAACCCACCAGAGCGAAACCCCUACCUAUUGUGAUACCUCCUCCUUUUCCAAGCCGGUUUGCAAAAUCCAAAAAGGAGGAACAAGAGAAAGACAUCCUUGAGACAUUUCACAAGGUUGAGUUAAAUAUUUCUUUAUUAAAUACUAUAAAACAAAUACCUCGAUAUGCUAAAGUCCUUAAGGAACUGUGCACCUCCAAGAGAAAAUUAAGAGGAGAUGAAAAGUUCACAUGGGGGAGAAUGUUUCAGCAGUUCUCCAAAAGAAACUACCUCCUAAGUGCAAGGAUCUAGGUAUGUUUACUAUCCCUUGUAAAAUUGGUAGUGUUAGAGUUGAAAAGGCUAUGUUAGAUCUAGGAGCUUCUAUUAAUGUCAUGUCUCGUUCCAUUUAUUCAUCUUUGAACGUUGGUCCAUUAAAAGAAACUGGUGUGAUAAUUCAACUAACUGAUAGGUCUAAUGCAUAUCCUAAUGGGGUACUAGAAGAUGUCUUAGUACAAGUUAAUGAGUUGAUUUUUUUCCUGCUGAUUUUUAUGUACUUGAUAUGGAAGAGGAUAACUCCUCUAAUUCUGUCCCAAUUUUGCUAGGAAGAUCUUUUCUUAAGACUGCUAGGACUAAAAUGGAUGUACAUAAAGGGACUCUUACUAUGGAGUUUGAUGGAGAGGUUAUAGAAUUCAAUAUGAAUGAUGCCAUGAAAUAUCCUAGUGAGGAACAUUCGGUAUUUUUUAUGGAUGUUAUUAACCCUAUAGUGCAAGAAGUUUUUUACAAGGAAAAAACGAAGACAUUUCAUGAUAGAAUGAUUUUGAGAAAGGAGUUCUCUGUUGAUCAAAAAGUUCUUCUUUUUCAUUCAAAGCUUAAACUUUUUUCGGGUAAAUUACGUUCUUGCCGGGUUGGACCUUUUAUUGUUACUAAUGUUUUUUCUCAUGAUGCAAUUGAAAUUCGGAGUCCGACCUCUGACAAAGUUUUUAAGGUUAAUGGUCAUCGCUUAAAACCUUUUUAUGAAGGUUUUUCGAUGAAUAUUGUGGAGGAUGUGGCUCUCAAGAGUCCCAAUUAUGGAGAUUGAUGCAUAAAUGUGUCCAGCCAAAUACAUAAAACAAAGGCGCUUUUUGGGAGGCAACCCAAAUGAUUUAUUUAUUUUGAUUUUUGUUAUAUCUUCUUUUAAUUUUGAUUCGGAUUUUUUAAAAAAAUAAUGUGUUUGCUUAUUUUGGCCAGAAGAAAAUUUUUGAUAAGGCGUGCCCACGUCUUAACUAAUAAGUACUUCUGUGAUUUUUAAAGUAAAAUGGUUUUAAGGUGUGCCCACGUGCUUAUUUAAAAAGUACUUCUGAAAUUUUUAGUGUCUCAAGUGAUUCAUCAUUAAAAAAAAAUUAAUUUGAUUUAUUUAUUUGAAAAAAAAAUAAAAACGAGAAAAAAAAGAGGUUUUUUUUUCUUUUCUUUCUUUUAUAUAUUAUUUAUUUAAAAAAAUGAAAAAAAAAUCAAAAAUCACUGUUCACAAAAUCCCUAAUUCAAAAAAAUCAUUUUCUUUCCCGCAGCAACCAGCCGCUCCAGCCUUCACCGAGCAUCCCCAGCAGCAGCAGCAACCGUGCGCGCAACCAGCCCCAUCCCGCUCCACACAGCAGCCAUGCACGCUCUGCCCCAGCCUGAGCACGCAACGCAACAAGCGUCACUAGCGCGCAGCACCAGCAAUCCCCCAGCGCGCAGCAUCAGCCCCAGUGUGCAGAUCCAUCGCGCACCAGUUCGCAGCACCAGCAUCCUGCGCACGCGCAGAUCCAGCGUCACCAGCGCGCAACAUCAAUCCCAGCCCGCGCGCGCAACACAACCAGCACCAACCCAUGCAGUACAACCAUCCGCGUGCAACUGAACCAGCAGCCGUGUACCCGCAACCUCCAGCCGAGCAACAAUAGUCCGCAACCAGCCUACGACCUGCAUUCCAGCCGCGUGAAUCGAAAUCUGUGAGUGAAAUUAUUGUAACAAUGCCGAAAAGGAAAGCAUCAACUUCCAAGUCAUCUAAAAAGACAUCCAUCGCAAAGCAAUCUAAGAUUGCCGCUCCUACUACGGUUCCAUGGAACACAAUUUCAGAUUCACGCCAAGCCGUGGGACAAAGAUCGAAACAUGGAAAAGGCAUGAGUGUUUUGCCACUUGGGGAAUCCAAUCUCAGAGGGUGCCUCACAUUCACGACUCAACAAGAGAAAGAAAGGUACAAAGAUAUUUCCAAGCGAAAAUACUUCCAACUAAGUAUAUUCAUUACCCGACUCUUGAAAAAUUGAAUAUUAAGGAUAAUUUUGAUUCUUUGAUAGAUAAGACUGGUUUGCAUAAGUUUGUUGAUGUUGAUUGUUUGGGUUAUGUUGAGUUGAUUAGGGAGUUCUAUGCUACUUUUCAAUUUAAUAUACCGAAUGAUUUUACUUUACAUACCCCGAAUGUUAUAAAGUUUAGGUUAAUGGGAUGAAAUUUUUCACUCUAUCACGGAUUUUAACCUAGCUUUAGGAUUCAUUGAUGAUGAUUAUUCUUCUAGUGAUGCAUAUUUAGGAACAACUUGUGACUUUAGCGAAAAUUUUAAGCCUUAUGGUCUUUGGCGUAAUUUAUCUGUUGAUCACAAUGCCUAUGACCCGAGUAAAUCAAAGAGUUCUUUCUUAUAUGAUCCUGUUUUGAAAUGUGUGCAUCGAUUCUUAGCAUAUAAUUUUUUAGGAAAGAAAGAUCACUCAGGAGUUUCUCUAAAUCUGAAUUUUAUUUUAUCUGGUGCAUGUUAAAUGAUGUGAGGCCUAAUUUAGGUUUUUGGUUAGUAGAUCAAUUUCAAAGUGUGCUUAAACGGUAUAGGACUUUAUUUCUUGGUCCAUACAUUACUCUGUUAGCUACAAACCUAUGUGUGCUUGAUCCUGACAAUAAUGAUUUGCAUCCUGCUUGCAAAAAGGAAUUUUUGGAUAUGUCUGUGUUUGAAAGAACAGGUGCGGUCGAAUUCAAGGAGGAGAGAUUUUAGUUUACUGAAUCAGGACCCACUCAACCUCCAAAGAAGCUUUAUGCUAGGAGUGGUGCUACCUCUGAUGACGAGUUUGACGACGACACUGCUGCUCCGCCGACUAUUCCUUCUACAUCCGCACCACCUUUGAGCAUUCAAUUAGAGAAAAUGGAGCACAAGCUGAACAAGAUGGAGCAGAAUUUGGCCGCAUACUUCGAGAGUGGGAUUUAUCCCACCAUUUCUGCCAAGCCCAUAGACGUUAUAAGGAUCAAAGCUCACAAUUCAGGGAAGUUUUUACCUUUAAUCAUUUAUCCUUACGCUUUAAUUUUUAUGUGAGCUUUGAUUAUCUUACAUUGGGGACAAUGUAAGUUCUUGGUGUGGGGGAGGGAUUUUUGCAUUAUUGAUGUCUGGAAGUAUUAUUUUCACUCUACUCAUUCUUAAACGAUUUUGGAGUUAGUAUGCUUCAUAUAUUAUUAUUUUUCUUUUCUUUUCUUUCUCACUAUUUUUUUCCCAUCUAUCUCAAAUUAUUCAUAUCUAUUUUUAUUUUACCAUAUUCUUUCAUCACUCACAUUUCAUUUUUUUUAUUUCUACAUACAUCUUUCUCGCUUAUUAUCCUUUUUACCUUUCCUUUUAUAUAUCACUCAUACCUUCUUUUCAUUCUACACCACUAUUGAUGGUUGAUUCAUUUGAAGAGUGUACAUGAUUUGAUGGCAAAUUUACCAACUUUGUGAGGAUUUGAGCUUAUGAGCAACCACUUUGCUCUAAUUAUUUUUGUUAUGUGAAUAUCAAUCUUAGUUUGUUUAUUCUAGAACUUGCUUUGUUAUGCAUGUUGAAGCCACAUUACGGGAUUUUAUGCAUUAAAAUGAUAAGGGCAAACUACUUUCCAUUUUUCUAUUCUCACAUUUUUCUUCUUUUUCUCCACCCGAAAACCUUUAUUUGUUAUCUUUGUUUGAGCCUUAACCAUUACCCAUCUAAUUAUCUCCGUCUACUUAACCAUUUUUCUUCUUUUUGAGCCUCAAUUUAAGGAGAUUUUUGGACUCAUUGGGUGGAUAUAUUUUGUUGCUUUUUCUACCUUGUAUUAAAGUUUCUCAAUUAGAUCAACAAGCAUUAUGCAUGAAUUAAAUUGUGCAAGGUUCGUUUCUUUUGUUUGAUUCAUCACUACUGAAAAAAACAAAAAAAAAUUAAAAAAAAAACCAAAAAAAAGAAAAAGAAAGAAAAGGAAAAAGAAAAAAAAUGUUUAAAUUCUUGGUGACUUGAGUAGACAUAAGCAUUUCGGUAUCAUAAGGUUCAUUCAAUAGUUCAUUCUUCUAAUUUUGAUCUCUUUUUCUUUUAUAGACCUUUCUUUUUCAUUUAACCCAUUUAACCCUGUUACAACCUUUUUAAGACCCUUAGAUUUUUGCAUUUAAUUCAUGUUUUGUGGAUUGAGAUGUGAUAUAAGCAAGCUUAUGGUAAUAGCAUUCUUUGAUUUGAUUUGAGUGCAUAAAUGAUACCCUAAACACUUUGAGUGCAUGGAGUGAAGUCAAUGAGAGUGCUAUUAAAUCUUGUUGCACUUGAAUUUUGAAUGGAUCUUCUUGGUGGUUGAAUGUUUUUCUUUUAUAUUAGCUUAUGAGAUCCUAUGCUUUAAAAUUCUUAUCUUUUGAAUGUUGAUCGACUUAAAUUCUUGAGGUAUGCUUGCUUAAGAUUGUUUUCGGAUGAGUUGAGAUGAGAAUUGAGUGGAGAUUUGGGAUUAGUCUUGAGUUAUAUGCUUGAGGACAAGCAUCAUCUUGGUGUGGGGGAAUUUGUUAGAGUACAAUUUAUGCACUAGUUUUGCAUUGUUUACUUCCUUUAAUAUCGAUGUUUUGCACUUAAUAAUAGUGAUUUACUUGUUUUUUAUUUUUGUAGGUGCAAUUCUAUUGAUUGGUGCUAAAAUUGAGCUACAAGAUAAUGUUUGAGGAUGAUUGUUUUCCUAGAGAAAUUAUGAGCUUCAGAAGAACUUUAUUGAUAAGGCGUGGGCGUAUGCUGUCAACUACGGACCUGCAGUUUUUAGUUUAAUGUGUUUUGUCUUUUUGGUUAUUUUUGUAAUUACUAAUUUAAUAUUUAGCUAAUAUUUUAGAUAUUAGUAUUUUAUUUUAAAAAGAACUCUAGAGGAGGAGAGAGGGAAGAGAAUUUAAAAGAGGAAUCUAUUGUCAAAGAAGGGAAGAAAAAGAAACCCUAGAUCUAAAUUUUUCUCUUCUCUAUGAAGAACUAAAUCUAUUAUUCUGGUUGAAGGUUAAUGAAGAUUUGAUUCAUCACUACUGUGAGAUCGUUCUUAUGCUUUAAUUGUUUUAUUACUUUUUGGGUAUUUGUUUAUUCUCUGAAUUAUUGUCAUGAUUAUGUUUGUUAAUUAGAUAUUUGGUCACUAUUUAAUUAUUAACUUAAUGUAUUGUCAAUUAAAAGAUUCAUUGUAUAAAGAUUUUAAUGUUUGUGAUAAAUAGCAUAGCAGUGCAUUGUGUAAUGAGAAUAAACAAUCUAAUUUAAAUAAACCAUCGUAUGCGUUUGGUGAUUAGGAUUUGGGUCUCUCUGGUUUUUCAGGCUGUUAAUUGAUUAAAUCCUAUGAUCGUAUCUAGGGUUGUCUAUUGAUUAGGAAAAUAACCAACGGUCGUACCUUGGUUAUCGACUAGUUAAGGCGAGAUUGGCUAUUAGAGAGUCUCAGUAGCUAUAACCGGUCUAUUCAUAAGUAGUAAUGAUUUAUAUUUGAAUCAAUGAUCAAUAGUCGAAUCAAGCUGAGUUAAUUCCUUCAACCAGAGCUUUCCCCAAUUUAAAUUACAAUUUUAAUUUGCAUUCUUGUUAUUUUAAUUUGAUUUUUAUUAUUGUCAACAAUUCCCCCAUUUUGCAUUUUACAUUUUAAAAGGAUUUAAAUAAUUACCGAUCUCUGUUGACACGACCCUGCUCAAUCACUAUACACAAUUUAUUUAGAGUAUGGCAUUAUGAGCAUACAUUCUCUACCCUACAAGGUGAAUUCCUAUGUCUAAUUCUUCACACAUUUUAACUCAAAGAUAGCCCUUUUGGGACUCAAGUAAUCUUAAUCCAGGAAACUUAAGUUAUGAUCAAGUAUUACUCUAUUAAUUUCCACUAAGACAGGUCCUUUUGCAGCUCUUUCUUAACUUGAACCAUUAAAUGGGUGGUCAACCAAAAUAAUGAUUAUAAUAAUAGUUAUUAGAGUAAAAUGCUAUAGCAAUCUUGUAGCAACUCAUAAGAACAGUCAAAAACCCAUUUAGAUUGUUUGUCACUCAACUACAAACAGAUUUAGUUCAUACUUCGAAAAAGAAAAGUAAACAGCAAAGUAUUGGCCAUGAAAUACAUCGUUUCAAUCAAAGAGUAAGAAAAGGAACAAGUAAAAAACAAUGAAAAUUGAAUCCAAAUUGUUCUGCUGAUUUCUUCACUGAUGCAGACUUGAGUUUCCCUUGAAUUCUGAUUUUUCCUUCUUUUCCUCUUGAUUUUCUUGAUGUCAAUUCACCGCCACCCUUUUUAUGUGAUGUGCGCUCUAUUUAUAACUGAAAACUAAGGUAAACCAAAGCCUAGGGCACGCGUGAUUCAAAUUAGAAAACUGCAGAUUGCAAUUUUGCAGAUAUCUCGCACUAAGUUUUCUCUAUAGUUGUUCCACGAUUACUACAGCAAUGGUUGCCCCAACAACGGCUAUAGCACUGCACUGCUCCAGAUCUUGUUUCAAUUAUUUUGUGGCCAUAUUCUUCCUCAUUUUGCCAUCCUAUUGCAUCAGCAUCUCUUCCAUAAAUUAUAAGCUUCUGGAAACCUACAAUUAUGCACAUAAUUUGAGCACGAAUUACCUUAAAUCACGUAAAACUUAUUAAGACUAAACUAAAAUGAAUGUUUAUUCAAAAUAUAACAAAAAUGUAAUAAAAACACAUCAUUUACUCUCUAAGUGAUCUUGAUUUGAGUCUAGAAUGGCCAUAAUAACUCUCAUUUCAUAGAGUUAUCACCCAACUUCACAAAUGCAGGUGCAAACUUCUUAAUAGCACGUGAGAAAUUGACUCCAAAUUGUCUUGAAAAGAGAAUAACUACGGUUAAAAAGCAUCAAGUAUCGCAUUAUAGAAUGCGAUAAUUCCUAUGACCACACCGUCCACCGAUGGCAUUGCUUCUCCACUGCCAGAACCUUCUCUAAUCGCUGGCGACAUCCCCACUGAUCAACAACCCUCACAACAACUAUUAACAUUUCAAACCAUAAACCCUAGAUUACAACAAAUCUUUCAAAAUAUGCUCUACGUUGUCGCCACCUUGCCUACCUCCGUUGGUGGCGAUUACUUACUGACGAAACCACCGUUGAACCUUAUGUACUCCUAACAGCUGCCUUUCACCCUCCCUGUACCACCAACCCCCUCAGGCACCAGUACACACGAGCACAAUCAAAACUCAAGCACCACUUAUUGGCCACUAUUUCUGACUCCUUUUAGUAAGACAAAUCCCCUUAGCUGCAAUAUAUCUCACCAACACCUUGCUGUCUCUCUUUUGGCCACCGCUAGUGGCACCAUCAACCUGCCAGCCAUCUCAUAUCUGCCACUUUUGACCACCCAAACCCACUCUACUGUUUAAAACUGAGACCAGCUGCUAAAUGCAGAAAACCUUAGUUAUAAUAAAGAAACCCUAGCCAACAUCCAUCUUUCCAAACCUAAAACUAAACCAAACAUCAAGCCCAAACCCAUGACCCUUUUUCCACCCCUCACUCUUGGUCAUACAUCCAACCCACCCUAAAAGGCCUCUUAUACAUCUAUUACAAAUCCUGAAGUUAUCCUCAACCGUAAUGCUAAGUCUUUUGUUGAUGUUAUUGCUGGCCCCCUGGAAUCUUCAAUUUGGGAAAAGCCAGUUUUAAUAUUUCAUGGUAAAAUUGUUAUCCACUUUUCAGCUACAGAUAUCCAGCCCAUAGCAUAACCAUUCAAACUUUCCCUUGUUAGUAAGUUUUUGUUUAGCCGCCCUCCUGUAGAUGUGAUUCACAAAUUCUUUGUUUCUUGAGUUUUAAAGGUAGUACACAGGUUACUUUGCUAGAUAAUUGAUCAAGCUUUAACUUGGAGUGGAUUACUCAUGUAUUUGGGUUAGGCAGACUUGGUAUGUUAGCGGCAAGUUCACGCGUACUUUUAAGUAGUCUACAUUUAUGCUCUAAGGAGUCUCAGUUGUUCUUGUUUAGGAGUCUUUGCCUUAUUUACCUGUGCAUUUCAUUCAUUACAGAGAUGCUUUAUUUUCUAUUGUAAAUGCUAUUAAAAAGCCUUUACGGGUUGACCGUGCCACUGCUGCUGUUAAUAGGCCCUCGGUGGCUCAUGUACUCAUUGAGUAUGAUGUUUCACGGCUAUUGUUACCAAGACUUUGGAUUAGUAAGGGUGAUAAUGGGUUUUGGCAAGAUAUCAUCUAUGAGCGUGUUCUGUUAUAUUGUGCCACGUGUAAGCAUCUUGGUCACUUUGCUGAUGCUUAUUUUGUUUCUAAUCAUGGGCUUCAAAAGCCCCAAUCACCUAUUGGUUAGGUGAAGGAUAUAGUUGUUGAUGAUACAAGUACGAUACUUAUUACUGAUGGUUUUGUCUAGCCUACUAGGGAUUUUGCUACGUAUGUGGUUACUAAGGAUAAUCGACUACAGAGGCCUGCUCUCGUCCAAGGUCAGUCUUUGGGCCUGGCCCCCUCGAUGAUGUUGCUUGGCCGUCUGCUCUUUUUCCUCAAGAUACUGUAGACGCGACAUCUAAUUCGAUUUCUUCUCUGUGAGUUCCAGAUGAUGAUGGUUUGCAACAUAAUGUUGCUCUAAGAGAUGUUGAUGGAUGCACUAAGGUUGCUAAUUCUCUUGUUUUGGAUAAUCCGAGCGCUCUAAGGACUUCCACAAGCUUUACUUUUUUCAGGUCUAUAGUGGAUGAUAUUCACUCCAUGGUUGUGAGUUUUAAUUACCAUUCUACAGAUAUCCCUAAUCAGUCGGAUGAGGAGUUUAGCUCUGACAGAAAUCCUGCAGUUCAUGAUUAUUUUGCGUCUAAGCCUGAGGGUAUAGCGGGGCAUGAUCUUGACCCCGACCUCAGUAUUGGUGGCCUCCAUUCCUCUAGUUUUAAGAAAGGUUUCAAAUUAGUUAAUGGUCGUAAGUAUUGUAAGUAUUUUUCUCGGCGUUUGCAUUAAUUAAUUAUCUUUAGCUUCUUAUUUAUUCUAUUAUUGUUUUCAUUCUUUUUCCAUUAGUUGGUUAUUUUUGUUCAUUUGCUUGGAGAUUUUGGUCUACGUCCCCCUCCAUAUGUAAUUUUGUUUAUAUUUUAAUAAUCAUAGGUAAGGGGGUCCCGCCUAACCCCACCAACUUUGGUUGAUUUUUAAUUAAAAAAAGCACAAAAAUUGACAAUUAAAGAAUUGAUCUAAAAUGGUAAGACAUGGGAAGUUUCUAGAUAUUAAAAUAUGAAGAAUUUUCUCAUGAAGGGCCUUCCACAUCGUUCUUUUGUUGCCUCUUAACAUGUUGUGAACGGAGAGUGCUUCUGAGUGUCGCUCUCAUUUUACUAAGAUGAAAAAUUAUGGAGGAGCAGAGUUCCUGUAAAACAGCAUAGUUGUGAUAAGUGUUUCGCGUUGCAAUCCCGAAGUAAAAGUUCAUUUGUCUAUGACCACUUUUAUACCCCUCCGGCUGGUGGCUUUUACUACGCAUGUCCAUUGAUGUGAUAAUAAUUUAUAUAUUUCUUAAUUUAAUUUUAUGUUAAAUUAUAUUUUAUCAUAUUAAUUAUAUCUUAAUCUUUAUUUUUGUUAUUUUAGGUACAUUUUAGGAAUAAAGAAGAAUUAAAUCAGAAUAUUCAAAUAAGAAGAGCUUAAAGAAGAAAUUGAUUGGAAAUUUAAGGAAGAUAAUGGGAGUUAAAAUGGAAGAAAAUCGAAGCAACCAAGGCCUAAUUGUAGUUCACGUGAAGAUGAGAAGAAUUAGCAUUGGAAAUAAGUUAAUUAAUAAGGCAAAUCAUGUGAAGAAUAGAGUAAAAGAAGAAAGCAUUCUGGUGAUGGGCUUUGGCCAAAUCAUUAUUGGCUUAUUAAUUGAACAAGUCACGUGCAUGCAUGAAAGAAAAGAAGCGGUUUGGCUUUUGUUUUUAAUUCUUUCCAUAUAAAGAGUUAAAGGCCACAAUUGAAACAAUAUAAAAGGGCACGAGUGGAAGGCCACAAGAGAGGAGGGCAGCCGCACAAAUUGGAAGCCAAGAGAAAAAAAAAACCGAGAGCAAGAAAAAAGAGAGAGAGAGAGAGAGAGAGAGAGAAAAGCCGCCGCUGCAAAUUUUUGCAACAAUUUGGAGAAGUCGAUUGCCGAGAUUGAAGAGAGACAGCUUUUUGAGUUUACUCUUUCUCUUCUCUUUUUCUAUUAUCUUGUUUGAAUGUUCCUAAUUAAAUUUAUGAAUUCUCUUUAUAUUCCCAUGAACUAAUUUAUUUUGCUAGGGCUACGAUGUAGCCUAACUAUAAAGAUUUAUUUCCAUAAAUAUAUGUUAUUUUUAGUUUAUUAUUUCAUGGUUGAGUGUUCAUUAUUGUGCUUAAUACUUUUAAAUAUUUGGUCAAUAUUUAAAUGAUUUAAGGAUAUAUAAUGAGACCGAAAGGAGAUUUAUGUAUUUUUGCUCUAUGUAAUGGAUGCCAUGACAGAGAUGUGCCAACGUGAUUCAUGUAGUUUUUCUAAGAAUUUCCAUAGAACUUAAUGAAUCUUUGCAUAUUUAAAUUCACAGAGAGAUAUAGUGGGUUAAUAUGUGAAGGUAUUUUUGAUUUUACUCGGGAGAGGAUAUUGAAUAGAUUAGGGAAAUUCACUGUCAACAUUGGUAAUAAAUUUUAAUAACAUAAAUGGAGGAUUAAAAUUGGAUUGGUUAUGGUGAAAUCAGAUGUCCUAGAGUCAUAAUCUCUUCGUGAUUUCUAUUACUGCUUGCAUAUUUAUUUAGUUUUUAGUUAUUUUAUUCUAUUUUAAUUUUUUUUAUCUAAAUCCGUCUAUACGAUUGUUCAAAUAAAUUAGGAUUAGAAUAAUUUCGGUAGCUAAUAGGAUAUACAAUCUCUGUGGGACGAUAUUCUACUCUUCAUUUUAUUACUUGUGCCGACUAAUACACUUGCUAAUUUAUGCAUCAUCCACCAUAGUCCGAUAAGCAAGCAUAUAACACUUUUUAUUGGAGAAAUGUUUGAUUAGAAUAUGAUGGGUAUUGUUAUCCGGACUAAUUCGUCCAAUUUCCUCGUAACAUUCAUUACGCUCUCCAUAGCACCAGCUAUGCAGUAGGCAUAGAGCAUGCAAUUUAAAUCAUAUUUGUCAUACUUGACUUCAAAAUACCCAGCCAAUUUGCCUCUUCAAAACACCCACCCUGGCAGAAUGCUGAAAUCAUGAUACUGUGGGCAUAGUCAUUUGCGUGAGGCAAAUAAAAUUUGUGGUUAACCUAAAAGCUUAGAUAUAGUACUAUCUUUUGUUUGGUUAAUAUCUGACUGAACUAUGUUAAUUUAAUUUAAUAAAUUAUUAAAUAAAAUUCUGAUAUUCAAUAUAAAAUUACUUGGUUAAAAAUUCGUGAAAUUCACUUCUAUGUUUAAUUUAUAUUAAAAUAUUAGGUUAAAUGAAAAAGAAAAAAGUGAUAAAGAGGACACAAAGCUUUUGUUUAAUCUUAUCUCACCUAAACCCCUAUAAAAAUAAGGAUUAAUAAUCCUAUUAGUUUUAGACUAAAUUUAAGUUUACUCUAAUGGUCCAUGACAACCAAACAUACCUUAGAUUAAAUUAUUUUGUUAGUUUCAAAAUCUAAUUGAAUCCCACAAUUUAUCGAAGCUCCCAAAAACAGCCUAAUAUAUAGUUAAAAAAUAUUGUAUUCAUAAAAAUGCGGUACAAGUAAGAAUACCAACGUUAGUGCACCAAUAUACAUAUGAGAUAGGAUCAACUAUCUCUCUCUUUUGAAACAAUAACUUACACAAAAUCUUAACCUUUUAACAUUACCUAAUGAUCUCUUUAAUACUAUUUUGAUUUUAAAAAAUGGUGUCUUUAAUACUACUUUGAUAACAAAUGGGUUACAAAAUUUUGAAAGAAGGCAAUAUUUAUUAAUAUCAAAAAUAAAACUUAAUGGGCCCUAAUAUAUUAUUAAAUAUUUUUCUUCUACUUCAUCUUAUUUUCUCUCCAUAAUUAAUAUGAUUUGAUUCUCUCAAUCUUUCACUUGCUUUAAACAACUCUCCUCUAAGUAAUCACCAUACAGAUUUUCCAUUAAAAUACAAUCGUCAAUGGCAGAUAGAUAAAAGAAGAAACCAAAAAGUCCAGUUAUACUUCAAAUUAUGCUAUAUUAUUAUGCUAUUUUAUUAAUUAUUGGGAACGUGUGCAGCAACUAAUGUGUGCAUGGAGCAACUAACGUGUGCAUGUGCAGUAACUAUUGUAAUAUUCUAUAGCUUUUGUAUUCCAUUAGGAAUAGAAGGAGCAGCUUUUGUAUUCCAUUAGGAAUAGAAGGAGCAUAUUUAGGAGACUAUUUAGAGAUUUCGUAGCUAUCUUUGAUUUUGGUAUAGGUGUAUAUAUGAAUAGCCGUGUGAUAUACAAUAAACAUACAAAUUUCUUCCCCUCUCACAAACGUUUUCAUGGUAUCAGAGCCUUGAGCCGAACCUUCUAAUAAAUCAAAAUUUUUCCAUAACCGACGCCGAAGCUAAGCACCAUGGCUGGAAGGGAAAAGGAAAACCCAAAUAUGAUAGAUUCGUCUUCAUCUUAUUAUCUUCAUCCCUCUGAUCAUACGGGCAUGAUUAUAUCCCCGGUGAAAUUAAAUGGUGAGAAUUAUGAAGAGUGGUCAUGCUCGAUGCGUAAUGCAUUUUGGGCAAGAAGAAAACAAUCGUUUUUUAAUGGCAAGAUUGAGAAACCUGCCGAAGAUGCUCCUAAAAUUGAAGAUUGGUGGAGUGUGAAUUCAAUGCUUGUAGGAUGGAUAUUUACAUCUUUUGAACCGCAUAUUCAUUCAACAAUCACCUACUAUGAUACUGUUAAGGAACUCUGGGAUGAAUUAAAAUUGAGAUUCUCAAUUGGGAAUGGACUACGGGUGCUGCAGUUGCGAUCCGAUCUGGUCAAAUGUAGACAAGAUGGGCAGACAGUAGGAGCCUAUUUUGGACGUCUCAAGAUUCUGUGGGAUGAACUCAGCAACUAUGUUCAACCUCCUGUCUGUUCUUGCGGCAACUGCGCCUGUAAUCUGUCAACGCAGUGGGAAAAAAAAAGGGAAGAAGAAUGUGUUCACCAAUUCUUGAUAGGACUUGAUGAUACGAUUUAUGGGACAGUUCAUUCUAAUAUUAUUGCUCAAGAUCCUCUUCCCUCACAAAGUCGUGCUUAUGCCUUGGUGGUACAAGAGGAAAGACAUCAAACCAUUACAAGGAUAUGUGAUGUGCGUGUCGAAGCCGUGAGCUUUGGUGUCCAAGCACCCAAGGCACAACAAGGUGUUGCUGCGUCUUUUUUGAAUAAUGCAAAUGGAGAAAAAUCAGUGUGUAAACAUUGUGGCAAAACCAGUCAUGAGAUAUCAUCUUUCUUCAAGAUUAUUGGAUAUCCGGAGUGGUGGACUGCUAAUCGUGGAAAGGGUAACUCAGGCAGACGAGGGCAGACAAAUAAUUUUGUUGGGCAUAGUAAAUCGCAUGCUGCUGUGACUAACGCUGCUCUUAUGCCUGCUGGUGGAGGAGGAAACUAGGCUAGUCCGACUCUGUCAGCAUAAGAUCAGGCUGCCCUUGCAACUACUCUCACGGAUGAUCAAUGGGAAAUUAUGGUGAAUAUGCUUAAUUCACAAAAUAAGGAUGUUUCAAAAGAGAAGCUUUCUGGUAAGUGGAUUCUAGAUACAGGGGCUUCGAGACAUAUGACAGGAAGCAGAGAAUUAAUGACUGAUCUGCAAAAUAUUGGGCUUUCGCCCAUAGGUCUUCCAAAUGGCACAUGCUCUCAUGCUCAGUGCGAGGGCACUGUUGAGUUUGGAAACAAUUAAAGAAUGAAUCAUGUUCUAUAUGUACCUGAUUAUUGGUUAUUUCAUUUUUUUCGGUGGUUCUCCCAUUUCCUGGAAGACAAAGAAACAACAUACUGUCUCUCGUUCUUCGACUGAAGCAGAGUAUCGGUCUAUGGCUUUCACUUGUUGUGAAUUAACUUGGUUGACGGCUUUGUUAAAGUCUCUUGGUGUUUCGCAUUCUCUACCAAUGCGUCUUUACUGUGAUAGUCAGGCAGCGCUUUGUUAACAUAUAUGUUUCCAUAAUAUUGAUUUUGAUAAUAACAAAUAAGUUUAAGAAUGAUUAAUCUUUUAAGCUCAAAUUAUUUAAUAUUCUUUUUAAAUAAAUCAUUAUUUUAACAUUAUAAAUGUUUUAUAUUUAAUGGAAAAAUAAUUUUAUGAAAUUGAUUGUUUUUAUUCUUUUUAAAUAAAUCAUUAUUUUCACAUUAUAAAUGUUUCAUAUUUAAUGGAAAAAUGAUUUUAUGAAAUUGGUUGUUUUUUAAAAUUUAUGGUUUAAUUGAAAGAAUUUUGAAAACUUUGAAAUAAACAAGUAUUGCUUGAAAUUUUGGAGAAGGACUUAUUUGAAAAGUGUCAUAGCAUUUUGGGCUAUACCAUAAUUUUAGAAAGUUUUGGGAUUAACAAAGCAUUACUUAGAAAUUCUGAAAUUGGACCUAUGUGCAAUGUUUCAUAACGUUUUGGGUCAUACUAUAGUUUUAUAAAGUUUUGGCGUCAAACUAUAAUUUCAGAAAAUAUUUUCACUGUAGCAAUUUCACUGUAGCAAACGGCUAACCGUUUAUUUAAAAUGGCUAACCGAUAAUUUCCAGAAAGCAUGUUCUGCAAAGUAUUGUUAAAAUGAUGAUUCUGGAAAAUAACGGUGAACCAUUUACUGAAAACGGUUAACCGAUUAUUUCCAGAUUGCUAACCUUGAACCGUUUAGUAAGAACGGUUAAAUCAAAUUUGUUUUGUAGGUCUCUGGAAAUUAACGGCGAAAGGGUAAGCCCAAACGGCUAACCGUUUAUUUAAAAAUUGGCCCAACGGUAACUUUGACCGGCCUAAACGGUUAACCGUUAAUGGUUAACAGCGAACCGUUUUCGAGUAGACAGUCUAUAACGGCUAGUUUUUUAGCUCCAACUAUAAAUAUGCUCAAUCCAAUUCAAAUAAGAAGAAUUCCAACGAUCAUCAUUGAGCAAAAUAUAGAGAAUACAACUUUCAUUGAGCUUUAAAUCUUUGUAUUCAUCUCAUUCAUUCACACAUUGAGCUUUCACUUGAGAUCAAACACAUUGUGUGAGAGGGAUUCAUUUGUAAUCUUUUUUGUAAAAUCAAGUUAAAAGAUUGUAAGUGUUGGGAUACACUUGGGUUAAGAGAUUGGGGAUAAUCUCUUGUUGUAAAGGUCCAUUGACACCUUGGAAGUCAAUUGUAAGUGUUUGAAGCCUUGAGAGGCUAACUUAGUGAAAUCCUCAAGCCCGGUGAGCUUGGAGGCGUGGACGUAGGCGGGGAUUGCCGAACCACGUAAAAAUCAUUGUGUUCGUUUUCUCUUCUCUUACUCUUUUAAUAUUGUGCAUGAUUGAAUUUAUUGUUUUCAAUUUGAUUAAGGCAAUAGAUUAAAUUGUUGUGUGGUUUGCCUAGGAUAAUUUUUAAAAUCCCAAUUCACCCCCCCCCCCCCUCUUGGGUUGCCUAGUUAGUAUUUCAUUUGGUAUCAGAGCGAGGUGCUCUUUUGUAGACUUAACCGUCUAGAGUUAAAGAUCUAUAGCAACCCAAAUUAGCUCAAUCUUCAUGGAAGGCCAAUCCACCACUAGACCUCCAUUCUUUGAUGGUAAUGACUAUCCUUAUUGGAAAACUAGGAUGAGAGUGUUUUUACAAGCCUUAGAUUAUGAAAUAUGGGAAAUAGUUUGUGAUGAUUCAUUCAUUCAUAGGAAGAAUGUUUUAAGUGAAUUGGAUAAGAAAAAUAUGUCUUUAAAUUCCAAGGCUAUGAAUGCUUUAUUUUGUGCCUUAGAUAAAAAGGAAUUUCAUAGAGUUUCAAAUUGUUCUAAUGCUUAUGAAAUUUGGAGAAAACUUGAAAUUGUGUAUGAGGAGACUACAAACGAGGAGGAAUUUCAUGAAGUGUCGAAUUUGGCACUUAUGACAAUUGUAGAUGAAUCGGAUGAUGAACUUGAUGAGGUAAAUCAUCUUCCUACUUAUGAUGAAUUACAUGAUGCGUUUAAAGAAUUGUAUAAUGAGUGGAUGAAAAUUGGUAAAAAAAAUGCAUGUUUUAAAAAGAAAAUGGUAAAGCUCACAAAUGAAAAUGAAUCUCUAAGUGCAAAGAUUACAUGUCUAGAAUUAGAGAAUAAAACAUUGCAUGAUGAAGUUACAUUAUCAAAUGACAAAUUUAGCACUUCACAAAAGCAUCUAGAAUCACAUGUAGAUAACUUGAAAAAUGAAAAUGAUGCUUUACAAAAAUGCAAUGAUUCAUUAAAUGAAAAGAUUAAAGGACUAGAGUUAGAUAAUAAAAUGUUGCAUGAUAGAAUUGCAUCAUUCACAUGUAAACAAAGUACUUUGUAUGAGCAUGAGAAAUCACAUGUUGAUGAAUUAAUAAAUGAAAAUGAAACACUUAAGAAAAGGAGUAAUGAGUUGAAUGAGAUUGUUUUGAAACUCACAAAUGGGCAAAAGAUGUUGGAUAACAUGCUUAAUUCACAAAAAUGUGUGUUUGAUAAAGGAGGACUUGGGUAUAAGCCUUACUUGAAACAAAAAUAUUAUAAGAAUUAUUUUGUUAAGGCUACCUCCACAAAUGAUCAAAUUGUAUGUCAUUAUUGCAAUCAAAAUGGUCAUAUGAAGAAUAGAUGUCCAAUUAAAAGAAAUGUGUAUUAUGGAGUCAAAUGUAUUUGGGUUCCAAAAGGAACUAAAUCUAACAUUCAAGGACCCAAGAGUAUUUGGGUACCAAAGGGUACAACUUGAAUUUGUUUUUGUAGGUACCAUAAACAAGGAAUGGUGGAGAGUUCCUUGAUGAAGCUUGUGGAGAUAAUCACUUGAUCAUAAUCUAAAGCAAAAAUAAUGAGGCAAGAUGAUUUAAUUGUUUUGGUAACUAUUAUUGCCUUAUUGAUUAUAAGUGAUGGUAUUUUAAUCUUAGCAAAUAUUUAACACUUCAUUUGGUAUCAUAACAUUAAGUGUAUUAACAUGAUGUGGAUAAGUUUAUCUUGGCUAUUUACUAUAUUGAGUGAAUCAUGAUAAAUGAAUUUGCGAAAGUAUGCUUGUAUGUUUACAUGAUGGAAUUAUCAUUGUGUUUAACAUUGAGUGCUUUAUCAUGAUGCAUGGUUAUAUAUAUAAGAUGAUAGCUUGUCAACUCAUCAUGAUAGCUUUGUUUGAUUUUGAUGAUUAUAUAAUGCCUAAGCUUGAUAAAUGAGUGAUAUGCUUGAAUUAUUAAUCUUUGAAUGCUUAUAUGUUUCAUGAUUGUGUAAAAUAUACACAUGAUGAAUGAAUUAUAUGUGUGAAUUCUUGUGCUAUUAAUUGUGUUAUAUCAUCAUUCAUUUAUAAAAUUGACAUUAUUGGUUGAUACGAUUUCAUAUGUUUGGUCUUGUAUGCAUAUAUGUUCCAUGCACUAAUUGACUUAUUGAAAAGUUAAAUGAAUUUUAAAAUUGAUCAAUUUCUAAGCCAAAAAUAAAUUUGUGUCUAAGAGCUUACAAAAUUUCAAAAAUAUUUUCCAAAGCUUAACCGGUAUACCACUUCCAUAGUGUGCUCUCCUUAUGGAUUUUACCAUAGUUUUCUAUUAUAUUAUGCACUUACAUGUUCAUAUGCUUUGUUGCUUUCAUUGUGGAUUGAUGAUGAUUAUUGUUUGCUAUUUGGAUGUUUUAUAUUUGGAUAAUGUGGAACUAAUGUGUUUAUCUUGACUUUUUGAUGAUCAAGAGGGAGAUAUGAGAUGUAAAGGAGAAAUACAUCUACUUUGAGAUUCUUAAGUAUAUGUUGAUUUUGAUGAUCUAUAUAUUGCUAUUAUGUACUUAUGCUUUACUUAAGUUUUGAUGACAAAGAAUGUGCUUUGAUGAUUCCAUUGUAUUUGAUGAAUUUUGAUUUUAUGGAAUUUAUGAUUGGUGAAUGGAUACAUUUUUUUUUGCUUUCUUGACGCAUUGUUAAAUAUGCAUUACUUGUUUUAAAUGAUAUCAAAAGGGGGAGAAAUACAUGAUCAUUGAGAUCUUGGCGCAUAUGAGAGUGUAAGUUAUAUUAAAAUGUCGCUUUAGGUCUUUGAUGAGUUUAGUUGUCUUGAUUUCUAAAAUGUGAUUAGUAAUUAUAGAGCUUGAAUUGUUGACAUUAUGCUCUUAUGACUUUUGCAUUCCCUUUCUUAGCUUAUUACUUGUUCUAUUUUGGAUAAUAUGCUUUUUGAACAUUUUUAUUGUCCAAAGGGGGAGACAAAGUAAUAAAUCUUUUUAAUGAUGUAAAUUGGGGGAAAUAACAUGCAUUUUGAGCAUUCUUUUAAUGGUUGAUAUAUGAUUAUGGAAUCCUCGGAUAUAAUUGUUACAAGUGUUGGGGGAAUUCAUAAUGAUUGAUGAUUAUAUGUGCAUUGCUUGAUGAAUUGAUGAAGUUAUUGGUUUGUUAUAAUUGUUGAAGCUUAUAUCUUUUUAACCAUGUUGUUUAUUUGAGAAUUUGUUCUUUUUUAAGGGGAGACUUUAUCGAAAUUUUUGCUCAUACAAAAUGGGUAAUAUCUUCAUUGAAUUAUUUUUGAUGAUCUUGUUUCGAUUGCAUCUAUCUAUCUUUCCUUUUUACGAUGAAGGGGGAGAUAAAUAUGAUAUGUUUUUAGAUAAAAUCAUUUUGGUUAAAUUUCUUAAAUUGGCCAUAUAUUUAGGGGGAGCAUAUAAUAUGAUUUUGGAUAAUAUGCAUUUUGAACUUUUUUUGUCCAAAGGGGGAGACAAAGUAAUAUCUCAUUUCGAUAUUGUCAAAAGGAGGAGAAUAAUAUGCAUUUUGAGUAAUUAUUUUGAUGAUUAAUAUGUGAUUAUGGUGAUGAUUUUGAGAUAUCAUGAUGAUUUGAUUACAUGGUGUGUAUCAUAAUUUAAAAUAAUUUGGGAGUAAUAUUACUAAACUUGUAUUUGAGGUGAUGCUUGUUGAUAGGGGGAGAAUGUGUCAAAAUUUUUACUCGGCUACAUGGGUAACAAAUUUGCUACUCUUUUUCUUUUCCACUAAGUUUUCUUUUUGAUGAUGAGGGGGAGAAAAAUCCAUGUAUUUAAAUAUGUUAAUUUAGCUAAUUGGCAAAUUGUAAAAGAAGAUUAUAUUUAGGAGCAAUUUGUGGAAUCAUUCUUUAAAUACAUGAAAUGUUUGUCAUCAUCAAAAAGGGGGAGAUUGUUAACAUAUAUGUUUCCAUAAUAUUGAUUUUGAUGAUAACAAACAAGUUUAAGAAUGAUUAAUCUUUUAAGCUCAAAUUAUUUAAUAUUCUUUUUAAAUAAAUCAUUAUUUUAACAUUAUAAAUGUUUUAUAUUUAAUGGAAAAAUGAUUUUAUGAAAUUGAUUGUUUUUAUUCUUUUUAAAUAAAUCAUUAUUUUCACAUUAUAAAUGUUUCAUAUUUAAUGGAAAAAUGAUUUUAUGAAAUUGGUUGUUUUUCAAAAUUUAUGGUUUAAUUGAAAGAAUUUUGAAAACUUUGAAAUAAACAAGUAUUGAUUGAAAUUUUGGAGAAGGACUUAUUUGAAAAGUGUCAUAGCAUUUUGGGCUAUACCAUAAUUUCAGAAAGUUUUGGGAUUAACAAAGUAUUACUUAGAAAUUCUGAAAUUGGACCUAUGUGCAAUGUUUCAUAACGUUUUGGGUCAUACUAUAGUUUUGUAAAGUUUUGGCGUCAAACUAUAAUUUCAGAAAAUAUUUUCACUGUAGCAAUUUCACUGUAGCAAACGGCUAACCGAUAAUUUCCAGAAAGCAUGUUCUGCAAAGUAUUGUUAAAAUGAUAAUUCUGGAAAAUAACGGUGAACCGUUUACUGAAAACGGUUAACCGAUUAUUUCCAGAUUGCUAACCUUGAACCGUUUAGUAAGAACGGUUAAAUCAAAUUUGUUUUGUAGGUCUCUGGAAAUUAACGGCGAAAGGGUAAGUCUAAACGGCUAACCGUUUAUUUGAAAAGUGGCUCAACGGUAACUUUGACCGGCCUAAACGGUUAACCGUUAAUGGUUAACGGCGAACCGUUUUCGAGCAGACAGUCUAUAACGGCUAGUUUUUCAGCUCCAACUAUAAAUAUGCUCAAUCCAAUUCAAACAAGAAGAAUUCCAACGAUCAUCAUUGAGCAAAAUAUAGAAAAUACAACUUUCAUUGAGCUUUAAAUCUUUGUAUUCAUCUCAUUCAUUCACACAUUGAGCUUUCACUUGAGAUCAAACACAUUGUGUGAGAGGGAUUCAUUUGUAAUCUUUUUUGUAAAAUCAAGUUAAAAGAUUGUAAGUGUUGGGAUACACUUGGGUUAAGAGAUUGGGGAUAAUCUCUUGUUGUAAAGGUCCAUUGACACCUUGGAAGUCAAUUGUAAGCGUUUGAAGCCUUGAGAGGCUAACUUAGUGAAAUCCUCAAGCCCGGUGAGCUUGGAGGCGUGGACGUAGGCGGGGAUUGCCGAACCACGUAAAAAUCAUUGUGUUCGUUUUCUCUUCUCUUACUCUUUUAAUAUUGUGCAUGAUUGAAUUUAUUGUUUUCAAUUUGAUUAAGGCAAUAGAUUAAAUUGUUGUGUGGUUUGCCUAGGAUAAUUUUUAAAAUCCCAAUUCACCCCCCCCCCCCUCUUGGGUUGCCUAGUUAGUAUUUCAUGCUUCAUAUUGCUGCCAAUCCUGUAUUUCAUGAGCGCACUAAGCACAUUGAAAUUGAUUGCCACUAUGUGCUGGACCAAAUCCAUGCUAGUAAUAUUGCUACUUCUCAUGUUCGUACUUCAGAGCAACUUGCAGACAUUUUCACAAAGGCGCUUGGUCGACGCCAGUUUGAGAAUAUCCUUCGCAAGUUGGGCAUUCGUGAUCUUCAUGCUCCAACUUGAGGGGGAGUAUUGGGAACGUGUGGAGCAACUAACGUGUGCAUGUGCAGUAACUAUUGUAAUAUUCUCUUUGUAUAGCUUUUGUAUUUCAUUAGGAAUAGAAGGAGCAGCUUUUGUAUUCCAUUAGGAAUAGAAGGAGCAUAUUUAGGAGACUAUUUAGAGAUUUCGUAGCUAUCUUUGAUUUUGGUAUAGGUGUAUAUAUGAAUAGCCGAGUGAUAUACAAUAAACAUACAGAUUUCUUCCCCUCUCAAACGUUUUCAAAUUAUCUUUUUGUCAAAAUUUCAGUGAUGAAGAAACUCAAGAGCAAGUACAAGACAUUUAAAACGUACGUUUGGUUAAUUUUUUUUUCUUUUAAUUACUUAAUUAUAUAUGCUCUGUUGUGACGUUUUUGCUUAUGUUAAUCAUAUUUCUUUUUCGAAAAGACAAGUCAAUUUGCUUAUGCUAAUCAUAUUUCUUUUUUGAAAAGACUUGUUAGUUUUUCUCUUAAAUUUCUCUUUAAACUUAUGUUUUCGUAAUUUUUUAAUAUAAAUACAUGAUGCAUUUUCUGCUCAAUAUACUACUGUGAAUAAAGUAAUUUAAGAUGACAUUUUUGUAGGUGUAUCAACUGAAGGAACAAGAAAGCUGUUAAAUUUGAUCGUUGUUGGAAUCAAAUAUUGGAUAGUGAAAGGCUUCUAAAAAUGACAAGUAGCUUUCUAUAAAACAAAGCGUUUAUGAUUGAAUCCACUGACUGCACUCAUAUUCUUUAAACUCAUAUGACUUUGUUAGAGAUUUAUUGUAGAAAUGAAUACGAUAUUAAAAGAUAAAAAAGGCUAAUCGAAUAAUUAGGUGCUCGUGUCUUUAAGCUAACCCAAAAAUUAGGAACUCGUGUUUUUAAUUAGUUAUAUUAAUAUUUUAUCCUUGUGAUUUCUUUUUAUGGCACAGCUCUGAUUUCUCUCCUUAGUUGUUGUUGCGUUUCUCAGUGUUCGCUGCAUAUUGUCAUUUUUCAUGGGUAUGAUUUGCCAUAUGCGAUUUAAAUGGGUCAUGUCCACUGAGCAUCCGUUGUGCCUUAACAUGCUAUGAACCCAUGAUUGAAUAUAAAAUAUAAUUGCAUACAUAACAAAUUCUGCCAUUCUCAUGCUUUUGCUAGAAAAUGGUUCUCAUAUCUGACGACUGUUACUCAAUAAAAGUAACAUAUAUGACAUUUUUGUUUCAUUUAUAAACCUCGACGAGUGAGAGAAUUUAUUAGAAUCAUCGAAAAGAGACCUCAUCAUCGGAAAGAAAUAGAAACUGAAAAGAAAUGUCGAGGCCAACAUCAAUUGAAACUGCACUCUUGGGAUUCAUGCACUAUAAUUCAUCAUCCUUUGGUGCCAGGUGAUGAUGUGGCAACCACGUGUUUGUCGUCCAAGGGAAUUGGCUGAAAAAGCAAUGUGAAAACUACAUCCAUAGUCUCUUGGUUUUGAGCACCAUGCCCGUCUCCAUGUAGAUACAUAAAAUGGGACACUCUCACAACAUUCAAUAUGAAUUCGACUGUAGUUUGCGAUAAGGGAGAAUCUUUAACAGCUCUGUAUGCAUUCACCUUCUUCCACAUCUGUCUCAUCAUAUCCUUGAUGUGUUCACGAGCAACUUCCUCCGAGGCACCAGUUUCCUGCAUGUAACACUGGAUUGAUUUCGGAACAUCCCCUCUCUGUAUCUCAUCCUGAUGAAUUAUUGGGUAAAAAAAAAAGUACAAUCAAUUCAUAAAUAGAGGAUUAAUUCAAUUUCUGUCUUGUUAAAAAAAAAGAAGAAAGAAAAAAUACCGAUGAAGUUCCCAAAUCAUCUUGAAGACGAAGAAUCUUGAAUGACCAGUGAAUUAUAUCUUGAUUACUUUCUAAAAAUUCUAGUUCCUUCUCAGUGAUUGGAUUUGUCCCAGAAAGGUAUGCAGUCAUUGUAACCAUAGGGCCUCCUAUUGAUACCAAUCCAUUUUCCAAGAAUUCUCCCAGAGUUGGCGUGUACUUACCAUGGUACCAUUUCGCCUCCACUAAGUAGGCUUGUAUAUUACGAAGCCACUGAUGCACAAGACAGAAAAUAGCAGUAGUUACAACUUAUAAUUUUUUUUUUUUUUUUUUGCGACAACAACAUCCUAAUUUAAAAAGGAUAAAUCAAAGGAAAGGAAUGGCGGCAGAGGUGCAACUAAUAUUUUACGUACCGCAUUUUUUAUACUUCGAAGUAUAUCAAAAUCCUGUUGUUUUGAGUACGUAAUAAGUAAAUUCAUUAACCAAGUUGUAAAGCGCAAGAAAACAGAUUUUCAUAUAGUCCGGAAGGUGGUUCAAAGCAUAAUUGAUGUCCCACCUGUAGAAAACGAAAAAAAAAAAAAAUUCAUAUGACUGGUCUAUUAAUUUGAGAGGUAGCAAGCAGCUAGCUAGCAGUUGAAUUAAUCAAUUAGGUAUAACAUUAAUUUGCCAACAAACCUCUCAACAGCAUCAGCAAAUAGCUCAAGUUCAUCCAAAGUUCCAUAAACAUCAUAAAUAUCAUCAAUCACUGAAAUUAGAGCAAAUGUGAUUGUGAGUAUUCUCCUACAGUAGGCGAAUUGAGGCUCAAACACUAUCCCCAUGCUCCAUACGAAGGAUGCUACCAAGCUGUCCCUCGCAAAGCUCAGUUUCUCUCCAAGACCUAUAUCCUUCCACCACCUUCAUAGGAAAAUUAAAACGAAUAUUAUGACUCGUAGCUUUACAAUACAUCUGUUAUAGAGUCAUCUUCUAGUCCGAGAUUCCUUAGAGUGAAUCUCUGGUGCAAACGUCUGUAUUUUAUGAAGUGCAGACUCAGACCUUUACACUACUGUAAAAGGUGUAGUCUGCACCUGAGAAUAAUUUAAUAUGCAUAUGAUCAAUUUGUACAAGUUAUGUAUGUCAUAAACUAAAAUCUUUGAUACAUACAUAAAUAUGAGUUAUGCAACCAAGCAUGGAUACCUUGAAACAUCUUUAAGUUCUUCCUGGUAAAUUGCCUGCAAAACGUUGAAUUCCAACUUAGCGAGCUCAAGUAAAAGGUGGUUCUUGUCCUCUCUUUUCUCAUAAACGUCUAUGAACCACCUUGCCUCUAACAUUGGAACUUUCCAAUGCAGAGGGAGCUCCAGUCCACGCUUUGCUUGUUCUGCUACAAAGACAUCCCCUUGCUUGCUCUUGCUGAUCAUCACUUCUUUUAGAUGUUUACUAGUGAAUUGCCAGGCCUCCUCCAUGAUGCUUUCUCCUUCUAAGCUGAAAUACGAGGCUUCAUGCAAGCUCAUUAUUUCCUUGAAAUCAUUACAAAUGAAGCCUCCCUUGUGUCUUUAAAACCAUUGAAAACGUCUGCAGUGCUCAAUCAAAAAGAACUAUUUCACAAAAUUUUCGCAUACAUAUGCUAAUUAGAGAAUGAUUUAAGUGUCUCAGCAGCCUUGUCGAGUUCGAAUUCUCUGGAGAUAGAGAGUUAAAAAAUUGAUUUGGGUGUUGUCCACUCUUUUAAAUUAAAAAAAAAAAAAAAGGAAAAAAACAGAGAGAUCGAUUCAAAUAUUCAGACCUUGCAUGCGCAUGACAAAAAAAAUCGAGUUUAUGAAAUGUACCUUGACAAACAGGAUAGCCAUGUUGUCUAAGUAGUCUAAACUCGAGAGAGGUUGCAUACAGAUUUUCUUUUCUCCAAUUAUAAUCUUUAUUACUGUUGUAGAUAUUAUGCAAUAUGUUCCGAAUCUCAGUCUCAAAAUGAUAAGCCAAUCCAAGUCUUUGCAAGUUGUCAAUCAGCUCCAACUGAUCCAGAGGCUCGGUUACAUCCUUAUUAAUCGUUGUCAUUACUUUUCCCUUCAGCUCUUCUGCUUGUCUUUUGUAUGUUUCAUCCUGUACAUGAACGGCAUUUAGUUUUUAGUUAUUCAUGGUCCCAAUUUGAAAUGAAUAAUAAUAAAUACCGUAUAGCCGCUAUUCAGUGACUGCAAAAAAUCAUGGUCCCAAAUUGAAGGUUGGUAGUUUGCUGAUCUCCUGUCAACUGUCAAAUUAUCAUAUUUGGCGCUGACAAGGCAUUGGACUGGCUUAUUUAUGGUAAUGAUUCUAGUGGCUGCUCGAUUUGUUGCAAGAGGAGGACAUUUGAAACCAUUUACAGAGGUAAACGAGGUUGAUGGAACAAUGCAAGAAGACAUUGGACAUACAGAUGUAGUGUAAGCUAGCUUACAGUUAUACUUGGCAAAAAUUCUCAAAUUAAUCUAUGGUUUGCGGUUAUGCACAAGGUUAUAUAUAUAUAUAUAUAUAUAGGCAGCGGAGAAGUGCAAGCGAUUUAUUUUUCUUAUUCAUUUUCCCUGAGAUUUUCAAAGCAUGUAAUUUGUAAGUCUUAGUUGGACAAAGAUAUUAUAUUCAUUAAAAAAAAAAAAGGAGUACAUCUUCCCUCUGUUGAGGGAAUUCUAACGUGCCAGCAAGUUCAAAUAUGUACAUUCGCUGGCAUGUUUUUUUUUUUUUUUCCUUAAAGGUAAGGGGGUGGGCAAGCCUAAAUACAGUUUUUACUCCCCUUAUCAUCCACAAAAAUAAACCCGAAUUUUGGUAGAGAUUACAGCUGCAAUGCAACCAACCCGACCACGCCCUUGAGGGGGCUGGCUUGUUGUAUAAUUGUUAUUUAUUUGUCAUUUUUUUUCGCUACAAAUUUUUUUAAAGAGUGUUUCUAUAAGCCAUAUAAUUAUAAUAAAUACACAUAUUAAUGACAAAAAAAAUUCAUAAAUUUAACUUUGCUUACAAAAGUCCUAUUUAUUACAUUAAAAACUUGUUUUACGUACUUACAUAAAAAUAAGAACACGCAAAGUUACAAAGAAUAUCUUAAUGUUAAUCAUUAAUACUCAAAAUAAUCAAAAUUAUAAAAGAAGAUAAAGACCUGUUUUAUUUAACAAAUCUAACUAAAACCUUAUUUGUUAUAGUUAUAAAGUACUUUUGAAAAAAAAAAUUAUAUAUUUCAAAAUAAUUACCAUCAAAAGAUAGAUUGGAUAGGAUAGAUAUGUCUCCCUCAUAUUAGUGAAAAUAGAUUUUUUAGCUCAUGCCUAAGGGCAUCUCGGUUGUACUACAAAUGUAUGUAUCUAAAUAAGGAUAAAUGCUCAUUUAGUCCCUAUAUUUUAAGAUUAGUAUCCAUAUAGUCUCAAAACAUCCCUGCCGUUAAAGUAUUGAUACCCCUACCAUUACUUUUUAUUUCUUUUGACUUGCUUUUACAAUAUUACCCUUUUAUAAUAAUUUUUUUGUGUGGACAUUAAUAAAAAAAUAGUAAUUAAAUUACAAAUUUAACCCUAGAAAAUUAAAAAAAUUAUAUUAAUUUUUUUGUAAGCUGCACACUUGGUAGUUUGUAUACAAUUUUUGACAAUUAAAAAUUAAUAUAAUUUUUUUUAUUUUUAGGGUUAAAUUGGUAAUUUAAUUAUUUUCUUUUUUAUUAAUGUCCAAACAAAAAUAUUAUUAUAAAAGGGUAAUAUUGUAAAAGUAAGCGAAAAAAAAUAAAAAGUAACGGUAGGGGUAUUAAUACUUUAAUGGUAGGGAUGUUUCGAGGUAUUUUUAAAAAUACAAGGACUAAAUGGAUACUAAUCUUAAAAUACAGGGACUAAAUGAGCUUUUACUCUCUAAAUAAUAUAUGUAUAGACUGUAAUAAAGGAAAAUGAGGAUUAACCCUAUCAUUUAGAUAAAUUAAGGGAAAUCCUUUCAUAUUUUAAAAUAGGUCCAAACACCCUACAAUUAUGACCGUAUUAGUUUUAUAUAUCAUUUUACUAUUCUAUCUCUAGUAUUGAUAUUAGUCAUAAAAUUUAAAUAUUUUGAAGAUAUUCUUUUAAGCAAAGUGACUUGUAUUUCCUUAACGAUUAAAUUAAUUUAAUAACAAAUUGCAAAUUAUGGAGAAAAAUUACAAGUAGGGGAAAUGACAUAAUUCCUACUAGUUGUAUAAAUGUGUCCUAAGUGUAUGAAGUCCAAGAUUCUAAAUAAAUCUCUGAAAACAUAAAAUAAAACAAUUGAAGGAAAUAUCCAAAUAUACAUUCAAAUAAAGGACAAAUAGAUAAUUGGACUAAAUGCAAUAAAUUCACCCAGACUACAAAUGAAUAAUAUAUGAUAAAUUAAAGAAAAGAAUCACUAUAGGAAAGGGAUAUAUAAGCAACUACUAACAAAACAAUAAAUUACACGUACUUGCAGCUAUUUGAUGAGAAAUAAUUAAUUAAGAGCAUUAAAUUAGCAUAAGCAAGUGAGCAAACAACAAUUACAAUGGCAACGGUAUGGCCUAGCCUAUGCUUCUCCAAUAAAACAACUGAUCGUGUGCCAGAUUAAGAAGCAAAUUAAAUAUAUCAAACUUGUUACAUUCAUUUAAACAAAUACUUUAUAUAAUUAUCAGGGGUAUAUAUGAUAUUUCCUCUACUUGUAAAUUGUAAUUUUUCUUCAUGUUUUUUAAUAGGUUAAUAAAUUUAUUUAAUUGUUGAGGAUAUAUAAGUCAUUUUGCUUAAAAAAUUCUCAAAAUAUCUAAAUUUUAUGACUAAUAUCGAUAGUAAAAAUAGAAUAGUAAAAUUAUAUAUAAAACUAACACCAUUAUAAUUGUAGUAGAUUUGAAUCUAUUAAAAAGUAAGGAGGGGUUUUGCUUAAUUUUCCUAGACAAAUAGAAGGUAAUCCUCAUUUUCACAUUGUAAUAAUUUCAAAAAAAAAAUCCAUUUAACAACGGUUAGUGAAAGUGCGUUCGAAUUUUUGCAGUAACUAAAAACAAGUCAGAAUUAUGUUAGGAUUAAUCCAUACAAAGAAAACAUCCCAAGUCCUCCGAAGUAAUAAGCAACACACACACACACACAAACACAUAUACACACAUAUAUAUAUAUAUAUUACAAUUUUUUUUUUUUGAUGCGAUAUAGAGUACAAUUUAAUAUUGGUUCAACUACAGAAAUUAAUUGUGCAAGUCAUAAAAAUUAAGAAUGAAGAAAAGGAAAUAUGAACUCAAACCAGAACGCCAAAUGUAGUCAUAUUUUUUCAUGAGGGAAUUCUAACGCGCCAAUGAAUGUGUUUAUAGUAAUCAACGAUGCCGAUAUUUGUUUAUAAUAGUAAUACAGUGAACAGAAACGUGCGGAAGCAUGUGUUUAAUAAUCAACGUUAUAUUUCCAUUUGAGUCAUAGAACACUGGAGAGACUUCCUGUAUAGCCUGACCUUACUAGAAUUUGCAAAUAAAAUGCGAAUGUAAAAUACCAAAACACGUGCGACUCUUCAUCAACAGCCUGUAAAAUACCACUAGAAGAGAUAUUUGCCCCAUUUCCUUGAGAUCAUCUGUCUCGAAACAAAAGAGACUUCAUUGACUUGUAGUCGAAAAUGACAAGAAGGGCAGAAGAGAAAUUUUAGAAAAUCUCUAAUAUACCAUAUCAAUUAUAUAAAAAGUAAAUAAUGAUAUAGUAUAUAUGCAUUUAUUUUAAAGAACAGACAUAUAAUUGGUAGUUAUAUAAAAUUUAAAUAUACAUUUUAUACAUAUAUUAAUUAAACUGAUUUAUGUAUUUUAGUUUAGAAUUUCUCACAACAAAGAACUAGCAUUCAUUUUUUUCUUCUUGGUUUUGCGGCAUCACACACUAUAGUGUAGCACAUGAACCAUAUGCGUAUGAAAAAUUAGACUAGUUGGUAUACGUAAUGUUAAGGAGUCAGAGCCUCUCCUUUUUGACACACUGAUAACAGAGUGCAACCGUGUGUAAUACACAAGCACAUGCGAAGUCAAAAUUAGACUAGUUGGUGUGGGGCUUGUUCAGGAAGCCUUUCUUUUUUUCACAAUAUGAAACAAAUUAUUAACCAUCAAAUCACAGUUUGAUAAGUCUCAUGAAAAAUGAAAAUAAUAUAAAUAAAUGUGACUAAUAUUUUUGUGUCUUUAUUAUCACGAGCCUUGUGGGCAAGGUCGGCUCAAUUAAUUGGGAGCUUUAAGGGAAUUGUUCAAUUAGACCUUUCAAAAAAUUUGAGGUUAAAUAUAUGUAUUAAUUUUACUAAAAAACUAUUUAUUAAAAUCAAAUUUUCUAGCUUUAGAUGUAAAAUUAUUAAUCAAAUUUUUAUAUUAUAAUUUCCUAAUAUAUUUUUCUUAGUAGACAUUAUGGCUAAUCCAUUUACUCUUUCUUGCGACAUUGUUAAUCUCAAAUAAGCUUUUAUCAAUUUUAAUUUUGAAAAACUUCUUUUUGCAUAAGCAACUGCUUGUAGUAUUGUUAAUAAUAUUCUAUAAGUAGCAUAUGCAUUUGGAAAAAAAAUCAAUUUUUUGAAAAUAAUUAAGUAUGUCAAGCGGGGUAAUUUUCCAACUGGUAAAACUUCUUUAAAAAUUCUUAACUCUAAAAACAAAUCUAAACCAUCUAUAUCAGAAAGCAUAUCAUGUUUGUAAAGCAUUUUCAAUAUUAACACAAUAAGUUUUUAAAACAUUGUCACUUAACGAUUGUAAUUUUUUGAAAUUAAACAAAAAUCCUAACAUAUUCUCAUACAUUUGAAAUUGUUCAAAUCUACUUAUUAUUGAAGAAAUAGUUUGAUCUAUUAUGUAUAUAAAAUAAUUAAUUCUGAAAGACUAUUCAAGAGAUAAAAUUCCUCCUUCACCGAUACUUUCAUCAAAAUUGUUUUUUCUACGAAUUAAAUGUUUUUCGUGAAUUUUAGGUUCUAUUUCCAUUUUGGUUGCAAUUUCUUUAGUUAAAAUCAUAAUAGGCACAAAAUCCAUUUUCUCUAUGGCUUUCAAAGAAAGAAAUAAAAACUUUAUGUCGAUCUAUGGCAAUAUAAAUAUGCAUAUGUUUUUUGCAAGAUCUUACAUAUAGAGUUAAUAGCAAAUAAUAUAUCAUACUAAAUAAUCACACCUAAUAUGAAAUUAAAAUUUUUCAAUUCAUAUGUUGCUAAACACAUAGCUUCACUCUUUAUUCUAGAAUCUUCACUAAUUUCUUCUAAUUCAAGUAAAGCAUCUCAUACUUUAUGGAGUUUGAAAUCUUAUUGCUUUCACACUUUCAAUACAACUUUCUCAAUGUAUGUGUCAAAAUAAUUUCACAGUCAAAUUGGGUAUAUUAUUUUGUGAGAUUUUCCAUCACCUCAUUGAAGAAGAAAAAUAAUGAAUAAAUAAGUUUCAUAGCUCCAAAAAAUGAAAUUGAUCUAGGACAAGAAUUAGCCAUGUUGCAAACCACUAAAUUUUGACCAUGACAACCGCUUGAUGUAUAAAAUGCUUUAGAAUUUGUUUAUAAUAUCUUACACCUUGGUGUUUUCCUUUCAUAUUAGAACCAUUAUUGUAUCCUUGUCCUUGUAUAUUAUCAAUGACAAGUUCAAAAAUUUUUAUUAGUUCUAUGAGUUCAUUAAAGAGCUCUUUACCAGUACAAUGGCAAACUUUUAAGAUUCGAAAAAAUAUUCUUCCAUUUCUACUGGAUUUGCUAAAUUAUCUACACAUCUUACUAUAGCAGACACUUGUUCUUGAUGGUUUGUAUCUGAAGUACAAUCAAGAAUAAUUGAAAAUUAUUUUUCUUCUUAUUUGUUAGGGAUUUUAUUAUUCCCAUCAUUGUGUCAAUAAUAUUACAAUUUAUUUAUUCUUUUUAUGAGGGAUUUGUCUAGUCUUGGGAAUUAAUUAGAUUAGAUUAUGUGGAAUAUGGGGGAAUAUUUUUUGAGGCAUAAAGAAGCAAAUCAGCAUAUAAGUAGGAUUACAUAUUAAAGAAUUCUAAAUAAAGAUGAUCAUUGUAUUGGUAAGUAUAUUAAGUAUUUAUGGAAUAUUAGACUCUAAAAAAAAUAUAUGUUCUAAUGAAAUACUGCACAUAUAUAAAGGGAAGUAUUUCACACAUUGAAGACUGAAGAAGGCAUUUCUUAUUUUAUAUUAGGGAAAUAGCCAAUGCAAAGAAUGAGAAGAAAAACUAUUUCGUCACAUAUGAGGUUUCAUAUCUCUAUAAUGUUUUAAUCUUCUUCAUAUCAAGCAUUUCAUUAGACAUUCUUUAUUAUUAUUUGGUUUUUUCGGAAUGGAGAGGUCAUUUGUUGUGUUGAGGGAAUCUCAAGGAAGUAGCAAAUACAAUUGAAGAUGAGUGGUGCUUGCUAAACACGAUUGACUAGGUAGAUUCAACAAGGUGGUGGUAAGAGCAAGAGAGAGUCUGAGACUAUAGAAAUUAAGGGCUUAUUCGGAUCAAUUUCAACAACAAGACGACCAAAUUUGCCUCUGGAUGCGGAUUCAGUGUUGUAAUCAAUUUUAAAAACACUCCCGAAAAUUUGUCCCAACAUUCGGAGAAUUUUCUUAUUGUAGUAAUGUAGGGCCAUGCCUGGUAAGCGGAUCCAGGCUAUAACAUAUUCAAUCACUGUUGGGUAUAAGAGGCUUUGCACACAACUCUGUAGAAUUGCAGAAUAAUUCUUAUUUGAUUCGAAUGCAAAAUAAUUGACUUAUAGUCGUACAAAAGCAGGGGAAGAAAACUGAAAAACAAACUACCCAUUUUCCACUCUAACAGAUCGUGAAUCAUGGAGAAGAAAUAUUUAAGCUAACAGUUACUUUCCUAAUAAAUAGGAUUUAUUUAAGGCAAUUAAAUAGCUAAACCUGAUGACUCAACAAUCACUGCUGCCGAACUAUCAAAAUGGGGAGUCCAUGGCUUCACUGUUAGAUAGUGCCCCAGAAUAGUCUAAGGCCCUUGCGCCAAAGCGAACUCCACAUCCCUCUCUGUUCUGAAACGAACAAGAUAAUAAUCAUUCUCAAGGUCAAUUCCAGAAAGCCCUUGGGUCGAGCUCCAGAUGGUUUCCAAGCGGUUGCGCAGCGUCCGGUAACCUAUGCGACGACCCAAAAGCUUGACCACCACCGUGUAUUGCCAUGGUUUCAUUAGUUGAGCAUGUACUUUUCUGUGAAAAAAAAAUGGAGUGAAAAUUGUCUGCACACUCAAAAACCACAUCUUCCGGUUCAACUGCCAAAUCUUCCCCGCUAUCAAAAAAUACUCCUUCAUCCACCCUUUGUGUUGACAUCAGUUUAUCACGAAAGGAAGGAGGCUGAGGAUUGUCACCAUCUUCCCCUUCAGCCUUAAAUCUUGCUUUGUUUGUGGAACGGUCGUCAGCCAUAGGUGGAUUAGGGUUUUUCUCCAUUUCAAUCUUUCCUCACAUUAGGAACUCAUUUUUUUUUAAUUGGUUAUAUUUACUUUUUGAUUCUUGUAACUUUUUUCUUUAAAUGCCACCGCUCUUAUUUCUAUCCUCAUUUAACAGACUGCGGGUUGCGUUUGUCACUGUUAGCUGCACAUUGCCAUUUUUCAUGAGUAUGAUUUGCCGUAUGCAUGGAUACUGAAAGUAUCCCUUGUGCUAAAAAUGCUAUGAACCAUCCUUGAAUAAUCAAGUAUAACUGCAUGCAGAACAAAUUCAGCCGUUCUCACGUUUUAGCUAGCAAAUAAUUAUCUUGUAGGAAUUAGAAUGAGCCUGACUUAAGUAUUUGCAUAUCCUGAAGACUUUUAUUCCCAAUAAAAGUAACAUAUAUAUAUAUAUAUAUAUAUAUAUCAUUUCUUUUUCAUUUAUAAACCUUGAUGAAUGAGGGAAUUUAUUUUAUUAUCGAAAAGAGAUCCCUCAGAAAAAAGAAAAGCGGAGGCCAACAUCAACUGAAACUGCACUCUCUGGGAAUUCGCAACGCAUCGUGCAUUAUAAUUCAUCAUCAGCCUUUGGUGCCAGGAGAUGCUGUGAAAGCCAUGUCUUUGUCCUCCAAGGGAAUGGGCUGAAAAAGCAAUGUAAAGCCGACAUCGAUAGUCUCUUGGUUUUGAACACCAUGCCCAUCUCCAUGUAGAUACAUAAAAUGGGACAUUCGCACAAGAUUCAAGAGGAACUCAGCAGUUGUUCGAGUCAAGGGAGAGUCUUUAUCGGCUGUGUAUGCAUUCACCUUCUUCCACAUCUGUCUCAUCAUAUCCUUGAUGUGUUCACGAGCAACUUCCUCCGAGGCACCAGUUUCAUGCAUGUAACACUGGAUUGAUUUCGGAACAUCCCCUCUCUGUAUCUCGUCCUGAUGAUUAUUGGGGAAAAAAAAAAUACAAUCAAUUCAUAUAUAGAGGAUUAAUUCAAUUGCUGUCGUCUUAAAAAAAAUAAAUAAAAAAAGACAUACCGAUGAAGUUCCCAAAUCAUCUUGCAGACGGAAAAUCUUGGAUGACCAGUGAACUAUAUCUGGAUUACUUUCUAGAAAUUCCAGUUCCUUCUUAAUGAUUGGAUUUGUACCAGAAAGAUAUGAAAUCGUUAUAAUUAAAGGGCCCGUUAUUGAUACCAAUCCAUUUUCCAAGUAUUCUUCCAGUUUCGGUGUGUACUUGCUAUGGUACCAUUUCGCCUCCACCAAGUAGGCUUGUAUUAAGCCAAGCCACUGAUGCACAUGGCACAGAAAAUAUACAACUAGUUACGGUUUAUAAUUUUUGAGAAAAAAAGAACAUCGUAAUUUAAAAAGGAUAAAUCAGAGGAAAGGAACAGGGAGAGGCGCCAAAUUAAUAUUUGACGUACUGCAUGUUUUAUGCUCAGAAGCAUAUCAAAAUCCUGUUGUUUGAGAACGUAAUAAGCAAAUUCAUUAACAAAGUUGUAAAGGGCAAGAAAACACAUUUUCAUAUAGCCCGGAAGGUGCUUCAAAGCAUAAUUGAUGUCCCACCUGCAGAAAAAAAAAAUCACAUAAACGGUCUAUUAAAUUGAGAAGUACCAUGCAGCUAGGUAGCAGUUGAAUUGUUAAUUUGCCAACAAACCUCGCAACAGCAUCAGUGAAUAUCUCAAGUUCAUCCAAUGUUCCAUAGACAUCAUAAAUGUCAUCAAUCACUGUAAUUAGGGCUAUCGAGAUUGUGAGCACUCUCCUGCAGUAGGCGAAUUGAGGCUCAAACGCGAUCCCCAUGCUCCAUAAGAAGGACGCUACCAACCUGUUCCUCGCAAAGCUCAAUUUCUCUCCAAGACCUGUAUCCUUCCACCACCUUCAUAGGAAAAUUAAAACGAAUAUUACGACACGUGAUUUAUAUAUCUGUAUAUAUAGAAUCAGCUUUCUGUCUGGAAUUCUGAAGAAUAUUUCUCUGAUACAAGCAUCUCAUUUUAUAAAGCACGUGACUUGUGGCUUUACAAUGCAUUUACAUAUAGAGUUAUCUUCUAGUUCGAGAUUCUUUAAUGCAAACGUUUGGAAUAAUUUAAUAUACAUUUAUAUAAAGUGUAGGCUGGUGCCUUUAUACUGCUGUAAAAGGCGGAGUCUGCACUUGAGAAUAAUUUAAUAAACAUAUGAUUAAAUUGUACAAGUUAUCUAUUCGAUAAAAUCAAAUCUUUGCAAUAUAUAUGAGUUAUGCAAUCAAGGCAUAGAUACCCUGAAAUGUCUUUAAGUUCUUCCUGGUAAAUUGCCUGCAAAGUGUUAAACUCCAACUUAGCGAGCUCAAGUAAAAGGUGGUUCUUGUCCUCUCUUUUCUCAUAAACGUGUAUGAACCACCUUGCCUCUAACAUAGGCACUUUCCAAUGCAGAGGGAGCUCCAGCGCCCGCUUCGCUUGUUCUGCUACAAAUACAUCCUCUUCCUUGCUGUUGCUGGUGAUCAUCAUUUCUUUAAGAUGCUUACUGGUGAAUUGCCAGGCCUCCUCCAUGAUGCUUUCUCCUUCUAAGCUGUAAUACGAGGCUUCAUGCAAGCUCAGUAUUCCCUUGAAAUCAUCACAAAUGAAGCCUACCUUGUCGUCUUUAAAACCACUGAAAACCUCUGCAGUGCUCAACCGAAAAAAGAAAUUAUAUUCAUCAAAACUUUUACACAUAUAUGUUAAUUAGAGAAUGAUUUAAGUGUCCCCAGCGGCCUUGUCGAGUUCGAAUUUCUCAGGAGAUAGAGAGUUAAAAAAUUGAUUUGGGUUUUGCCCACUUUUUUACAUUUAAAAGGAAUGAAUAAGAUAAACAGAGAGAUCGAUUCAAGUAUUCGGAUCUUGCAUGUGCAUGACAGAGUAAGCGAACUAAUGAAAGGUACCUUGAGAAACAGGAUAGCCAUGUUGUCUAAGAAGUCUGAAUUCAAGGGAGGUUGCAUACAGAUUUUCUUUUCUCCAAUUAUAAUCUUUAUUAUGGUUGUGGAUAUUACGCAAUAUGUUCCGAAUCUCAGGCUCAAAAUGAUAAGCCAAUCCAAGUCUUUGCAAAUUAUCAAUCAGCUCCAACUGAUCCAGAGGCUCGGUUACAUCCUUAAUCGCUGUCUUCACUUUUCCCUUCAGCUCUUCUGCUCGUCUUUUGUAUGUUUCAUCCUGUAC